AAGCUCUUUCUCGUCUCGGCGACUCUCGCCCUCUUCUUCCUUCUCACCAAUGCCUCCAUCUACCGAACGGUCGUAGAAGUCGAGGAAGAUGAUGCCACAAACCCAGCCGGUCCAUUUAGGAUUCCGAAAUGUAGGAAGGAGUUUCAGCAAGCACAACACCUAAGAGCUUGCCAGCAAUGGCUCCACAAGCAGGCAAUGCAGUCCGGUAGUGGUCCAAGCUGGACCCUCGACGGUGAGUUUGAUUUUGAAGACGACAUGGAGAACCCUCAGAGCCCACAGCAGAGGCCACCGCUACUCCAGCAGUGCUGCAACGAGCUCCACCAGGAAGAGCCACUUUGUGUUUGCCCAACCUUGAAAGGAGCAUCCAAAGCCGUUAAACAACAGGUUCGACAACAGCAAGGACAGCAGGGACAGCAGCUGCAGCAAGUAAUUAGCCGUAUCUACCAGACUGCUACGCACUUACCUAAAGUUUGCAACAUCCCUCAAGUUAGCGUUUGUCCCUUCCAGAAGACCAUGCCUGGACCCUCCUACUAGAUUCCAAACGAAACCCUCGAGUGUAUGAAUGUGGUUGUCGGUAUAUGUCAACGCCACACUUCAUCGCGUAAUAUGUAAGGUCUUAUCUAGGAUGUUUGAGGCUAUGUAAUUAGCACUACUCCAUAAUAAAAGAGGUUUUUAAUGUUUUAUUCGGUGUGCAUGCUCUCUAAGUGGUCCAAGAUUUUAGUCUUCAAGCAAAUUUUCCUAUCAAAUUUGUGCGUUACUUGAUCACCUUAACUCGUACAUCGGCUUUUUAACGGUAUGCAAAACAACGUUUAAACUGAUCUAUGACUUUCCUCCAUCAAUCACGUAUGGGUUUUAAGUAGCUUAUUUUUCCUUCAUAGGCGUAGAAAAACGGUGUGUCUUCAACAUGCAAAAAUAUAAGCAACUUCAAACCUAUACGUGAUUGAUAAUUGCAUAGUUAAAGAUUCUCUAAGCAACUUAAAACGGUAAAAAUAUAAGCACCUUAAAACGUUGUAUAUAUCUUCAUAGUGUGUUUCAACUAUUUUUCCUCUAUUCCACGAAAUUCUGUUUAUUCUGUUCAUCUUUCGUUCCACUAAUUCGUCUAAUGUGAUUAUUUCUGGUGGUUUAGUUAUAAUUGAUUUUGACCUGCGCAACCGCACCGAUAUUUUUUCAAAUUGAAUUGAAAGAAUUGUAAAUUACGUCAGUUGCGUAUUUAGAUUUUGGAUUUAUUUGAUAAUUCUAUACAAAGCGAAAAAAAUUCUAGUGUUUUUUUUAAGUACAUAUUCACUUUGUUUUUAAUAUACGACGUUUUAGAGAAUUCUUUUCACUUCAAAUUAGAUGAUAUUUUCAUUUUUCAAUUUUCAAUGCGAAUUUAUUUAUUUUUUAUUUUAUAUAACUUUUAUAUUCUCUAGUUUGCUUUUUUAUUGGUUGAAUUAUUAUUAGGUAAAUAGUUAAUGAUGUUUUUGGUUAGUUAAAAUAGAAAAUUAUUUUUUUUCUUUAAUUUGUGUGAACAAAUCUAAAUAUCAAAGUAAAAAAAAAGUGAAAGUAGUUUAAUUUAGUUGAUUAUAUAGAUUAGUACAUCUAUAUUUGUAUAUGCAUUUGUUUCACGGACAAAUAUAUGCUAUAUUGUUUUCUAUUAUAUAGAAUACAAUUUAUUUUAUAUGUCAAAUUAUUUUUUCAAUUUAGAUUUAACGUUUGAAUAGCAUUCUAGAGAGAGCUUGACGAUAUUUUAGCAUAUGCGUUGUAAACUCUAGAUAUUAUUUCAGAUGAUAAUUGAUUAAUUCUAACGGUAAUUUAGAUGUAUAAAGACAUGGUAUUCAUUACUUUUUCUAAUCAUCAAAAUAUUUUAAAAACUCUAUUUUAAUGUAAUUUUAAUAGAAUUUUUACUAUUUAUUUGCAAGUAUUUAUAUUUUUUGUAAACUAUACUAAAAAUGAGAUAUAAGUGAUCUUUAAGAUUUUAAGAUUUAGUAAUUGUGUGGUUAGUUUAAUUUAAAAAAAUAGAAUAUUCUUAGAAAUUUUAAGAUCUUUUUGUUAUAAAUGUUAUAUAAAUAAUAUUUUGUGAUUUACAAAUAUAUUAUUGGUAAAAUCAAUAAACUUUGAAAACACGGUAUGAAAUAUGCCUGAUAGAUUAUAAUUAUCAAAUAUAUUUUAAAUUUAGUUAUAUGAUUAUAAACGAAUUAUAUUAUAUGUUUUAGAAUGAUAUUAAUUUGAUAAAGAUUGUUAGUUAUGUUAAAGAACAAUCACAUGUUGUGAUACUUCUUUGACAUCAUCAAAGUAAUAACAAUAAUCAUAUGUUAUGGUUGCAUAAGAUAAUACUAAAAAUAGUUUUUACGAUCAUAUGUAUAUAUAAUCAUAUAUUUUGAUUGCAUAACAUAUGGAUUGUUUUACGUUAAUUAUGUGACCUAUAAAAUAGUUAAUGGCCUACAAAUAAUUAAUAAUGUUGUUAAUAAUUAUCAGAUUAAUGGGUUAAAAUAGUUUUUAUAAAUCAGUUGGUAUAUUUAAUUAUAUUUAAUUGAUUGGUCUUGGAUACAGAUUUUUGAAUUUAACAUAUAUUAAUAGUAAACAAUUUUUAGAUUCUCCUCAAAGAUAGUACUAUAUUUUUGAUUUUGUUAAGAUAUUAAUAAGAUAUAUUUGUAAUUAUAUUUAUUAUAAAAAUGAAUGAUGGGAUAAUUAAAUAUGAUGAUUUUCUAAAAUAUCUUUCAAAAUAAAAUAUUAAGAAGUCAUAAUUUUUGUUUUAAUAGAUGAGUAGAGAGGCGUGUAUACAUACUAGCUUAACAUGUCUUCCAAAAUUUAGUGUUACUAGUUCUGGUAUUCGUAAAUUAUUAGUACUAAUGUCACACAAAAAUACGAAUUUUGGCAUUUGACUAAAAUGAGUUAGUCGCCCACCAUCUUAGAGCAUGUUUAAUGGGGGUUUUUAGGGUGGUGUUCUUAUAUUCCGUUAAGAAUCCCACAUUAAGAACCUCCGUUAAACAUGCUCUUAGUCUAUACCAUUGUCUUCGACCUAAGAGGUGCGAGUUGUACAAGAGGCUAUAUUUUUUUUGAUGGGGCGAAAUCAAAAGGCACUAUAAUUACAAAAUAGUAUACGAGAUAGCAAGGGUAGCAUAUUCAUGUACCAUCGUCCAUCGAUCAUCUAUAUGCUAUUUUAUUAAUCGGUUACACAAGAGGAAGAGCAAUCGCGCGGGAUUUGAUGUAUUAGUUUUUGUAAAUAUAUAAUUUUGCAUAAACUUUCUUAAAUGUUAAGAUGAGUGUGAGUAUGAUUAUGUUGUCUAUCCUAAAUUCCAAUAAAAAUUAAAAAAAGACCGAAUUCUUACUAUUGUUGUUGUUUUAAAUUAAGAGUUGUAAGAUUUUAUAGUGUCCUAAGUAUUAUAACACUAUAAAAUACAUAAAUCAAUUAAAAUCGAACAAAAGAGAAAGAUAUUUGAGUUCUCAAAUACCAUUGUAUCUUUUUGAGGGUUUAUAAAAUAGUGAAAAGGAGGUUUUAAUUUAGAUGAACUCUUUGUCGAAGUUAGUAUAGUUGUUUUGAACAAUGUUAGGAAUUGCUAUUAUUAACAAUUGUUGUUUUUUGGAGAAAUUUUCAUGUCUACUAUUUUCUUGUUACCAUUAUUCAUGUUUACCACCAUUAAAGAGACAUUUUCAAAAAUACAUUCUACAUUAAAUGACAAAAGAUUCUUAUAUCCUUGUUCUCUAUAUAUAUAAUAAAUAAUUAUUUAAAUAAAUUAAAAAUAAUAAUCUUUUUUAUGUUUUGAAUUUUCAAAUCCAAAAUUUUUUAUUUUUAUUUUACUUUUUUGAAUUUUUUUCAAAUUUUUUUAUUCAAAAUUCCUUUUUGAAAAUUGAAAAUUAUUUUGAAACUAUUUUUUAAAUUUUUUUAUAUUUAUUUAAGUAUUUAUUUAUAUAUUUAUUAGAAUCUUAAAUUUCAUAUUUCAAAAACACUACUCCACCCCUCAACUCUAAACCCUAAGUAUAGAUUAGUUAACUCUAGGGUUAUAAAUGUCUUUUAUCCUUCAUUAAGCGUGAAGGUAAAAGUGGUUAAUGUAAACAUGAAAAGUAAUAUUAUGAAUGUGGUAUUUUUGGAAAUUUGUUUUUGGUAUUUAUGUUAUAAUAAGUUAUUGUUGGUACUUUAUGUAUUAUUACAUAAUUAUUACAUUGAAAAGCUGAUUGAAGAAAUAAAUUUUUUGGCCUUUCUUAGUUUCUUGUAUUUUAUGGUUAUAUUUGCUUAUAUACUACAUAAUUUUGGACUUAAGCACCACUCAUGUGCCAAGAGCGCGUAAUCAGAUUUCAGUUUUUUUAGCAAAAACUGCAAGAUCUUUUCAUAGGGAGUUAUUUUUUAUUGGUUGCUCUAUUCCGGUCUGGUUACCCAGACCACCUCUAGCCUGAGUAAUAGAAUGACCUUUCCGCGUCAAAAAAAAAAAAAAUCGUUAGAUUUCAUUAUAGGAUUUUGUUUAACAUAUUUUUGUCUUGAAAGAUUUGGUUUUGUAUUGCGUUAUUAUAUGAUUGUUCCUUUGUAUAAUUUUCAUUAUCUUCUAUUGAAUUUGUUUAUUGCAAAAUGAAUUCAUUGCAGUUGACAAAAUUUUAUAAUGUUGAAAUCAUUUGAAUGGGCUAUGCUUUAUUUUAUUAUGGUGUGUAAAAUAUUUAGUCUAUUUAUUUUAUGUUUGGUCAUCUAAUUUCAUUUGUACUUUUAUAUGUUUCUUGUCAGAUUUUUAUAUUAGUAUCAUGUUCAUAUUGUGCAAUUUUAUAUAUUUGUGUUUCUAUAUCGGUACUAAAACUAUAAUUGUUUUUUUUGUCUUACUACAAAAUGUUUAAGAAAAAAAUCAUUUUCGGAAAAUAAUAACAUUAGAUAACUUGAUAUAUUACAAAAAUAUUUUUGUUUGCAAUAGUUGAUGGCGAAUUUGUUUACAAAUCAUAUAUAUUAUAUUAUAUAUUGUUUAGUAAAAGUUGAAACAUUUAAUUUAUUUUAAAUUAUAAGUAACAUAAACUUUCACUAUUUUUUUACAACAUUUUCACUAUUUGUUUUAUUAUAUUCCUUAUAUAUCAUAUAUUUGCUUAACUAAUAAAAUUGGAGAACAUAAUUAGUUUACUUAAUUUUUAAUAUUUGUCCUACUUGGAUAAGAAAUAGAAUAGUUUUGGAUUACCUCUCUUUCGAAUUGUGCAAGUAUCUAUACUGUUAUUUGUGAAGUAAUUUUCGCUAUGGAACUCGCAUGUUAAAAGUUACAUUGGUUAAUAUAGUUUACACCCUAAAUGAAUAAAAUAUAUAAUUUGCUCUCAAAAUAAAAACGAAUUUCAGAAGAAAGAAAUGAUAAUCCCUAUUAUGUUGUUAUCCGAAAAGAUAAUUUUGAAUCAUAAAAAUAAAACUUAAAAACAGAAAGAUGUAAGUAAAUAAUCAAAUUUUAUACUAUUUUUAAUAAAAUUUAUUAAUAAAAAUAUUUUUAAAUAUUCUUAAUAUGAUGAACGUCGAUACGACAUUAGUCCAUGCAUUCUCGUUUACCCUUCGAUGCUAUCUCCCGAAGACCAUAGCGAACCCAUUUCUUGUUUCCCGCCAUUCUAAGUCAUCGAUCAAAGUUUACGGUAAAAACCGUGGAAAGUUCGUUCUUUACUGAAAGAAGCCGUAAUAAACGCUUCGAGUCAGAAGACGGCCCAAAGGGACCUAAGACAUGACUCGAGGCCCAACUUAGAUUUCUUAGCGAACAGCCCGUAAGCCGCAUGACGGUUUGCGCUUGGUUCGCAAGGAAAGAUAAAUGUCAAGUUUUCGCGGAUAAAUACGAAAUUUUGAAGAUAAUUACGAAGAUCGAAAAAAAUGGAAAGAUCAGAAAAAAUGGAAUAUCUCAAUUUUUAUGCUAUCAGAGCGAUUUAGGCAUAUUUCCGUUUUUGUUAUUUCGAACUGCGACUCAAUUAGGUUUAGCCGUCUUAGGGUUGCUAGAACUAGGAAUCUCGCCGACAGCUCUCGAGCCUAGGCUUAUACCUUGUUGUAACGCUCAAACACGGAUUCGGAAUAAGAUCUAUUUUGCUCUCUUCUUACGAUUUUUGUACUUUGUCGUUGAUAUCUCGUGUUCUGAUUGCUUAGCGUGUGGCAUUAACAGAUCUCCGGGACCUCUGGGAAAUUAGGGUAUUCCUAGUUUCCUAAUUUAAACGAAAAUCGACAGUGCAAAUUUCUGUCCCACAGUUUGGCGCUAGAAGGAGGGGGAUACGGAUCAAUCUAACUCUCACAUCACGCUCAACCAGACAUGUCAACUGACGACACAGAUAACGUGCAGACUCCUCUUAACGAAAGCAGUGGCACUGAUCUCCACACUCCCGCAGCGGAUGUAUCCGCCGCCAACGCACCAGCCAAUGCCGCAGCGCUCGAGGAGUUUAAAAAGUUGUUCGCCACCUACGAAAAAAGGUCGGAAGAACAGGACAGGCUCGUGAGCACCUUGACCAAACAUGUUGAAACCUUAACGGCAAGGACCAGAGCAAUCCGUCCUUGCGGAACCACUAAAGUCCGCGGGAAAAGACUCGACUUCACUACCCCACUCGAUAGGCCUGGAGCCGCGUGGGAACAACCUUCGGGUCAAAGCCCUAGCGAAAAAUCUCCCGUCGAAAAGGGGAACCCUGAAAAUCCUCCACCUCCCGCGAAACAUUCGGAGGAUAACGAAGUCGAGCACGUCGACCUGGAUCCUAGCGAUGUCUCCAACAAUACCGAUGAGGACGUCGACAGACAUCCAAGAAGGACCAGAAGCCGAUCUGCUCGGGAAAGCUCUUCGUUUGACAAACCGAUGACGGAAGAGGAGGAAGUCCUCUAUUGGAACAAAUAAGAAGAGCUGGCUGAAAAGCAAACCGAGCUCACUCGCAGUAAAAGCCGACAGGCUCGGAAAUCUGCUGGCGAGACGUCAGAUAUCCGCGAUCUUCUCGACUAUAUCACCAAGACUGCAGCAGAAGUAAGAGCCGUGAAAUCCCAAAUCCAUCACGCUACCAACGCUGCACCCGAGAUCGACAGGCUGCUGGAAGGGUCUCGGAAGACUCCCUUCACCACUCGCAUCUCAGAGAUGAGGGUAUCCGAUCCGGGAAAAAUCAAAGUGCCGAAGUAUGAUGGUACGACCGAUCCGAAGGCGCACCUUCAGGCUUUCCACAUCACGAUGGGAAGAGCGAGUCUGAAGGACGGCGAAAAAGACACCAGCUACUGCCGCCUGUUCGUCGAGAAUCUGGAAGGAGCAGCCCUCGAAUGGUUCGCACGCCUUCAGCGAAAAUCUAUCGGGAGUUUACGACAGCUCGCAUCGGAAUUUCUCAAGCAAUAGUGUAUGUUCAUAGAUUGAGAAACUUUCGAUGUCGAUCUCUGGAGUCUGUCCCAGAGGGAAGAUGAACUCCUCUGCGAGUUCAUUAGCCGAUUCAAGCUGGUAAUGUCCAGGGUCAGCGGGAUAAGCGACAAGGUGGCCAUUGAUGCGCUCAGAAAGACGCUCUGGUACAAGUCGAAAUUCAGAAAAUGGAUAACCCUCAACUAACCGCGGACGAUCCAGGACGCCCUCCACAAGGCGACGAACUACAUCAUAAUCAUGGAAGAAAUGAAAGUCUUAUCGCAAAAACAUAAAUCGGCAAGACCAUCCUCGAAAGAUGUAGAUCCAACAACGAAGAAGAAGAACUCUCGUAACGACAAGUAUGUCCAUCACGAGGGGGAAGAUCUCCAAGGAGCGCACAAUUACGCGAUCAGUUCGGGCCAGGGCCGAACCACGGGUAAUACGUGGACUCGCAAUCAAGGAUAUGACGAAAACACCUUCUGCGAGUUCCACCAGUCUCGAGGACACUCAACGACUAACUGCAAAGUCUUGGGAGCAAGGCUAGCCGUGAAGCUACUAGCUGGAGAGCUCUCGGAAGUGACCAGUGUGAAAAAUCUCAUCCUCGAGACCGAUCGCUCCCCGAAGACGGACAGAAAUCCGCCCGCGGAGAAAUCUCCUCAAAGAAACCAAUCCGGGGAUAAACGCGGCAGAAGGCCGGACGACAAGGGGAACGAUAACAAUCGUCGCAGAGUCAACAUGAUCAUUGGAGGAUCGCAAUUCUGCAACGAUAUGGUUUCGGCCAUCAAGGCUUAUCAGCGGAAGGAGUCGAGCACAAACUGGCCUACAUGGUCUCUUACCCGAGAUGGUCAAAAUUGCUCAAUCACCUUCACGAAGGAGGAAGCUAGCGGGAGCGACCAACCUUACUGCGAUCCGCUCGUCAUAGAUCUCGUCAUACGAGAUCUGGAAGUCGGAAGAGUACACAUUGACACGGAAAGCACGGUCAAUGUAAUCUUCCGCGACACUCUCAAUCGGAUUAGCAUCGAACUCGGAGAAGUAACACUAACGCCGAAACCGAUCACGGGAUUUUCAGGAGAAGUAUCGAUGACCCUCGGGUCAAUCCAGCUGCCAGUCAUGGCCAAGGAGGUCACGAAAUUUGCGGUGGUCGAUCAUCCUGCCAUCUACAACGUGAUAAUGGGAAACCCCAUGGAUCAACGCCAUGCAAGCCGUUCCAUCGACAUACCACCUAGGUUUCAAAUUCCCGACCCCAAACGGAGUCGCAGCUAUCUGGGGAUGUCAGAAACAGUCGCGACUAUGCUUCCUCGCGGAGUACAAGGUAAGGCAAAUGACGACUUCUGCAACGGCAACUCGCAAGCGCACGAAGAUAGAUCAAUCUUCGACCAAAAACGCUUCAAGGAAAGACGAUUUAACAUCGUCUGCUGACGCAAACGCUUCGGACAGCGAAACUCAACACGAGUCCGAAGCCGAUGCUACAACUCAACCAGAACAUCCGGAAGAGAAUGCUGACCCGGCCACGGUCAUCACGAUCAGGGCGGUUAGCAGGGUGACAACCGCCGGUUAUAAGAGAACACUGACCCAGCCACGAUCAUCACGAUCAAGGCGGUCAGCACGGCGAAAACCGCCGAGUGAAAACGCUCGCGGCAUAAAACAGAACUACGAGAUGGCUUGAUCCUCGAAGGAGGUACGUAAGCAGCUCGUCAAAAGACGAGUUCAGCUAUCUCCCUCUCUAAAAAAGGGGGGGGGGAGUGGGUGCGUAUACUCGUAUACUCACACAUAGGAAAAGAUGCGUUAUUAUAAUCGAAUUUUUAGAGAUUUAAAAAAAAAAAAAUCUCUCUUUACAAUAUGCAUUGCUCCUUUUUAAUUAAAACGCUUACGCUUCAGUUAAACGCAAAAGUCUCAGGACACGCCUAGAAAAUCUACGAAUGUUAAGACUCUUGCCAGCGGCCUCAUCCUGCCCAAAAUCGGAAAUAAUCUUUCUUCAGCACCGAAAAUAUUUCGUAUAGUCUUCGAAACAACCGCGAGACGUCGCCAAGUUAAAAUUCGAGACGAUGGGAACAAAUUGUCCGACCACGACCACAAAAACCUUACACCCCGUUCGUCGAUUGGCCCCGACGAACGCGUCAGCGGUCUUAAACAAACGCAACUCGAUCACUCUUUUGAUCUUCGAACGUCCAACACAAGGACGAAAGCGCGCUACAAAAAAAUCCAAAAUUUUGGUCUAGCACUUCCAGUUGGCUUAAAAAUUGUCUCUGGAAGAUGCUCGAUUCAUACCAUGCAAGUCAUAUAAGCCGAGAACCUAUCGCGGACUUUAAAUCGGUACGAAUCAAGUAGAAAUCGCAACUGGAAAAUCGAUAGCCGGCUAGUCACCGCACAAACCUUAAAACCGAGAGUAAACCUAGGUGUUGCCCUAAACCCAUCGCAUUGGUCUCAGACAUCUCAAGACAUGAUAUCUAAACGAUACGAGAUCCUAAACCAUGUCUCUCCGUUCACAUUUCAACGUUCCCGAAAGUUGUAAGAAUAAGAAAUUUUUACGAAAAGUCACGAACGAACCGACAGAUUGAACGUCCCAACGGAAUUAAAUAUGAGACGACAACUCAAUUUACUUCAAAUUUACUCGAAAAAUUCGAAAUAAAACGCCCACCAUAUAUAUAAAGACCGCAUAAAGCGGUGGGAAAUCAAAGCCACACUCGACAGAAAAAGACAAAUAAAAUCCAUACUUGGCAACAAACGCAUGAUAAAUAAACAACAUCCUCCCUCCAGGUUUUCACUCCACCUCUCAAGGUUCAAAAUAAAGUUCCCGGACAACGAAGCUCCAAACGCAUCCGCGGGACGAUCCACCUCCCCGCAAUCACCGGGAAACUCGGUCGUGGUCUCUACGGUAUCAGGAGAAACCGGGAUGGGAUCCCAAAAUCCUUGAAUCCUCCCGUCGAUCGGAGGAAUGAGCGCCUCAGCACGAGCAUGAUCCUUCAUGCCACCCUUCAUUAACUCCAUCUCCUUCUCGAAAACGUAAUCGUCCGCCCGCGUCUUCCAAAGGCUCCCAACUGAACCGCGACACUCACGGAAAUCGCCUAGCGAGGUGAAAACAUCCUUGAGGUUCCUGUACUCGACCUGGAAUUGAGAGGCGCGAGUCUUCAUGACCUCGACAAUCUCCCUCUUGCCCUUCCGUUAUGCCUUACGAACAGCCCUCACAUGAUCACGAGCGAGUUGCGCAUCUCGCGCCAACAUCUCGUCUCGCAUGCGAGCAAGCUCCUUUUCCACUUUCUCCGCUUUAAAGUGAUAGAUCAUGGCUUCUCUAUGGCUCGCCUCAAUGGUUGAUCCAAGUAAUUUAAAGCCCUGCAAAACCGAUUAACACGUUAUAAGCAAAAAAAUAUAUAUACUUGAAACGAUCAUCAAAAUUCUUAAAGCCUGUACCCCGUUGAUGAUAUGAGAUCCUUGACGACUUUCGGCCUCCCCGACUCGUUCGUAGCCGGAGGAGCAUCGAAGCCCGAGGGAAGACCGGCAAAGAAAUCAUCGAAGUCCGGAAUAGGGACCUCUUUCGCUUCCAUCGCCGAAAGCAAGGACUGGAUCCCAUCCUGGAAGCAUGGAAUCGUCCACCGAAAACUCUAUGUCACCAAGGUCAAUAUCUUUCCCCUUCGAAGAAUUCAGCCCCGUCGCACCCAUAGGAGCAGCGUCGGGACCUUGGUCAUUGGACUCGGAGUCACUCCCUGUUUCCCCGCCCAAAGCAAGACUAGGAUGCCCAAACCUCAAUGCCUUUCGAACUCUCUUCGGCGUAAAGGAAGUCCAGAAAAAAGGACCGUUCCUGAGAAGAUCCCUCACCGCGAUAAUAUCCUCAGGGAACGGAGCAAGAGGAUUGAUGAAGGGACGAUCAUUCGGCAACCUCCGGAACAAUGGGAUACAACUCUUUUCAACAGACGCAGCGUCUAUACGAACGAAGAAGAAAAAUUUCUUCCACGAGUUGAAGUUGGAAGUAAACCCUUUAAUCACUGACAUGAAGUUCCGAGGGACCAGCCUAUACUUGUCCGUAUCCUUGACGAUCUGUAACCUAAGAAGUGCUUCAAAGUGAUCGACGGUAAGGGAGAGACCAUGCUCGUAGCUUAGGAUCAGGAAUCCAAUGAGGUGCUGUUGCCAAGAGGAUUCAGUUGGCUUAUCGCCACCUCGAAACGAUCCAACAGACGUACGAUAAUUUCAGGAAUCGGGAACCACAAGCGACAGCGUAAUACGAAUGCUUCGUAACAAGUAAAGUAACCCUCCGGGGGACUGCUAGCGCGCUCUCCUUGACAAGGAACCCGGAACUCCACCGCAUCCGAAAUCUGAUAGAACGACCGCAUGAUCUCAAGGAAUUCACUAGUACUCGUACUUGGUGCACCUUCCUCGACCGGGCGACGGUUCAUGACCGGGAACGACUUCUCUUUGGGAGGUGUGAUCGAACCAUAACACGCGACCCACCAUGCCUCGUUCUCGGCCGGGUCUACCGAAUGAGGAACGAAUUCUAUCUUUGGCACAAGGAGCUCUUCAGGAACGUUCGCGGGCAAGGACCCUUUCUUCGAACUCCUUUUCUUACUCGACAUUUCGUAUUUUCCUUUUAAGAAUCAGGAAGAAAAGGGUAAAGAGAAAAAAAGAAAUUUUUGAAGAGACCUCUCUAUGAGAAUGAGUAAGUGUAAAGGUUCUGAAGAAGUUACCUCUCUUCUUAUAGGCAUGAGAAAUUACUAUUUACUUCCGGAUUUUUGGACACGAACUUCGCCCAAAUACACCAAUCUCAUCCGAACUCGCCAUGCCGCGCGUUAGAAUCUCACUAGAAAUCCACGAUUCUAAUGAGCUGGGGGGCUAACUGUUGGGGUCGAAAACGGUUACGACGAAGUUAACGUCCAAAUCUCCGCAAAAUACAAGUAUGUCUUUCCGCAACAAAUCAUGCUCGGUCAAGAAAACGUCGCAAGGUAUGUUCCCGAGAUAAAGCUUCGUUCGAAUUCUAUUUAGAUCAAACAUAAGCCAUCGGAAACAUACCCAGACCAGCUACGGAUAGGUCCGAGUAUGACGAUCAGAACACGGACUAACCAAGCUCGGUCAUUACGCAACUACCGCACAUGCACGCUGUCCGGUCGCUACGUAGCGACCGAGCUCGUCCGAAACGUCGAUACGACAUUAGUCCAUGCAUUCUCGUCUACCCUUCGAUGCUAUCUCCCGAAGACCGUAGCGAACCCAUUUCAUGUUUCCCGCCAUUCUAAGUCAUCGAUCAAACUUUACGGUAAAAACCGCGGAAAGUUCGUUCUUUAUCGAAAGAAGCCGUAAUAAACGCUUCGAGUCAGAAGACGGCCCAAAGGGACCUAAGACAUGACUCGAGGCCCAACUUACGAUUUCUUAGCCAACAGCCCAUAAGCCGCAUGACGGUUUGCGCUUGGUUCGCAAGAAAAGAUAAAUGUCAAGUUUUCGCAGAUAAAUACGAAAUUUUGAAGAUAAUUACGAAGAUCGGAAAAAAUGGAAUAUCUCCAUUUUUAUGCUUUGACGGCUUAAGGGCAGAAGUGGAAAAGCGUAAACCGACCUAGGAGCCAGUAUAUAAGGAGUCCUAGGCGAGAGGCAUGAAGAGAGACUUUUUUCGGAGCAAACUUAGCACUUAGAGCGAUUUAAGCAUAUUUUCGUUUUUGUUAUUUCGAACUGCGACUCAAUUAGGUUUAGCCGUCUUAGGGUUGCUAGAACUAGGAAUCUCGCCGACAGCUCUCGAACCUAGGCUUAUACCUUGUUGUAAUGCUCAAACAUGGAUUCGGAAUAAGAUCUAUUUUGCUCUCUUUUUACGAUUUUUGUACUUUGUCGUUGAUAUCUCGUGUUCUGAUUGCUUAGCGUGUGGUAUUAAGAGAUCUCUGGGACCUCUGGGAAAUUAGGGUUUUCCUAGUUUCCUAAUUUAAACGAAAAUCGACAGUGCGAAUUUCGGUUCCCACAAUGAUUGUUUUUUGCAUAUGUUGUUUGAAAUUUAUUUUAUAAUUAAAACUCGUUUUCACAUACAAGUUCAAGUUAAUAUUUGUAUUUUAUAAUCAUGGUACAUAGAUGAAUUGUUAUUAACUUUUUACAUAGGAUUAGAAAAAAUACUAUACCUAAACGUUUAAACUGAACACAAUCUACAAUCUGAAAUAAGAAAUUGAAUGAAAAGUGAAGAGAAAUGAAAGUCAAAUACACCAAUCGAGUUAAUGACAAUAUUAUACAUGUUUUUAAGUACUAAUUUAAUGUUUUAUUAAAUAAGACUUUAAAGUUAUAUUUUGCUGAGAUUUUUUUUUAAAAGGAAAACAUUCUAUUUUAUAAAUCUCUUUUUUUAUUUACAGAAAAAAUAAAAAAAUAAUAUUAAAUACUCUUAUACAGUUUUGUUUAAGAUUUUAGAAAAGGAAAAUUAAUGUCAUAUAACCUAUUACGAUUACCUUCUCUUUAGAAUUUCAGGAAAACAAAAUUGCUAUCAAAUAAUUAUUUUUAGCUAUUAAUAUAUAAUUUUAAAAUUACUCUUUUUACAAUUCGUAUUAAUACUAAUUUUACAUUUUUUUGUUAAUUAAAUAAUUUUUAUUAUUAUAUUUAUCAUCAAAUACUCUCUUAUAAAUAUUAUAAAAUAAAGUUGGGCUUUUUGCAGAAUUGACUUAUAACUUAAAGUCAAACACAAAACUAACCUCUUUUUUUUUUGAAAAUUGGUUUUGCCCUAUUCACCCCACAAGUUCAUAUAAUUUACGAAAAUGCCAUCAAUUUUUUUUUUCUUUUUUUCUUCGAAAAUGACAUUUUUACUCUCUCACCCUCAUCAUCUUCAAGUAAUUACAAGAUUGCCAUUGUCAUCAAUACCACAACCACCAUGAACAACCAAUUUGAAGCUCUUAAUGCUCCCAAAAUCGAUUUACCCUUCUUCUUUUUCCAUUCUUGUGAACUAAACACAACAUAUCUCUCACUUUCUCUCCACAAUGAGCUAAAAAAACUCAAGAUUUUGAUUCUACAUUUUUUAUGGUUCAUAGAGUCAUAGAAGCUAACGAUUCUGGGUGGGUUACUUUCGUUUGUGAUUCUGUGUGCUUGGAGAAGCCUUAUGUAUGCUAAGGAACUUAUCUCACCAAUUUAAGGUAUGACAUCGAGUUUUUUUCCAGAUCUGUUCGUCAGACGACUUACNNNNNNNNNNNNNNNNNNNNNNNNNNNNNNNNNNNNNNNNNNNNNNNNNNNNNNNNNNNNNNNNNNNNNNNNNNNNNNNNNNNNNNNNNNNNNNNNNNNNNNNNNNNNNNNNNNNNNNNNNNNNNNNNNNNNNNNNNNNNNNNNNNNNNNNNNNNNNNNNNNNNNNNNNNNNNNNNNNNNNNNNNNNNNNNNNNNNNNNNNNNNNNNNNNNNNNNNNNNNNNNNNNNNNNNNNNNNNNNNNNNNNNNNNNNNNNNNNNNNNNNNNNNNNNNNNNNNNNNNNNNNNNNNNNNNNNNNNNNNNNNNNNNNNNNNNNNNNNNNNNNNNNNNNNNNNNNNNNNNNNNNNNNNNNNNNNNNNNNNNNNNNNNNNNNNNNNNNNNNNNNNNNNNNNNNNNNNNNNNNNNNNNNNNNNNNNNNNNNNNNNNNNNNNNNNNNNNNNNNNNNNNNNNNNNNNNNNNNNNNNNNNNNNNNNNNNNNNNNNNNNNNNNNNNNNNNNNNNNNNNNNNNNNNNNNNNNNNNNNNNNNNNNNNNNNNNNNNNNNNNNNNNNNNNNNNNNNNNNNNNNNNNNNNNNNNNNNNNNNNNNNNNNNNNNNNNNNNNNNNNNNNNNNNNNNNNNNNNNNNNNNNNNNNNNNNNNNNNNNNNNNNNNNNNNNNNNNNNNNNNNNNNNNNNNNNNNNNNNNNNNNNNNNNNNNNNNNNNNNNNNNNNNNNNNNNNNNNNNNNNNNNNNNNNNNNNNNNNNNNNNNNNNNNNNNNNNNNNNNNNNNNNNNNNNNNNNNNNNNNNNNNNNNNNNNNNNNNNNNNNNNNNNNNNNNNNNNNNNNNNNNNNNNNNNNNNNNNNNNNNNNNNNNNNNNNNNNNNNNNNNNNNNNNNNNNNNNNNNNNNNNNNNNNNNNNNNNNNNNNNNNNNNNNNNNNNNNNNNNNNNNNNNNNNNNNNNNNNNNNNNNNNNNNNNNNNNNNNNNNNNNNNNNNNNNNNNNNNNNNNNNNNNNNNNNNNNNNNNNNNNNNNNNNNNNNNNNNNNNNNNNNNNNNNNNNNNNNNNNNNNNNNNNNNNNNNNNNNNNNNNNNNNNNNNNNNNNNNNNNNNNNNNNNNNNNNNNNNNNNNNNNNNNNNNNNNNNNNNNNNNNNNNNNNNNNNNNNNNNNNNNNNNNNNNNNNNNNNNNNNNNNNNNNNNNNNNNNNNNNNNNNNNNNNNNNNNNNNNNNNUACGAAUGCUUCGUAACAAGUAAAGUAACCCUCCGGGGGACUGCUAGCGCGCUCUCCUUGACAAGGAACCCGGAACUCCACCGCAUCCGAAAUCUGAUAGAACGACCGCAUGAUCUCGAGGAAUUCGCUUGUACUCCUACUUGGUGCACCUUCCUCGACCGGGCGAUGGUUCAUGACCGGGAAUGACUUCUCUUUUGGAGGUGUGAUCGAACCAUAACACGCGACCCACCAUGCCUCGUUCUCGGCCGGGUCUACCGAAUGAGGAACGAAUUCUAUCUUUGGCACAAGGAGCUCUUCAGGAACGUUCGCGGGCAAGGACCCUUUCUUCGAACUCCUUUUCUUACUCGACAUUUCGUAUUUUCCUUUUAAGAAUCAGGAAGAAAAGGAUAAAGAGAAAAAAAGAAAUUUUUGAAGAGACCUCUCUAUGAGAAUGAGUAAGUGUAAAGGUUCUGAAGAAGUUACCUCUCUUCUUAUAGGCAUGAGAAAUUACUAUUUACUUCCGGAUUUUUGGACACGAACUUCGCCCAAAUACACCAAUCUCAUCCGAACUCGCCAUGCCGCGCGUUAGAAUCUCACUAGAAAUCCACGAUUCUAAUGAGCUGGGGGGCUAACUGUUGGGGUCGAAAACGGUUACGACGAAGUUAACGUCCAAAUCUCCGCAAAAUACAAGUAUGUCUUUCCGCAACAAAUCAUGCUCGGUCAAGAAAACGUCGCAAGGUAUGUUCCCGAGAUAAAGCUUCGUUCGAAUUCUAUUUAGAUCAAACAUAAGCCAUCGGAAACAUACCCAGACCAGCUACGGAUAGGUCCGAGUAUGACGCGGUAAUAUUUGGACGACUUACAUGUAAGUCGUGUGUUUUAAUUUCUUCACCAGACGACUGAAAUGUAAGUCGUCCGAGUAAAAUGAUCCGGUUAGGUUAAAACGUACAUUGGUAAAUUAACGGUUCGGUACGAUGUGGACGACUUAAUAUUACGUCGUCCGAGUAAAUUAUUCAACAGACGACUGAAAUAUACGUCGUCCGAGUAAAUUAUUCAACAGACGACUGAAAUAUAAGUCGUCCACACCCUAAACAUAACCCCUAAACUUAAUUAUCUAAUUAAAGACUUCAUAAAAUCAAAUCAAACUUGAAAAGUGUUUACUAUACACAUAAAUAAACACAUAUAGGUGAAAACUAAUUUUUGAAAAAAACAUUUUAGUUUUCCAAAAUCUAACCCUAACAAUACAUACAAUACUACAACAUAUGUUUGCCAAACUCCUAAACCAAAGUAUUUCAUGAUUCACUACUUCCACUCAUCUAUCUUCAAAACAAAUCAAUUUUAUCAUAUCUUAAUUUAUAUCACUUAAAACUGUUUAUAAUUACUUGAUUUUUAUUUUUCACGCAUCAAAAUAUUUUUUUACAAGAUUUAUAAAUUAUUUUUAAAAUAAACCGGUACCAGACGACUUACACUUCAGUCAUCCAGACGACUUCCAACAUCUCAGACGACUCAGACGAUUUACUAGGGCUAUAUUCGUAAAAAUGGCUUCUGUUUUUUUGUUUGGUCACAAGGGGCUGAGCUAUAAUUUCACUAGGCUUUUAGGUUAGUUUUGCAUUUGAUUCAAGUUUGGGUAUAAGUUUGGGGUUAAAAUCAAGUUGUGGGUUAGUUUUGGCAAAAACCCCAAUAAAGUUUUACAAUUUUCUUUUGGUUAAGAGUUAAAAAUAUGAUACAAAUUUCUCUUGUUUAGGAUUUUUUUUUAUAAAAACAAAAAAAAAUUAUUAAAUAUUCUUUUACAAUUUUUAGGAUAUUAGAAAAGGAAAUUAAUAUUAUAUAAUCUCUUACAAUUAUAUUUUGUCUAGGAUUUAAAAAAUAAAAUUUCUAUCAAAUAAUUAUUUCCAUUUAAUAUUUUUUUUUAAAGUUGCCAUUUUCAAAAUUCGUUUUUUCAAUAUCAUAUUUUUACAAUUUUUCUUGUCAAUUAAAUAAUAGUUACUAUAAUGUUUAUUAUUAAUUUUAGUAAAAAAUACUAUUAAAUAAAAUUCUACAAUUCUCUCUGGUCAGGAUGUAAAAACAAAAUCUUAAUUUGUUAAGAUUAGAAAAUAUAUUUUUUUAGAAAUAUCUUUUAUUUAGAAUUUUAGGAAAAAAGAAGUUAUUUUCACUUAACACAGUUUUUAUUGACACAUUCACAAUCUAUUUUUUUUAGUUGACACAUGUCACAAUCAUAUCAUGUGAAAUAUUUGAAUUUAAUUUUGGUUUAUAUUUUUUUAAACACAAAAUUAUUAAAAAGUAAAAUUAGUUAAUUGUAAGAAAAAUAAGAUUACUUUUACAUUUUUAUUUUAUUUAGACUUUUAAAAGGAAAGCUAAUUAUUUGAUAAUUAGUUUUUCUUUUAUAUUUUUAUACAACUAUUUUAUUUUUAAUAGAAAAAAUUCUGUUAAAUUAUUUAUAUAUUUUGUCUUAUACAUACACACAUGUCACAAUAUUAUCAAAUAAUCUUUUGCAACUAUUUUUUGAUUAGGAUUUAAAAAAAAAUUAUUAUUAAAUAAUAUUUUUAAUUAUUUUUUAAUAAAAUUCAUUUUUGUUAAUAUCUUAGUAUAUAUAUUUUUAAUUAUGAGAUAGAUUAACACAACAAUCUUAAAUAUAUAAUUGUACUUACAAAAGAAACUGUUUGAAUCCUCUUCCAAUUGAGGCUCCUCAAUCGAUAUUACAUACCUGCGUAAAUGUUUUGCACACCAUUGGCUUAUCUACAUGAAGUGGAGCAAGAGAAGAUAAAUACAUAAACACUCUGGAGCUGAGGUUCGGGCCGUAAGCAGCAAAAGGGAAAAUAUUGUACCUUAAUACCAGAAGUAAGAAAGUACUGAUAGGAGUGAGGCUGGUCCAAAGCCAGGUAUUUUGAAGCAACAUGCAAAAUUGUCUUGUUCAACAAACAUUGGGACACGUCAAUACAUGUGAUGUCUUCCCAAGUGUAAAUAAUGCCGUCAAUGAUGAUUUGAAACAUGCCACAACAUACCAUUUAAAGCAUGUAUAGUUCUCUUAGUCCAAGUGAAUCCUAAAAGUAAACCAGAAAUGCAUGUGACAGAUAAACAUGACGCAGAUACAACUUAAGCGCUAAAACGUUCAACAUCAUUAUCCUGAAUUCUCUAUUCUCGUUAAUUUUGGUUUAUAUUUUUUUCAACACAAAAUUAUUAAAAAGUAAAGUUAGUUAAUUAUAAGAAAAAGAAGACUACUUUUACAUUUUCAUUUUAUUUAGACUUUCAAAAGGGAAACUAAUUAUUUGAUAAUUAGUUUUUCUUUUAUAUUUUUAUACAGCUAUUUUAUUUUUAAUAGAAACAAUUCUGUUAAAAUAUUUAUAUAUUUUGUCUUAUACAUACAAACACAUGUCACAAUAUUUCAAAUAAUCUUUUGCAAUUAUUUUUUAUUAGGAUUUUAAAAAAGAAAAAUUACUAUUAAAUAAUAUUUAUAACUACUUUUUAAUAAAAAAACAAUUAUCAGAUAUUCUUUUACAGUUUUUUAGGAUAUUAGAAAAGGAAAUUAAUAUUAUAUAAUCUCUUACAAUUAUAUUUUGUCUAGGAUUUAAAAAAUAAAAUUUCUAUCAAAUAAUUAUUUCCAUUUAAUAUUUUUUUUUAAAGUUGCCAUUUUCAAAAUUCGUUUUUUCAAUAUCAUAUUUUUACAAUUUUUCUUGUCAAUUAAAUAAUAGUUACUAUAAUGUUUAUUAUUAAUUUUAGUAAAAAAUACUAUUAAAUAAAAUUCUACAAUUCUCUCUGGUCAGGAUGUAAAAACAAAAUCUUAAUUUGUUAAGAUUAGAAAAUAUAUUUUUUUAGAAAUAUCUUUUAUUUAGAAUUUUAGGAAAAAAGAAGUUAUUUUCACUUAACACAGUUUUUAUUGACACAUUCACAAUCUAUUUUUUUUAGUUGACACAUGUCACAAUCAUAUCAUGUGAAAUAUUUGAAUUUAAUUUUGGUUUAUAUUUUUUUAAACACAAAAUUAUUAAAAAGUAAAAUUAGUUAAUUGUAAGAAAAAUAAGAUUACUUUUACAUUUUUAUUUUAUUUAGACUUUUAAAAGGAAAGCUAAUUAUUUGAUAAUUAGUUUUUCUUUUAUAUUUUUAUACAACUAUUUUAUUUUUAAUAGAAAAAAUUCUGUUAAAUUAUUUAUAUAUUUUGUCUUAUACAUACACACAUGUCACAAUAUUAUCAAAUAAUCUUUUGCAACUAUUUUUUGAUUAGGAUUUAAAAAAAAAUUAUUAUUAAAUAAUAUUUUUAAUUAUUUUUUAAUAAAAUUCAUUUUUGUUAAUAUCUUAGUAUAUAUAUUUUUAAUUAUGAGAUAGAUUAACACAACAAUCUUAAAUAUAUAAUUGUACUUACAAAAGAAACUGUUUGAAUCCUCUUCCAAUUGAGGCUCCUCAAUCGAUAUUACAUACCUGCGUAAAUGUUUUGCACACCAUUGGCUUAUCUACAUGAAGUGGAGCAAGAGAAGAUAAAUACAUAAACACUCUGGAGCUGAGGUUCGGGCCGUAAGCAGCAAAAGGGAAAAUAUUGUACCUUAAUACCAGAAGUAAGAAAGUACUGAUAGGAGUGAGGCUGGUCCAAAGCCAGGUAUUUUGAAGCAACAUGCAAAAUUGUCUUGUUCAACAAACAUUGGGACACGUCAAUACAUGUGAUGUCUUCCCAAGUGUAAAUAAUGCCGUCAAUGAUGAUUUGAAACAUGCCACAACAUACCAUUUAAAGCAUGUAUAGUUCUCUUAGUCCAAGUGAAUCCUAAAAGUAAACCAGAAAUGCAUGUGACAGAUAAACAUGACGCAGAUACAACUUAAGCGCUAAAACGUUCAACAUCAUUAUCCUGAAUUCUCUAUUCUCCCGAUAUUAACCAUACAAAAUUCUCUAUCCUCACGUUUAAAUCUUUUCUUUGCUUUCAAACUAAAACGAAAAGAUUUAAUUUCUGAAUGUAUAAUUAUCAAUCUUAAUCAGAAGUUAGGAGAUUGAAAUCACUGAACAAAGAUAAUAUAUAGACCAAACGUCUCUUGAAAUGGAAUAAAUUAUGCAUAUGGUGGAAGAUGAGGGGAAAAUUGCCAAAUAUGACUCACAACUUGAUUUCAAACACAAAGGUUAACCCAAACUUGAAACAAAUGCAAAAGUAACCUAAAAGGCUAUUGAAAUUACAACCAACCCCUUGUGAACAAACAAAAAAACCGAAAUUUUUUUACGUUUCUAACCCCCGUAAGUCGUCUGCCCAGACGACUUUCCAGUAAGUCGUCCAGACGACUUUCCAGUAAGUCGUCCAGACGACUUUCCAAGAAGUCGUCCAGACGAUUUUCCAGUAAGUCGUCCAGACGACUUACCAGAAAGUCGUCCAGACGACUUAUCUGGACUAGUUUUACUUAGAAAUAAUUUAAAAAUUUUGUAAAAAAUAUUUUGAUAAGCGAAAAAUUGAAAUCAUGUAAUUAACAUAUGUUUUAAGAGAUAUAAAUUAAGAUAUAACAAAAGUUAAUUGUUUUCAACAUAGAUGAGUGAAAGUAGUGAGUCAUGAUAUUCUUUGGUUUAGGUUUUGCCAACAUAUGUUGUAGUAUUGUAUGUGUUCUUAGGGUUAGAUUUUGGAAUGCAUAAAUGUUUUUUUGAAAACUUUAAAAUUUACCUAAGUGUUUUAAUUCUGUGUAUAGUAAACACUAUUUAAGUAUAACUACGGGUUUAUAACGUGGUUAGUUAGUUAAUUUAGUCAAUUUAGUUUAGGGGUUAAAUUUAGGGUCUGGGACGACUUACUAGUAAGUCGUCUGAUGUACAGUAUUCAACAGACGACUUACUAGUAAGUCGUCCAAACCGGACCAAACCUUUAAUUUUACAAUGUACUUUUAAACCUAACCGGAUUAUUUACCGGCCAUAUAUAAGGUGUUUUUUUUUUCCUGUUUAUCGAAAAUCAGAAGCCGUUUCUCUCAAAGGCGAUUUCGAAGGCGAUUUCCGUCGAUUCUCUCUAAUCCAUCGUUCUCAUCGUUCUCACCGCCGGUUAUCUCUCCGCCGUUAUCACCGUCGUUCUCACCACCGUUCUCACAGCCGCUUCCUCUAUUUAAGAUCCGAGAGGAAACCCUAGCGCGCAUUCUCUCAGAGGCGUCUCGUUGAACUCCGCCGCCGGUAAGUUAUAUCUCUUACUGUCGAGUGAUUGAUUGAGGAAAAGAUGAACAUAAAACUGGAAGUCUUGGAAGACUUAUAAUUAAGUCGUCUGGGAAGUCUUCCAGCUGGAAGACUUUCCAGACGACUUAAUUAUAAGUCUUUCAGUUGGAAAACUUGCCAGACGACUUAAUUAUAAGUCUUUGAUUGUUUGAGAUGGUUGUCUUUGAUUGUUUUGCAGGCAAAAAAAAAAAAUGGAGAUGCCAGAACUCCCCCGUAGGAUAUAUACAUUAGGGGAAGAGCCCCCCGCAGUGCAUAGCAUUUCGUAUCAUACUUGUUGGACGUUGCAUGCUGCUUUAAAGAAAGCUCUUCAUGAUGACGAAUAUGAAGAGCUGAAGGAGUCGAAGUUGGGAGUUUUCAUCAAGUUCCAAGAGCUGGGAUUUGAUUGGGCUUCAAGGCUGGUUCACUACAUGCUCGGUUUCCAGCUGGACAUAAAGAAGAAGUAUGAGCUGUGGAGUCUCGUUGGUCCAGAACCUGUGAGGUUUUCACUGUUAGAGUUUGAAAACCUCACUGGUCUAAACUGCGAGUACAUCGAGGACCUUGAGAGACCUCACUCUGUUGUUACAAAGGAGUUGACUUCUUUUUGGGAGAUGCUGGGAGUUCAUGUCGAAGCUGGGCCAUCUACUCAGGAGAUAAUAGCAGCACUUGAGAGAUGCGAAGGGUGGUCUCGGGAUGAUCGCAAGCGGCUCGCGUACCUUGCCAUCUUCACUGGAUACAUUGAAGGGAGAAAGUAUUCAACCCCUACACGGGUUAGUCUGGCAAGGCUAGUGAUGGAGCUAGAACGGUUUGAGAAUUAUCCAUGGGGGAGAGUCGCGUUUAAGGUGCUGAUGGACUCUGUGAAGGGCAGAGAUAUUUCGGGUUGUUACACUAUUAAUGGGUUUGCGCAAGCUCUCCAGGUCUGGGUGUACACAGCUCUUCCGGAAUUGGGUGCUACUUUUGGUAAUCCUCUCCCAAACAAUCCGUCUCCACCGAUACUGGCUUACAAGGGUCGCAAAGGACGCAGACAGUUUAAAGAGGCUAUCCUCAGUCAGGUAUUUACUUCAAUCUGGACGACUUCGCAGAAAACUUAUAAUUAAGUCGUCUGAUAAGUCUUCCAAUUAGACGACUUAGUAGAAGACUUAUAAUUAAGUCGUCUGGAAAGUCUUCCAGCUGGAUGACUUAGUAGAAGCCUUAUAAUUAAGUCGUCUGGGAAGACUAUCCAGACUACUUAAUUAUAAGUCUUCUACUAAGUCUUCCAGCUGGAAGACUUUCCAGACGACUUAAUUAUAAGUCGUCUGUGAAGUCUUUUCUUUCCAUCUUUCUUAAUCCGUCAAAUAUCUAAGUUCAUAUCUUCUAUUUACUGCAGACUAGGGUGAUCAACUUUGUUCAGAAGGACAUUGGUGAAAUGUUUCCAAAAUGGGAGUUUGAUGUUGAGGACACGCUCGCGGAGAACAUAAUUAAACUCAUGUUUGUGAAGAAACCGUGGAAGUGGACCAUGGAUUGCUGGGAAGUCACCGGUACUUGGGUCAAUACAAAGCCGGCGGUUGUGAGUCCAGCGAAGAAAAAGGUAGUGAAGGAAGACAGUCCAAGACCUCGGAAGAAAGCUCGUAAAGAGGCACCUGCAGAAGCUAGUGAAGAGGCAGCUGCAGAGGCUAGUGAAGAGGCAGCUGCAGAGGCUAGUGAAGAGGCGACUACGACUGUUGGUGGUUUGACCAAAGAGGAUAUUAAAACUAUGUUCAAGGACAUAGCUGAUGCCAUGAGGGAAGGGUUUGGGACGUGCCUUAAGGAGAUCAAGUAUCUGUCGGAAAGGGUGGAAGCUGUGGAGAAGAAGGUUGGUAUCACCACAAAACGGAAAGGGACAUCAUCUCAAAACACUACCUCUCCACCUAAACCGACGCUCGAACCCGGGGUUAGUAACAAAUCCUUGGAUUUUAUAUAUGUAUUUUGUUUCAUGUUUGAAGACACUCAUUGGUUAUUAUUGUAUAAACCCAUCUUGUAUAUUGCAGAGUGAAAGUGUCAAUGGGACGAACGCGGGAAGGAAGAGCUUGGCGGAGGAUAAAGGUCCAGAUGUGCCCGCAGAUGUGCCCGCAGAUGCUAGUUCCUCGGAAGAUAAAGCUCCAGAACCGAGCCUUGUUCUAUUGGACAAAAAUCAAUCCACUGUUUCAGAUUUACAGAAGGAGGAUGCUAGAUAUCUAGAAAAGAAGGAUGCUGCUUUGGCACUUUGCCGUGCAAAGAGUGAUCGAACAAGGAAACUUGCUGCCUCACAGAAAUCUCCUUAUACGGCAAACAGCACGGCCAGAGUGAUCAUUUCAAACAGAAAGCUUUAUCCAGGCUAUAAUCCUUUUGCACCAAUUGACAAGACGAAGUUGAAGGAGCUCGCUGAUUGGUUGAAAUCUUGUCCGUAAGUGUUUGCUUUUCCCAUAAUAGCUUGCUUUUCACAUAAUAGCUUGCUUUUCCCAUAAAACCUGAUUGCUUUUCAACAUUUUGUGUUUGCAGUCAUUAUAGAACAGCUCUCGAUAAAAAACCACGUAAAAGUAGAACUUGGUGGUAUCAAAUCCUCCGAACCUCCCUAGAGUGGCUGGAGGACUGUGUAAGUCUUCUGCUAUGACGUAGACAACUUACUUGUAAGUCGUCUGGUAAGUCUUCUACGUAGACGACUUAUCAGACGACUUAAUUCGUCUACGACUUACUUGUAAGUCGUCUGGUAAGUCGUCUACGUAGAAGACUUACCACUAAGUCGUCUGAUAUCUUCUGACUUGUACUCUAUUUUAUAUGCAGCAUAUUGAUGCUUGGAUUAAUGUGCUGAGGAAGAGGUACGACGCUAACCCACAACAUUUCAGGAGCGAGAGAAUGUGCUUCCUUGAUCAUCUCUUUGCUCAGCAAUGGAGAUUCAACUUCAAGGAUUUUAAGGACUCGAAGCCCGAUCACAACGGUUUAGGAAGAAGACUCCCUGGUGGGGCGUGGAAUUAUUAUGCAGGCACUAUACCAUCAUUUUGCCAAUCGAACAAGGUUUGGGGGACGGAUAUUGAUGAUAUCUAUGCGCCAGUAAACUUCGCCGACAGUCAUUGGAUUGCUAUGUGGAUAUCGAUCCCUAAGAGGCACAUAGUCGUCUUUGACAGCAUUUGUUCCAGUAUCUCCCCAGAAGAACUCGAUGUGGUAAUGGAGCCUUUUCUCUACAUGGUCCCUUAUCUGCUUGUUGAGUGCGCUUCCUCAGACGAACUACGUGCCCAAUACAGCCUGGAGCCAUUCACAUAUGAGAGACCGACCAAUAUACCUCCGGCCCGAGCUGGUGAUUGUGGCGUGUACACUCUAAAGUACAUUGAAUGUCAUGCUCUUGGGAUAGAGUUUAGUAAAAAAGACUUUGCUAAGGCCAACGGGAAGAGUAUGAGGGAUAAGAUGGCGGUGGAUAUAUUUCAAGAGCUUCCUGACGCGCAUGAGUUCGAAAACAAGGACAUGGAUGACAUCCUGGGUACGUAUGACGGGUGAUAAACAGGCCACUUUAGAUUAUUUUGUAUGAUAGAUUAGGCUGAUGUGUGUAUUUGAACUUGAUCCCUAUUUUGUAUUUGAACUUGAUCCCUAUUUUGUAACUAUAUUCUGCGCAGAAGACUUACAGUUAAGUCGUCUGGAAUGUUGGACGACUUAACUAUAAGUAGUCUGGAAAGUCUUCUGAGCAGUGACCUUUUGUAACUAUAUUUCGGAUAAUAUAAAGGGCAAGACCAUCUCAAAUUUGUUUGGUAGUGCAAUUUGACAAAGAAGUUGACACAGAUAAGUUCAUAACACAAAUUUUUAGUACAUAGACUGAACACUGGACGACUAACUUGAAGGUCUUCUGGAAGAAAAAACUCUGGACGACUAACUGGACGACCUUCUGGACGACUUAAUUGAAGGUCUUCUGGAAGACUAAACACAAGACGACUAACUGGACGACCUUCUGGACGACUUAAUUGCAGGUCUUCUGGAAGACUAAUCACUGGAUGACUAACUUGAAGGUCUUCUGGAAGAAAAAACCCUGGACGACUAACUGGACGACCUUCCGGACGACUUAAUUGAAGUUCUUCUGGAAAACUAAUCACUGGACGACUUACGUUGUGGUUUCGUAUGGUCAGUUUCCUUGCAUUUUGAGCAUCUAUAAACCAUGUGUUGCUUCCGGGGUUUGCGUCCUCUCAUCCUGGAUAGCUCCAACCAAGAUUGCCAUCUUGAUUUCUUCUNNNNNNNNNNNNNNNNNNNNNNNNNNNNNNNNNNNNNNNNNNNNNNNNNNNNNNNNNNNNNNNNNNNNNNNNNNNNNNNNNNNNNNNNNNNNNNNNNNNNNNNNNNNNNNNNNNNNNNNNNNNNNNNNNNNNNNNNNNNNNNNNNNNNNNNNNNNNNNNNNNNNNNNNNNNNNNNNNNNNNNNNNNNNNNNNNNNNNNNNNNNNNNNNNNNNNNNNNNNNNNNNNNNNNNNNNNNNNNNNNNNNNNNNNNNNNNNNNNNNNNNNNNNNNNNNNNNNNNNNNNNNNNNNNNNNNNNNNNNNNNNNNNNNNNNNNNNNNNNNNNNNNNNNNNNNNNNNNNNNNNNNNNNNNNNNNNNNNNNNNNNNNNNNNNNNNNNNNNNNNNNNNNNNNNNNNNNNNNNNNNNNNNNNNNNNNNNNNNNNNNNNNNNNNNNNNNNNNNNNNNNNNNNNNNNNNNNNNNNNNNNNNNNNNNNNNNNNNNNNNNNNNNNNNNNNNNNNNNNNNNNNNNNNNNNNNNNNNNNNNNNNNNNNNNNNNNNNNNNNNNNNNNNNNNNNNNNNNNNNNNNNNNNNNNNNNNNNNNNNNNNNNNNNNNNNNNNNNNNNNNNNNNNNNNNNNNNNNNNNNNNNNNNNNNNNNNNNNNNNNNNNNNNNNNNNNNNNNNNNNNNNNNNNNNNNNNNNNNNNNNNNNNNNNNNNNNNNNNNNNNNNNNNNNNNNNNNNNNNNNNNNNNNNNNNNNNNNNNNNNNNNNNNNNNNNNNNNNNNNNNNNNNNNNNNNNNNNNNNNNNNNNNNNNNNNNNNNNNNNNNNNNNNNNNNNNNNNNNNNNNNNNNNNNNNNNNNNNNNNNNNNNNNNNNNNNNNNNNNNNNNNNNNNNNNNNNNNNNNNNNNNNNNNNNNNNNNNNNNNNNNNNNNNNNNNNNNNNNNNNNNNNNNNNNNNNNNNNNNNNNNNNNNNNNNNNNNNNNNNNNNNNNNNNNNNNNNNNNNNNNNNNNNNNNNNNNNNNNNNNNNNNNNNNNNNNNNNNNNNNNNNNNNNNNNNNNNNNNNNNNNNNNNNNNNNNNNNNNNNNNNNNNNNNNNNNNNNNNNNNNNNNNNNNNNNNNNNNNNNNNNNNNNNNNNNNNNNNNNNNNNNNNNNNNNNNNNNNNNNNNNNNNNNNNNNNNNNNNNNNNNNNNNNNNNNNNNNNNNNNNNNNNNNNNNNNNNNNNNNNNNNNNNNNNNNNNNNNNNNNNNNNNNNNNNNNNNNNNNNNNNNNNNNNNNNNNNNNNNNNNNNNNNNNNNNNNNNNNNNNNNNNNNNNNNNNNNNNNNNNNNNNNNNNNNNNNNNNNNNNNNNNNNNNNNNNNNNNNNNNNNNNNNNNNNNNNNNNNNNNNNNNNNNNNNNNNNNNNNNNNNNNNNNNNNNNNNNNNNNNNNNNNNNNNNNNNNNNNNNNNNNNNNNNNNNNNNNNNNNNNNNNNNNNNNNNNNNNNNNNNNNNNNNNNNNNNNNNNNNNNNNNNNNNNNNNNNNNNNNNNNNNNNNNNNNNNNNNNNNNNNNNNNNNNNNNNNNNNNNNNNNNNNNNNNNNNNNNNNNNNNNNNNNNNNNNNNNNNNNNNNNNNNNNNNNNNNNNNNNNNNNNNNNNNNNNNNNNNNNNNNNNNNNNNNNNNNNNNNNNNNNNNNNNNNNNNNNNNNNNNNNNNNNNNNNNNNNNNNNNNNNNNNNNNNNNNNNNNNNNNNNNNNNNNNNNNNNNNNNNNNNNNNNNNNNNNNNNNNNNNNNNNNNNNNNNNNNNNNNNNNNNNNNNNNNNNNNNNNNNNNNNNNNNNNNNNNNNNNNNNNNNNNNNNNNNNNNNNNNNNNNNNNNNNNNNNNNNNNNNNNNNNNNNNNNNNNNNNNNNNNNNNNNNNNNNNNNNNNNNNNNNNNNNNNNNNNNNNNNNNNNNNNNNNNNNNNNNNNNNNNNNNNNNNNNNNNNNNNNNNNNNNNNNNNNNNNNNNNNNNNNNNNNNNNNNNNNNNNNNNNNNNNNNNNNNNNNNNNNNNNNNNNNNNNNNNNNNNNNNNNNNNNNNNNNNNNNNNNNNNNNNNNNNNNNNNNNNNNNNNNNNNNNNNNNNNNNNNNNNNNNNNNNNNNNNNNNNNNNNNNNNNNNNNNNNNNNNNNNNNNNNNNNNNNNNNNNNNNNNNNNNNNNNNNNNNNNNNNNNNNNNNNNNNNNNNNNNNNNNNNNNNNNNNNNNNNNNNNNNNNNNNNNNNNNNNNNNNNNNNNNNNNNNNNNNNNNNNNNNNNNNNNNNNNNNNNNNNNNNNNNNNNNNNNNNNNNNNNNNNNNNNNNNNNNNNNNNNNNNNNNNNNNNNNNNNNNNNNNNNNNNNNNNNNNNNNNNNNNNNNNNNNNNNNNNNNNNNNNNNNNNNNNNNNNNNNNNNNNNNNNNNNNNNNNNNNNNNNNNNNNNNNNNNNNNNNNNNNNNNNNNNNNNNNNNNNNNNNNNNNNNNNNNNNNNNNNNNNNNNNNNNNNNNNNNNNNNNNNNNNNNNNNNNNNNNNNNNNNNNNNNNNNNNNNNNNNNNNNNNNNNNNNNNNNNNNNNNNNNNNNNNNNNNNNNNNNNNNNNNNNNNNNNNNNNNNNNNNNNNNNNNNNNNNNNNNNNNNNNNNNNNNNNNNNNNNNNNNNNNNNNNNNNNNNNNNNNNNNNNNNNNNNNNNNNNNNNNNNNNNNNNNNNNNNNNNNNNNNNNNNNNNNNNNNNNNNNNNNNNNNNNNNNNNNNNNNNNNNNNNNNNNNNNNNNNNNNNNNNNNNNNNNNNNNNNNNNNNNNNNNNNNNNNNNNNNNNNNNNNNNNNNNNNNNNNNNNNNNNNNNNNNNNNNNNNNNNNNNNNNNNNNNNNNNNNNNNNNNNNNNNNNNNNNNNNNNNNNNNNNNNNNNNNNNNNNNNNNNNNNNNNNNNNNNNNNNNNNNNNNNNNNNNNNNNNNNNNNNNNNNNNNNNNNNNNNNNNNNNNNNNNNNNNNNNNNNNNNNGGGGAUAUGGUUGUUCUUAAAACAAUUUGAAGAAUACAAAACAAUCAUUUGCCAUCUUACUCUCUGAUAUUACUCGAGUCAAACAGUAAAUACAUGCUUUCUAGCUCCUUUCUACUAAACUACAGAAUCUUAUAAACGAAGAGGGAUAAAUAUACCUUAGGCAUACUACUUAGAGCUUCAGAAUAUUGACCUAUGUUCCGCCAACUCAAUCUCGUGACUGAUAUUUGGAAUGUCGUCUUCUUCUGUAGAAUGUGGCCGGCACUGGAACGACACGUUUCUCUGCCAAAAUAGCUAACGGUGGCUCCGUAGAAGUAAUUGUUUUGAGUCAUCGGGAACCAAACCGUGAGGAUUUGGAACAAUCUUAUUCAUAUGAUCGAAUCUCAUCAGUACUGAAAAUAAACUUGUAUAGCCAUUCUUAGCUCUAGAAAUCUAUACGAUCGAGAGGAAUGAAGAUAUGAGUUUCAAUGGAAGGAGAUUACCUAUUUAUAGUGAAUAAUCCACACAAUGGCAGUAAGGGGAAAGCAUUGAAAGAGAAAUCGUGUGAAGAAUGAGAGAUGUUAUUAAUCAGGGCGUUAAAGACCACGUUUGAUUGCAUCUGAUUUUCAUAAAGAUCCCAGAAUUCUUUUGCUGGUGAGAUUAAAAUCAAUCAAAAAGACACAAUCGCCGGAUUCUAACAGGCUUUCAUCGGAAUUAAUGGCAAAACAUAAUAAUACAGAUGGAGAUUCGAUGGCGGUAAGAAGAACAGUCUUUUACUAUCUCGUCGGCGACGCAGAGUCGCAGACUUUCGCAUACGAAGAGUGAGAAGAGAGAGACGGUUGAGAUUAAUAGGAAACCAUUACAGCCCACUAAAAGGACCGAUUGAUUUGGGUGAACAUGUGUCACUCUCCCCUUGAUUUACUUAAUGACGUGGCUUUCUUGAGAGCAAACACAACUUUAUAAUAGUAGAUACUAGGGUCAGCCCGCCCUACGGAUGGUAUAUACUUUACUUGUAUGAUGUGGUGGUUCGUGUUUUAGGUUUGCAUUUGCAAGAAAUGUGUAUAAUAAUGUUUAUUGUCUAGUAGAAAAAUUAAAUGAUGAAGGACAUUAUAUCCAUUUUUACUUAACGUUUGAUGUUUGAUUAUUUUUGUCACUUGUUUUUGUAUUUUUAUUUGUUGUUAAAUAUAUUUUUUGACAUUAUAUUAUUUAGUUAUUAUCUAUGUUUGUUUGUUAUGUUUUAUAAUGAGAACACAUUUUAUAUCAUCUUUACAUACGUCUAACUUAAAUUAUUUAUUUUUAUUUUUAUUUUUAUUGUUAGAGAUUAUAAGUUUGUAUUAGUAUGAUACGUAUGAUUGAAAUGGUAUACAUUGUUAAAUGUUUGCUCAAUUUUUAUAUAUAGAGUAAGUAUAUUCGAGUUUCUAUUGUUUUGGUUAGGUUUAGUGCUCAAGACAUCGAUUAUUUUACAUUUUGUAUAUAUUGAAUGUACUUGUAUUUUUAAUAAAAAAUUAUUAUUCAGUUUCUGUGUAUAAUUAGUGGUUAUUUUACUUAUUCUAUUACCUCAAUUGUUUUCAUUUGCUAUACCGAGUAAUACAUUAUUUUAAUUUUAAAUUUAUUAUGGGGCAGAAAAAAAGAUAGUAUAAUAUAGGUAAUAUAUGUUUGGUUUUAUAACAUGUUUGCCAAGCAAUAUACGCUCUGGAAUGGCGGAGAACAAAAAUUGGAAGAACCCUACCAUCAAAUCUGAGACGCUUACGUUUGCACUCUAUAUUAGGCUGGUUCUUUCAGCAAAACAUAAAGCCAAAACACAAAACAAAGCCCGCAUCUAUUGAAUAACUACGUUAAUGAAACGCUUUGGAUUGUGUGAAAGGACACGUGUCGCGCCGUCGUGAACCGAAGCUGGAUUAUACAUUUCAGUUUUUAUAUAUAUUAUUUAUGAUAGCUUGGAUUAUACAUUUUAAUAUGUUAUAUAUAUAUAUUAUUUAUGUCAUAUUUUUUUUACUUUGCUUAUAUGUUAUUUAAUGUUUAUAAUAUAUUUUAUUACAAAUAUGGUAAUAUAAAUGUUCAUUAUUGUAAAUUUAAAACUUUUAAAAAUGUUGUAUGAAUUAAAUACACUAAAACUUCUAUGAAAAAACAUUACUAUUAUAUAUCAUUUGUUAAACUAUAAACAGAAACAAUAUAUUACAAUCUAAGUAUAGUUUUUAUUUAAUAUUUUUUUUAUAUUUUAAAAAAGAUAAUUAUAUAUUAUGUGUAAACUAUUGUAUCAUUUAUUCGUGUGUAUCAUCCUUUCGGUUGAAAUUGUUUGAUAUUCUCCAAAUUUUAUUGUAAAAACUAAAUUUAAUAAUAGGACUAUUGAGAUAUUUUUAUAAAAUUAUUUCAUUUUAACGGUGUAAAUCUUUUAUAUGUUUAUUUUAUUUUACUUUUAUUAUUUUAGUCCAAUAAUGGUAUAUUGCGUCUCUUGUUCAUAUUAUGUAAAUACAUAUUUUGUUUUCAUAUUAGUAUUUGAUUUAUAUUUGAGGACUUUCGAAGUCAUGACAUAAAUUUUGUCAAAAAUUUACACAUUUUAUUAUUUUAUUUUAUUUACUGUUUUAAAUAUAUAUUUUUACGUUUCCUAAGGAUCCACAUUUUUAAAUAGUUAUUAAAAAAACACAUUUUUAUAUCAACCGAAAAACACUCACUUCUCUCUCUCUCUAGGAAAAGACAAAGUACAAAAAAUAUUUGUUCAAGUGGAGGCAUGAGACGCUUGAUGGGAUUCGUGAGGGGUAACUUUUGUUUCUGAAAGAUGAUGCUUUGAUAUGCACUCGCAUGUCUUUUCAUUUUCUUUCUGGCCUCAUUCCUUCCAGAUGUAUAAUAAAGAUGUAGUGGUCACAGAUCACUCUGCUCUAGUUCAUACCGCUACUCAACUUAAAGUAUUCCGAAAAUCCGACUACAACACCAUAUCCUAUUGGUAUCCUCGUUUCAGGGGGAAUAUCUCGGGCCACACUUGGGGUUGAAUCUGUAUAAAUCCACUGAAUGGAGCACAUUAGAGACUUCAAAAUGAAUAAAUUUAAACUAUGAAUAUCCAUCAGCAAGAUCAUGACAGGAACGGUAACAGCCAUAGGGUCGAAGCAAAUACUCUUUGGUUUACCUGAAAGAACGGGAUGUACAGAGCCUCUGCAGCAGUCGGUCUGUUGCGUGGAUCUCAGAGAAGAGCCACUGAAAGAUCAUGAAAAAGGUAAAAGAUUGGUGUCCGAGAAUAAACGUACCUGAUGGAGUACCACUCAAACUGAUACUAACCAAUUUUUAUGUGUAUACAUAGGAUUGUAGAAGUACUUCAAAUGUCCUUUACCUGUCAGCACAAAGCUUUUAGAGUCAGUAAGGCAGCGAUGGUAUGUCAACUAAUCAAAAUAUGGGUCACUGAAGUAGAAAUAUACACACAUAUAUUGAUAUUCUGAAAGAGACAUUGCAAUAGAAAAAAGGAAUCAAAUCUUACCAGCGUAUAACAACAUGCUGUAUCAAUGUGAACUUGGAUUAAUCUCCCCUGCCAGUUCAAAAUCAGAAAUGAUAAUUAUGGGUUGAAACAGAUCUUUUGCAACAACCAACACAGCAUAAACAUAUAUUGUUGAUAAACAACUGGCUUACGAUCGUGUAGGAGCUAACCACGUUGAUGCAUCUAAGAAUCACCUUCAACACCGUGAUAUCCCAUAUACACGUCUCCAUUAAGUUUUUAUUUCUUCCAGCUUGAUCCUGCUUGCUUCUCUUGGGUCCAACAAUCUCUCUUGAAACAUGAUCACAAACACAAAAUCAACAUCUCAAGAGAAUAUCUUGCACUAAACUAUAACUCAUAUUCUUAUACAUACGGUUCACGAAUCCAUAAAAAGAACACUUUUUUAUAGUAAGAGGUAAGAGAAAAAGAUUGUGAAAUAAAAAACCUUUGAAUUGGAAGUUGUAUGAGUCAACGAAGUUGGAGUCCCCUUUCCAUUAUCACCUGAGAUCAACUUUGAGUUCGGUUUCAAUGUCUGAACUCGAUCUAAAUGUCUAUAAAAAAUAUGUUAAAGAAGUUUCUUCUGUUAGGAAGUGUGAUGAUGAUGUUCAGGGUACGAAGGCUUACCUUUUUGUAGGUGGAGAUACACCGCCUCUAAGAGAGCAUUGAAUGAGACAUCGUGCUUGAGUGAAUCAAGAAAUCUCGUAACGUCUAGGAGAAUAAGAACCAAAGAUGGAACGACAAAUCGAAGCUUGACACAGAGCUUCUUCACAACGACUCGUCUCACUCGACAUUCAGAAAUACCAUUGUUGCUGGAACUUAUCAAAGCUUCGAGGAUACGACGAACCCUAAGAGACGGACACGACAAAUUGUGAAUAAGAUAGAAGGACCAAAGGGCCAGCUUUUAACGGGCCAAAACUUUUCCCCUCUGAACCCAAUAGAAAUAACAAUCUGAAAAAAAUAAAAGUCAGGAGACACAUGUCGCAAGCACAGAAGUCGAAUUAUCUACGUGGAAUCUGAUGUGGCGCAAGAAGAGAGAAGAAAACCCUUUUUUAUAAUAAUAUAUAUAGAUAGAUGUUGAAAAUUCAAAUUAGCUUCAUGUCAUAAAACUAAAAUGAUAUUAAAUUAGAUUAAACGCUGAGUAAAAUUUAAAUUUUAUCACAGAUAGUUAUUAUUAUUAUUUUUUUUUGACAUCAAUCAUCUACAGACUCAUACUGACUCUGUAAACCAAACCGGUAACUCUGCAUCUUUUUGAUUUUCCGUCCGAGGUACAUGAACGAUCUCUGAGUUUAGAAAGCUUCUUUUCAGAAGCUUAAUGUCUUCCAAGUAAUUGUCAAACGCAGGCCAUUCUUCUGGUUCUGAAACCAUCUUUACCAAUUGAGAACAAUCUGUCGCAAAUGUGACCUGAAAUUGCCGUACAUUCCGCAUGCAUUCCAUUGCCCAUAUUAGCGCUUCUACCUCCGAAUGAAGAGGUGAAAGACUUGCCCUGACAUUCUGUGCCCCUAGCAAUCCAUCAAAACCCGCUAAAGUGUUGUACCAGCAUUGUCCUGAAAAUUGUUCCUUAUCUUUCCAUGAGCCAUCUAUGAAACACCAUCUUCCCGGUAUUGUUGGUACAAUUCUUUCCUGUACUUGAUUUGCAACCCUCUGAUUACUUGUUACAUGUGCCUCCAUCCAAAGUGUUGAUUCUAGUUCUGCUAGUUUAAGCGUAUUUCUUGGAUCAACAUCCAAAUUGCUAAAAACUUUGUUGUUUCGACCUUUCUAAAUAUACCAUAAUAUCCAUGCAAAUUGGUGAUCCUCCAUUUUUGGAUUAACCCUCAAAAAAAGAUGAUCCAUAUUUACAAAAAGAUAACUGAGAGGGAAGAGAUGAGGAUUCAAUGGUAUCCUUGAAAGUACCCUCACCUGUCAUGCCGAGGGCAUUCGAAGAAAACAUGAUUUGUGGAUUCCUCUGGAGCUCCACAUCUUGCACAACAAAUGUCCUCUUGUAUUCCUCUUGCUUUUAGAUUUUUCAGUACCGCUAUACACCCUGAUAGAAGUUGCCAUAAGAAAUGCUUUAUUUUCGGAUGGCCACCUUCCAACAGAAUGUUUUCAAUAUGUCCACAGUGGGUCCAUAAAAUUCUGGUGGUUUUUCCUUAUAAGGAUAAACCCGUUCUACUUGAUACCCUAACCCUAUAUCUAUAAACCCUAAAUAAUAUAAGUAUCAAAAUUAAUUAUACUAUAAUUAUCAAAUCACAUAUUAAAACCCUAAUCGAAUAUUUUGAAAUCAAAACUAUUUUCGGUUUUGAUCAUUGAGGUUUUAAAUCUGAUUGAAUCUGAUGCUAUGUUGCUAGAAUUGUUUGACCCUUAAAUUAAUAGAUUAUUUUCUCAUCCUGCUUGACUAAUUGUUCAUCUGAUUUAAAAUUGUUUAAACCGACCAGCCUGUUAAAACAUUGAUUGAAUCCGAUAGGUUACUAGCUUGCUUUGCUUAUAUAAUCCGAUAGGUUGAUAGAUUGAUUGAGGUUUACUUGUUUAAAAUCCGAAUGAUGUGAUUGCAUGAUUCUUGAGGUUUAAUAUCAUCUGCUAGGAUUGAUAGUUUUGUAAUCUGAUCUGUUUUAAAUAGAAACCCUAAAUAAUCCGUAUGAUAGGUUAUAUUGAUCUGAUUUGGAUGUCUUUGAGAAUUGAGAAUCCGUAUGCUAAGUUGAUAGAUUCAUGAUAAAAUCUAAUGUCUUGAGGUUUAAGAUUGUAUGCUAAGUUCGAUUAAAUUGAUUGAUCUGAUUAUAUGUUUUUGAGGUUUGAUAAAUUCGGAUACUAGAUAAAUUAUUUACACAUGGUUUAUGAUAAAUACCAAUUAGCCUUGAAACUGAUUCAUUGAAAUUCAUGCUUGAAAUCUAUAUUCUAGUAUUCCUAAAAUCAACCUUGAAACUGAUUGAGUGAUUAAUAAAUCUUUUUACUAGUCUUGCUAAAAUCCAUUGAUUGUUAAACCCUAAUUGCAUGAUUAAUUGAAUCUGUUUUUGCUAGUCUUGAUAAACCAUAAUAUUAUGAGCACAUAGAAAUAGUAUUGUUGAGACUUGCUAGAAAUUGACUGAUUGAUUAAAUGCCUUUAAGAUUGAUAGUUUCAUUGUCCUCACAUGAUUGAAAUCCGAAUUGAUUGUUUUUAAGAGUAAGACCGCAUGAAAAUUAUACCUAAAUAUUGAGUGAUAUAUGAUUUGAGAUGUCGAAAAUCAACCUGGAUUUUGCUGCCCUAAAUCUCUCUGGAUAUAAUUAUUUACGGUGGGCAUUGGAUACAAAGAUUAUCAUAAAGUCAAAAAGACUUGGUGAAUGUAUCAUAGAAGACAAUAAUGCCAAUGAGAAAUAUUGAAUUAUGGCAAUAUUAAUUAUUAGCCAUCAUCUUAUUACGAGUCUCAAAGAUCAGUAUCUGACUAUAGAGAAUCCUCUAGACCUUUGGACAGAGUUGAAAAUCAAGAUAUGAUCACCAAAGAACGGUGUUAUUACCAAAGGCCCUAUUUGAUAGGAGGAAUCUCAGAAUUCAGGACUAUAAGUCCGUGGAUGAGUCUAUAGCUAGCUGGUCAAAAUAAUGGAUUACUGAUGAGAAACAGUGAAUUGAGACUUCCUGGAUUAACCCCAUUACCUGAUACCAAUAAGCCCGCAGAAGAAAAAAAAAGGUAACCACGUCCAGAAUGAUAGACCACACGUUCAUGGCCGUGGAGGGUGGAAAGGACGUGGCCAUGGCCACUAUAACACAUUUGGCCGUGGGAAUCACUCUGGCAGAGGCCGUGGGUAUCAACCCAAUUUGAGCCAUGGUCCAGGCAGUGGCCGUGGUAUAUCCUUUAAACCACAAAGCUCGACCAAAUCAGUGUGCCAUAGAUGUGGAAUGGGGAACCAUUGGGCUAAGAUAUGAAGGACUCCCAAACAUUUUUGUGACCUCUAUCAAAGAGAGUCUGAAAGGGAAGAAUCCUGAAAUUCACUUGGUCUAUAAAGAUGGUGAAAAUAAUUUCGAACAUGAUCAAGAUGAUCUUAUGGAAUAUGAGACUUAUGAUUGCCUAUAAGAAUCAAGUUGAUAAUCUGAUUUCGACAUCAAACUUGUGUGAUUGCUUUGCUUGUAUGCUUUCUCUGAUUUUUAUCUCCUUGAAUUUAUUUCUAUUACAUUGUCUGCUUAGAUUAAAUGAAUGAAUGAUUUUUCUAUAUGAGUACACUGAAAAACGUCAAUAUAAGUACUAAAGCAAGUAUCGCCAGUCUAUAAGAAGACUAUGGUUAGACUAAUAUAUUAUUGCCUAAGGGUAUGCAUCUAGAAAUCAGGGAUGCCUUAUAUUCACCCAGCUCUAAGAGCAAGAGCAGCCUAUUGAGUUUUAAAGAUAUAAGAACGAAUGGUUUCCAUGUUGAAACAAUGGGCGAAGGAAACAAAGAGUUCCUUCAGAUAUAUGUAUAAAAUCGCCCAAGGCCAUAAUAAGUCCUAAAGACUAUACCUGCAUUCUCUACUGACCUAGACUAUGCAUAGAUUAGUAUGAUAGAGGCUAAAAGCCUGCGAAAAUAUGCACUUUAUGGCAUGACCGGAUUGGCAAUCCUGGUCCAAACAUGAUGCAAAAAUUGAUAUUCAAAAGACACACAUUAAAAGAUAAGAAGAGUUAUCUCAAAGAAUCGCACGUGUGUAGCAUGUACACAAGGGAAACUCAUUAGGCCAUCACCAGUAAAACGGCUACGAGCCCCUUUUUCAUAAAUAAAGACUAUAUGUCUAGAUAAUACUGGUGAAUACAUGUCCCAAGCGUUUAAAUGAUUAUGGUAUGUCCAUGGAGGUAAGUGUGGACAAUUCUAUGAUACAUGUCCAUACCAAGAACGACUUGGCCGAUAUCUUUUCAAACGCAAAUAGCUGAUUGAUAGACCAUAACUUAUGAGGUCAAAACUCCCAUUCACAGCUUGGGCCACACGAAAUUAACAUGCACCUAAGUUAAUACGCAUCAGGCCAUUUAGUGAGCAUAGAUAUCCCCUAUCACAAUUAUUAACGGGUCAAGAGCCAGACAUACCCCAUCAUAAGACAUUUGGAUGUGCUGUCUAUGUACUAAUUGCUCCACCACAGAGAACUAAGAUGGGACCUCAAAAGGAGGAUGUGGAUAUAUGUUGGAUAUGAUUUUCCCACAAUAAUAAAGUACUUUGUGCCAACUAUGGGUGAUUAUAUUUGAGGCCAGGUACACGGAUUAUUUUAAGACCAGGAGAAAAAAAAAUAAUAAAGCUGGUAAAAAAAUGGUAAAAGAAAUAAAAUGGAAUCAACCAUCAAUGUCUUGGUAAGAUCCUCAAUCUAAAGAAUGUGAAAUAGACGUCCAAAGAUUAUACAUUUACAAAGCUAGCUAAUCAAAUGCCAGACACAUUUGCUGACCGAAAAAGAAUGACUAAGUCAUAUAUAAACCAGCUUGUAAAGCACCAACGAAUUUGAUGUCCAAGAAGAGACACAGUCAAGUUGCUACAGAGUAUAGACAACGUAUGAAACGUGGUAGACCAAUUAGGUUCCAAAAGAUAAGAAUCCUCGGAAACAAAAGAAAGGUGCAGAGAAUGAUAAUCAAAAUCCAAAUUCGAGGUUACUAAGGAAACCAUCCCAGACAUGGAGAUAAGGCCGGCCGGCUCUAAGGUACAGGUACCAAACAAUGUAGCUUGGGACGCCAAGCUGCAAAGUAAUAAAGGUCCUGAUAAUAAUGAAUCUCAAUCGAUUAUAUCAUGUAUGGAACAUAUUGGAAUCAAUAAGGAAUGUCGACAUAAGAUGAUUUAUUUUCAUACAAAGUAGCACUUGAAUUUAUGAAUAUAAGCGAGGAUCAUGAACCCACGUCAAUAUAAGAGUGCGCACUCGUAGAACAGAUUAGAUUGAAUGGAAACGUGGGGUUAAAUAGUUUAAGGAAGAAAGUCGUAUUUGGCCAUAUGAUUAAGACGCCAUAUGAUGUUAAAACCAGUGGAUAUAAAUGGGUCUUGUGAGGAAUAGAAAUCGUGAGAUAUAAAGCUGAUGUUGCACAAGGAUUCUCACAAAGACCAGUAAUAGAUUAUGAGGAGACAUACUCCCAUGUGGUGGAUGCAACUACUUUUAGAUUUCUCAUAAGUCUGUCUAUAUAAGAGAGAAAAUUAGACUUGCAGCAAGUUGAUGUAGUGACUGCAUAUUUAUAUGGUCCACUGGAUAAUGAAAGUACAAGAGGUUAUUGAGCUGAAAGUACAACAAGUUCUCGAGAACAAUAUGAUAAUCAUCAAAGUAUAUGAUCUGAAUAUCCUAGGAACCUCUGGAUACAAUUUUCCAAACAGUUUAAUAUCUCAAGAAAGAGUUUGAGAUGAAAGAUCUUGGAAAACAAAGUUUUGUUUGAGAUUACAGCUUGAGUACAUUAACAAUGAAAUCCUUGUGCAUCAAAUAGUAUAUAUAGAAAAAGGUACUCAAAAGAUUUAAUAUGGACCAGUCUCACCCAUUAUCUAGUACAUAGGCGUGAGAUCACUUGUUUUGGGCACUGAUCCAUUCAGUCCAAAGGUGGACGAUAAAGAAGCUCAUUUAGUCCUGAGAUGGAUGAUGCAUAAGUCUUGUUUUAGACACUGAUCUGAUUUGUCCAUAAGAAGGACGAUGAAGAAGCCUUUGAUUUUUGUUUAUUUUAUACUAACCAGCCCAAAGAGGGGUUAGUUGGUUUUGUUGAUUUAUUUUCAGACAGGUUAUGUUUUACACAUGGUGGUACACGCAUAUCACAGCAACAUCAUCCAAGAUUUUGUGUGUGUGUAUUUGAGGUCGAUGACUCAAUAUGUUCGAUCAGAUUGUGGCAUGGCCGAUGGUAAAGAAGAACCAACUAUCAUGUUCGAGGACGAAGCAUAUUCUGCCCAAGAUCUUCAUCACCCACGGAUUGCAGAAAAUUGGAGAGGUCCAAGGGACCUUCAGUAAUGUCCAAAUCAGGGGGAGUAAUCUUUGUUGUACUUUUUUUCCUUCACAAUGGUUUUGUCCCAAUUGGGUUUUCCUGGUAAGGUUUUAAUGAGGCAACAUUAAAGCACAUUAGAAGCUCUAAAUGGUUAUGGCAUCCAAGGGGGAGUGUUUGAACCAGAUUCUGGAUAGCUCAUAACCAAGAGAUUAUGAUUUGUAAUCUUUCUAUUUAUCUAUGAUGGUGUAAUCUCCUAUAUAAGGUACAUGUACCAAACACGAUGGCUCAUAACCAAGAGAUUAUGAUUUCUAAUCUUUCAUAUUUGUAAUCUUUCCAUUAGGGUUUAACAAUCAAUGGAUUUUAGCAAGACUAGUAAAAAGAUUUAUUAAUCACUCAAUCAGUUUCAAGGCUGAUUUUAGGAAUACUAGAAUAUAGAUUUCAAGCAUGAAUUUCAAUGAAUCAGUUUCAAGGCUGAUUUUAGAAUUACUAGAAUAUAGAUUUCAAGCUUGAAUUUCAAUGAAUCAGUUUCAAGGCUGAUUGGUAUUUAGCAUAAACCAUGUGUAAAAAUUUUAUCUAGUAUCCGAAUUUAUCAAACCUCAAAAACAUAUAAUCAGAUCAAUCAAUUUAAUCGAACUUAGCAUACAAUCUUAAACAUGUACCUUAAGGUACCGGUACCAAACAGGUAUCCUUGUAUUUAAGAUUGUUUCUAAAUUGAAACUGUAUGGUGAGGAUAUAACGGAUAAGGAUUUGCUAGAAAAUACUUUUUCCACCUUCCAUGCAAGUAAUGUGUUGUUACAACAACAAUACCGUGAAAAAUGGCUUCACCACUUUUGCACAUCUAAUCUCAUGAUUAUUGCUAGCUGAGCAAAACAAUGAAUUGCUAAUGAGAAACAGUGAAUUGAGACCUCCUGGUUCCACACCAUUACCUGAAGCCAAUAUGGCCGCAGAGGAUAAGAAAGAAUCCAAAGAAAGUAACCACGUCUAUUAUGAUAAACCACACGGCCGUGGCCAUGGUGGAUGGAGAGGACGUGGCCGUAGCCAAUACAGUUCAUAUGGCCGCGGGAAUAGCUAUGGCAGAGGUCAUGGGUAUCAACCUGAUUCAGGCCGUGGUCGAGGCAGAAGCCGUGGUAUUUCUAAACCACAAUACUCGACCAAAUUAGUGUGCCAUAGAUGUGGAAUGGGGAACCAUUGAGCUAAGAUAUGAAGGACUCCCAAACAUUUUUGUGACCUCUAUCAAAGAGAGUCUGAAAGGGAAGAAUCCUGAAACCCACUUGGUCUAUAAAGAUGGUGAAAAAUAAUUUCGAACAUGAUCAAGAAGAUCUUAUGGAAUAUGAGACUUAUGAUUGCCUAAAAGAAUCAAGUUGAUAAUCUGAUUUCGACAUCAAACUUGUGUGGUUGCUUUGCUUGAUAAUCUGAUUUCGACAUCAAAGUUGGUAAUCUGAUUUCCACAUUACUUGCAUGGAAGGUGGAAAAGGUCUUUUCUAGCAAAUUCUUAUCCGUUAUAUCCUCACCAUACAGUUUCAAUUUAGAAACAAUCUUAAAUACAAGGGUAACUGUUUGGUACCUGCACCAUAGAAACAAUCUUAAAUACAAGGGUGCUUGUUUGGCACCUGUACCUUAUAUAGGAGAUUACACCGUCAUAGAUAAAGGGAAAGAUUACAAAUCAUAAUCUUUUGGUUAUGAGCCAUCCACAAUCUGGUUCAUAACACUCCCCCUUGGAUGCCAUAACCAUUUAGAGCUUGUAAUGUGCUUUAAUGUUGCCUCAUUAAAACCUUACCAGGAAAACCCAAUUGGGACAAAACCAUGGUGAAGGAAAAAAGUACAACACACAUUACUCCCCCUGAUUUAGACAUUACUGAAGGUCUCUUGGACCUCUCCAAUUUUCUGCUAUCCGUGGGUGAUGAAGAUCUUGGGCAGAAUAUGCUUCGUCCUUGAACAUGAUAGUUGGUUCUUCUUUACCAUCGGCCAUGCCACAAUCUGAUCGAACAUAUUGAGUCAUCGACCUCAAAUACACACACACAAAAUCUUGGAUGAUGUUGCUGUGAUAUGCGUGUACCACCAUGUGUAAAACAUACCCUGUCUGAAAACAAAUUAACAAAACCAAAUAACCCCUCUUUGGGCUGGUUAGUAUAAAAUAAACAAAAAUCAAAGGAUUCUUCAUCGUCCUUCUUAUGGACCAAUCAGACCAGUGUCUAAAAAAAGACUUCUGCAUCGUCCAUCUCAAAACUAAAUGGACUUCUUUAUCAUCCACCUUUGGACUGAAUGGAUCAGUGUCCAAAACAAGUGAUCUCACGCCCAUGUACUAGAUAAUGGGUGAGACUGGUCCAUAUUAAAUCUCUAGAGUACCCUUUUCUGUAUAUUCUAUUUGAUGCACAAGGAUUUCAUUGUUAAUGUACUCAAGCUGUAAUCUCAAACAAAACUUUGUUUUCCAAGAUCUUUCAUCUCAAACUCUUUCUUGACAUAUUCAACUGUUUGGGAAAUUGUAUCCAGAGGUUCCUAGGAUAUUCAGAUCAUAUACUUUGAUGAUUAUCAAUAUUGUUCUCGAGAACUUGAUGUACUUUCAGCUCAAUACCCUCUAGUACUUUCAUUAUCCAGUGGACCAUAUAAAUAUGCAGUCACUACAUCAACUUGCUGCAAGUCUAAUUUUCUCUCUUAUAUAGUCAGAUUUAUGAGAAAACUAAAAGUAGUUGCAUCCACCACAUGGGAGUAUGUCUCCUCAUAAUCUAUUACUGGUCUUUGUGACAAUCCUUGUGCAACAUCAGCUUUAUUUCUCACGAUUUCUAUUCCUCACAAGACCCAUUUAUAUCCACUGGUUUUAACAUCAUAUGGCGUCUUAAUCAUAUGGCCAAAUACGCCUUUCUUCCUUAAACUAUUUAACCCCACGUUUCCAUUGAAUCCAAUCUGUUCUACGAGUGCACACUCUUAUAUUGACGUGGGUUCAUGAUCCUCGCUUAUAUUCAUAAAUUCAAGUGCUACCUUGUAUGCAAAUAAAUCAUCUUAUGUCGACAUUCCUUAUUGGUUCCAUUAUGUUCCAGACAUGAAAUAAUCGAUUGAGAUUCAUUAUUAUCAGGACCUUUAUUACUUUGCAGCUUGGCGUCCCAAGCUACAUUGUUUGGUACCUGUACCUUAGAGCCGGCCGGCCUUAUCUCCAUGUCUGGGAUGGUUUCCUUAGUAAUCUCGGAUUUGAAUUUUGAUUAUCAUUCUCUGCACCUUUCUUUUGUUUCCGAGGAUUCUUAUCUUUUGGAACGUAUUUGGUCUACCACGUUUCAUACGUUGUCUAGACUCUAUAGCAACUUGACUGUGUGUCUUCUUGGACAUCAAAUUCCUUGGUGCUUUACAAGCUGGUUUAUAUAUGACUUAGUCAUUCUUUUUCGGGUCAGCAAACGUGUCUGGCAUUUGAUUAGCUAGCUUUGUAAAUGUAUAAUCUUUGGACGUCUAUUUAACAUUCUAUAGUCUGAGGAUCUUGCCAAGACAUUGAUGGUUGAUUCCAUUCUAUUUCUUUUACCAUUAUUUUACCAACUUUAUUAUUUUUUUCUCCUCUUGGUCUUAAAAUAAUCAGUGUACAUGGCCUCAAAUAUAAUCACCCAUAGUUGGCUCAAAGUACUUUAUUAUUGUGGGAGAAUCAUAUCCAACAUAUUACAUCAUCCUCCUUUUGAGGUUCCAUCUUAGUUCUCUGUGGUGGAGCAAUUAGUACAUAGACAGCACAUCCAAAUGUCUUAUGAUGGGGUAUGUCUGGCUCUUGACCCGUUAAUAAUUGUGAUAGGGGAUAUCUAUGCUCACUAAAUGGCCUGAUGCGUAUUAACUUAGGUGCAUGUAAAUUGUGUGUCGCCCAAGCUGUGAAUGGGAGUUUUGACCUCAUAAGUUAUGGUCUAUCAAUCAGCUAUUUGCGUUUUAAAAGAUUUCGGCCAAGCCGUUCUUUGUAUGGACAUGUAUCACAGAAUUGUCCACACUUACCCCCAUGGACAUACCAUAAUCAUUUAAACGCUUGGGACAUGUAUUCACCAGUAUUAUCUAGACAUAUUGUCUUUAUUUAUGAAAAAGGGGCUCGUAGCCGCUUUACUGGUGAUGGCCUAAUGCGUUUCUCUUAUGUACAUGCUACACACGUGAGAUUCUUUGGGAUAACUCUUCUUAUCUUUUAAUGUGUGCCUUCUGAAUAUCAAUUUUUGCAUCAUGUUUGGACCAGGAUGGCCAAUCCGGUCGUGCCAUAAAGUGUAUAUUUUCGCAGGCUUUUAGCCUCUAUCAUACUGAUCUAUGCAUAGUCUAGGUCAGUAGAGAAUGCAUUUAUAGUCUUUAGGACUUAUUAUGGCCUUGGGCGAUUUUAUACAUAUAUCUGAAGGAACUCUUUGUUUCCUUCGCCCAUUGUUUCAAUAUGAAAACCAUUCAUUCUUAUAUCUUUAUAACUCAAUAGGCUGCUCUUGCUCUUAGAGUUGGGUGAAUAUAAGGCAUCACUGAUUUCUAGAUGCAUACCCUUAGGCUAUAAUAUAUUAGCCUAGCCAUAGUCUUCUUUCAGACAGGCGAUACCUGUUUUAGUACUUAUAUUGGUGUUUUUCAGUGUACUCAUAUAGAAACAUCAUUCAUUCAUUUAAUCUAAGCAGACAAUGUAAUAUAAAUAAAUUCAAGGAGAUAAAAAUCAGAGAAAGCAUACAAGCAAAGCAAUCACACAAGUUUGAUGUCGAAAUCAGAUUAUCAACUUGUAUUCUUUUAGGCAAUCAUAAGUCUCAUAUUCCAUAAGAUCAUCUUGAUCAUGUUCGAAAUUAUUUUCAUCAUCUUUAUAGACCAAGUGGGUUUCAGGAUUCUUCCCUUUCAGACUCUCUUUGAUAGAGGUCACACAAAAGUUUGGGAGUCCUUCAUAUCUUAGCCCAAUGGUUCCCCAUUCCACAUCUAUGGCACACUGAUUUGGUCGAGCUUUGUGGUUUAAAGGAUAUACCACGGCCACUGCCUUGACCAUGGUUCAAAUUGGGUUGAUACCCACGGCCUCUGCCAUAGUGAUUCCCACAGCCAAAUGUGUUAUAGUGGCCACGUCCUUUCCACCCUCCACGGCCAUGACCGUGUGGUCCAUCAUUCUGGACGUGGUUACCAUUUUUUUUUUCUGCGGCCUUAUUGGUAUCAGGUAAUGGGGUUAAUCCAGGAGGUCUCAGUUCACUGUUUCUCAUCAGUAAUCCAUUAUUUUGCCCAGCUAGCAAUAGACUCAUCCACGGACUUAUAGUCCUGGAUUCUGGGAUUCCUCCAAUUAAAUAGGUUCUUUGGUAAUAACACCGUUCUUUGGUGAUCAUAUCUCGAUUUUUAACUCUGUCCAAAGGUCUAGAGGAUUAUCUAUAGUCAGAUACUGAUCUUUGAGACUCUUAAUAAGAUGAUGGCUAAUAAUUAAUAUUUUCAUGUAUCAAUCUUUCUCAUUCGCAUUAUUGCCUUCUAUGAUACAUUCACCAAGUCUUUUUGACUUUAGGAUAAUUUUUGUAUCCAAUGCCCACCGUAAAUAAUUAUCUCCAGAGAGAUUUAGGGCAGCAAAAUCCAGGUUCAUUUUCGACAUCUCAAAUCAUAUAUCACUCAAUAUUUAGGUAUAAUUUUCAUGCGGCUUUACUCUUAAAAACAAUCAAUUCGGAUUUCAAUCUUGUGAGGACAAUGAGACUAUCAAUCUUAAAGGUAUUUAAUCAAUCAGCCAAUUUCUAGCAAGUCUCAGCAAUACUAUUUCCAUGUGCUCAUAAUAUUAUGGUUUAUGAAGACUAGCAAAAAUGGAUUCAAUUAAUCAUGCAAUUAGGGUUUAACAAUCAAUGAAUUUUAGCAAGACUAGUAAAAAGAUUUUAUUAAUCACUCAAUCAGUUUCAAGGCUGAUUUUAGCAAUACUAGAAUAUAGAUUUCAAGCAUGAAUUUCAAUGAAUCAGUUUCAAGGCUGAUUGGUAUUUAGCAUAAACCAUGUGUAAAUAAUUUAUCUAGUAUCCGAAUUUAUCAAACCUCAAAAACAUAUAAUCAGAUCAAUCAAUUUAAUCGAACUUAGCAUACAAUCUUAAACCUCAAGACAUUAGAUUUUAUCAUGAAUCUAUCAACCUAGCAUACAGAUUCUCAAUUCUCAAAGACAUCCAAAUCAGAUCAAUAUAACCUAUCAUACGGAUUAUUUAGGGUUUCUAUUUAAAACAGAUCAGAUUACAAAACUAUCAAUCCUAGCAGAUGAUAUUAAACCUCAAGAAUCAUGCAAUCACAUCAUUCGGAUUUUAAACAAGUAAACCUCAAUCAAUCUAUCAACCUAUCGGAUUAUAUAAGCAAAGCAAGCUAGUAACCUACCGGAUUCAAUCAAUGUUUUAACAGGCUGCAACCUAUCGGAUUCAAUCAAUGUUUUAACAGGCUGGUCGGUUUAAACAAUUUUAAAUCAGAUGAACAAUGAACCAAGCAGGAUGAGAAAAUAAAUCUAUCAAUUUAACGGUCAAACAAUGCUAGCAACAUAGCAUCAGAUUCAAUCAGAUUUAAAACCUCAAUGAUCAUAACCAAAAAUAGUUUUGAUUUCAAAAUAUUCGAUUAGGGUUUUAAUAUGUGAUUUGAUAAUUAUAGUAUAAUUAAUUCUGAUACUUAUAUUAUUUAGGGUUUAUAGAUAUAGGGUUAGGGUUUAUCGGAUUUUAACUUGUAAAAACCGAUUUGGGGUUUGAAUCAUGUAGGAAUCGGAUUUUAACUUGUAAAAACCGAUUUGGGGUUUUAAUCAUGUAGGAACAUGAUUUAGGUUUUGGGGUAUCGAACUUUUAGAGCUUCGAUUUACUCAAUUAGGAUUUUUGAUCUAUUACCCUAUGGUUUUGAUUCAUAAAGAUUAGGGUUUUAGGGUUUCAUUCUUUAUCAAUCAAUCCAUGUUCGAUUAUGGGUUCUUAGGUUUUGAAUUACCUUUUAACAUUAGAUGAUUGUUGAAUCGGACCACCAAAGGAGUUGAGCCGCGAGCUGGACACGAACGGGACGCGAGCUGGAAUGGAUGAGUUGCUUCUAUCAGGUCGCGGAAGUCCUUUGUUGCUUGAUCGGGAACGCCUUGAUCGUCGGACGUGAGCUGUCUAAUGUUGUCGCAAAUGAGGAAGAACGUCGGACGCGAGCUGUCUGAUGUUGUCGCAAAUGAGGAAGAGCUGUCUGGAGCUGCUCUCGGGUCACGAACGUCUGAGCUGGGAUCAGGAACGCCUUGGGCUGAAGCUGAUCGGGGACGCGAACUAGAACAAAUGCGGGAACAAGAGACGCGAUCGAGGUUUAGGGUUCGUCGGAUCGCCGGCUAGGGUUAGGGUUUUAGGGUUUUUCGAUUUGAGUAUUAGCUUAGGAAUUUAGAGUUUCGUGCUGAUAACGUGUUAUAAAAGUUAUGGAAAAGUCUAUCUUUAUUCAUAACAUAGAGGUUCCUUAUAUAGGAGAUUACACCGUGAUAGAUAAAUAGAAAGAUUACAAAUCAUAAUAUCUUGGUUAUGAGCCAUCCACAGUCUGGUUCAUAACAAGUAUACAUAAAUGCGUUUGACUCUCCACUCAAAAAAAAAGCUAACGCAUAUAAGAGUUAAUAUAAGAAGACAGAAAAUCAUCUAAUGAGAUAUGCUAUCACUGGGCUGGGCAAAAAACCCGGAUCCGAAGAACCGAACGAACCUGAUCCAAAAAAGUAGUACCAAACCCGAACCAAAUUGAUUAAAUAUCCGAACGGGUUCAAAAUUUUGGUAUCUAAAGAACCGAAACCGAACCUGACCCGAACCGAAGUAUUUCGGGUACCCGAAUGUAACCGAAAUAGAUUUAUAUACCUAAAUAUAUUUACUUAUUUUUAGAUUUAAUAUAUAUUAAAAACAUCCAAAAUAUACAAGAUACUUUUAAGUUGUCUAAAAUACUUGAAAAUAUACAUAAAUAGUCACAAGUAAAUGUCUAAAAUAGCUAAAAUAUAUUCAAAACACCAAAAUGCUUGAAAUAUCUAUUGAUUUUCUAUCCAAAUAUUCAAAUCAAACCAAUUUAUAUGUUAAUUUUAGGUAUUUUGACAUAUUUAUACAAAUUUAUAUGUAAUAUAUUAUUUUGUUUUAUAGAUUUUGAGAAAUUUUAAGCAUCUAAUGAAUAUUAAAAUUUUAAAAAUAAUUUAAAUGGGUGAUCCGAACCGAAUCCGAACCGAAAUUUAGAAGUACCCGAAUGGGUCUGAAAUCUUUAAACCCGAAAAUCCGAAACCCGAUUAGAUCCGAACCGAACCCAAAUGGAUACUCGAACGCCCACCUCUAGCUAUCACCAAAUAAGUAAAAACCAUGAUAACUAAUAAAUUUGUCUACUCAAAAUAAAAUUAAAUCCAAAAAGAUUAAAUAAGAGUCUAUAUUAAAUUUUACAUAUUGUAAUUAAAAAUAAAAUUACGGGUUAAAUUAAUUAAUCAUGAAACGAUCUCAUGUUUUCACUUUAACAUUUGUAAAAAUAUCUGGUUUCGUGUAGAGUCUGUUUUUUUUUGGAGAAACGUAUAGGGGGUCUGUUACACACAUUUAUCAUGUUUCAAACGUUCAAUAGAUCUAUACAAUAUAUAUAGCAGAACUCAAGUACUCAAACUUUAAAUAGAUAUAUUAUUAUUUAGAUAUAGUAUUAUAGCUAGAAUUCAAUACACUAUAACAACAAAAAUUGAAGACGAUAAAAUUAACUUAAACGUACAUAUGCUUGAAGAGAAGCUUAAUGCCAAAUAAUCAACGCUGACCUACAAAACCUUUUAAGUUAACUAAAAAAAGACAAAAAGAUGGCUUAACUAACGAAUUAUUACUACAAACACAAGAAGGGAGCAAAAAUAAACAAUCAACAUCCUAAUUUCGAUCGCAAAAGGUCCGUACAUGAUUCUCAAACCCAAAUAAAAAAAAAACUUAACAAAAGAUAGUCCACAACUGCUGACAUAUUUUGUAAAUACAUACAAUCAUUACCGGACUUUAUCUUCCAAUCUUCAAACGUCCAACGAACACGCUUGCACCAAAAUCUAAAAUGUAUUAACCCAAAAACGCUUCUCCAAUUUAAGCAGGUAUUCUAUCUAAAAAACACUCAGUUAAUAUGCACAAAUUAAGAUUAACAAUAAUGUAUAAACUAUAUUGACACUACAAUCAGUCAAUCCUUAAAAAUAAAUAUAAAACAUCAUUGGUCACACACUUUUUAAUAAAACUAAGAUUAAUAUAAAAAUUCAAAACAUCAUCUAUUUUGAAACAUCAAAAACUUUCCAAAACAUCAUCUAUUUUGAAACGGAUUGAUGGAGUAUUUUACAAUAGAUAGUCUAACCCAAAUACCUCACCGAAACUAUAUAUAGUAUUGUAUAUGCACCAAACUCUUAAUAAAAACCCAACCACCACUAUAUUACGUUCCUGAUCUAAAAAUUAAUAAACCAUCCACGCCCUAAAAUACAUUAAAGCAUCAAAAUUAUUAUAAUUCCUUCUAGCAAAACUUAAUAUAAAGAAUAUGCAAUAAGCAUCAAUAUACAAUUAGUUUAUUAUUAAUAACUGGCCUGCAAAGAUAGUAAUAUAAAAUAUAUCAAGUCAUAUGUUUGCCUAAGUAGUGACAAUUAAUAUUAUGGUUUCAUUAUGUCUACCGGACUUAAAAUAACCUUCUUUGCAUUGAAUUUUUUUUUCAUUAUUUAAAUUAGUAGUUCUUAAAAUGUAUAAAAAAUAAAAAUACCAACAAAUUUGUAAAGACAUAUAUGAAAAGAAAAUAAAAUGUUUAAGAAACUCCAUCCUACUUACUAUUAUAGUAAAAAUAUAACAAAAUUUUUAAAAAUCUACAAUAGUUAUAAUCAUGAAAAUCUUUUUAAUUUUAAAAACUUAUAAUUUCUUAGUAAAUAAUAAAAAUUAGUAAAAAUAAUGUUAAUUCAAUCAAAAACAUAUGAAGAUGCAAUGAGAAUGUGUUUUCACUAAACCAAAAAAAAAACACAAUGCAAAAGAAAAAUAAUAGUUAAAAUAAUUAUCAAAAUUAUAUUUUAUACCAAAUAAAAAAAAUUCAAACAAAAAAAUGUCAAAUAUUAAAUUAACAAAAUGUAAUAUCCCGCACGAAGCGCGGACAAACCCCUAGUUUAUCUUAAAAGGCAGAGGAUUCGUUCAAUAUUUUGUGGUAUAAUCACCGAAGAUACAAUUACUAAAAAUAAAAAGAGUCCUCUUAAGAAAGCUUAUAUCGGGAAUUGUCAAAAUAACAUUUACCAAUAGAAGCAUGAAUCAUAGUUCUCUAAAAUUAAAUUGCAAAAUAAGUGACUAACACCAAAUUGUAUAAUUAAUGUUAAUCAAUAAUGAAAGAAAAUUACUAUACUUACAAAUGUAUAAACCAACAUCAAUUCAAUUGAAUUGAAAUUUGAAUUUGAAUUUUUUUAAUGAUUCUAAAGAUUUAACACCUUUACUUUAAUUUUGUAUCAAUCUGUAGCGGACUCAAUAUCUCUAAUAUGAACAUAAGUGAACCAGACUUCCUUUUCAAAAAAAACAUCAUUUGAACAUUUUUUGAUCAAAAAUAAAGAUGAAGUUUUGUAAGUUUUGUGUGUAUUGUCCAUCAAACAUAUGACGAGAAUAUAUACUAUCAUAGUACAGAGGCGGAAUAUUAAUAUAAUACAAUAUUAAGAUGAAUACUAAGAUAAAGUUGGCAUCAUAGUUCUCUGUAUUAGUACUUACUUACUAUUUUAACAUAGACUAAGAUAAAUAUCACUUACACAUUAUCUGUAUUAUUAUUAAACUAUAAAUUAUGAUAACAUAUAGAUUAUGUUCCACAUCCAUUAAAAAAUAUGAUUUUAAACUGAAUAAUAAAAAUUAGUCCUAACUUGUCAAAGUUAAAAAUUUAACAAAAUAAUUAUAUACCUAAUUAAAAAGUUUGAAUAAUUUUAUUAUUUAAAUUAAUAAAUUAUUUACUCAGCUAAAAAUUAAUAAUAAACUAUUUACACCGCUAAAAACUAAUAAUAAACAUACGACAAACAAGAAAAAAACUAAAAUCAUGGAUUACAUGAAAAAUAAACAAAAUCAAAAUAAUUAGACAUCUAAUUACAAAGUUUGAUACAAUUAUAUUAUUUAAAUUAACAAAUUGACGACUUAGUUAAAAACUAAUAAUAAAUUAAUAGCUCAACUAAAAACUAAUAAAAACAUGAUAAAUAAGCAAAAUAACCUUAUGGAGAAUAUGAAAAAAAAUCAGUAAAAUCACUUCUUAAAUAAUAUUAUAGUUGUUCAAAAAAAAAAAAAUAUAUAUAUAUAUAUUAUAGGAGAUAGAUAUUUCAACCCAAAAAAAAAUCCACAAAGAUCUUAUAAUCAUGUUAUGAGAACCAAAAGCCAAACUAUCUAUUAUUACAAAAAUACCAGCUAGUAAAUCUCCUCAAACACUUUCAUUCCUUGGAUUUGCUAGUUCUUUGAUCCAUAAUUAGUUUUCAAAAGAAAAAAAAAUUGAGCUGGAUAUUGCAAGCUCUGAGUAGCACUUGCAAGUCUGUGCCGAAUGUCAACUUUGCUUUUGCACUAGCAUGAACAUUGACCAGUUCAAGAUAUGGCAAUUUCUCGAGGAAUUUUUUCAUUUGCCCCAGCUCUCCUUUAGUUCCGCCGUAGUCUAUUAUCUCUAGGAUUUUCACAUGACAUGAGGAUAGGAAUGAAUAUUCCGACAAGCAUUCACAAAUUAUAGGUUCAAAUUCUUCUCCAUAUUCAUCAUAGAAAUGCAAGGGACCCUAAAACAGAAACAUGGAUGAUCAAUUAUAGAUUCUUCGUUCAACAUUUGGUUUUGAGAUAUCAAGAGCUUUCAUAUACCUUGAUGACAAGAGUCUUUAGAUUUGGAGACUUUUUAAGCAGUAGUGGCAGAAAUUUCCAACUCGUACACGAGUGUUGGAACUCAGUUGCAAUAGAUACACGAGAUAGUUUUCCGAACAGUGGGAUUAAUUCAGCAAAUGAAGAUAAUAACUGAAAAGGAAAAACAAAUUAGUCACCAACUCCAACAGCUACAAUCUUUAAUCAGAUAAUCGAAACCUCAAGAAAUGUUUUCAUUUUAUAAGAAAAAAAGACAGGAAAGUUGAAAGAAUUUCUUCUUCAUGUUCUCAAGAUAAAAAGUAAAAGUACCUUUGAAGUUCCAAGAGACGACAGGUCGAGGACCUCGACAUUUCUUAACCCUUCAAUCAGAUUCAUUGGAUUGCCUUCAUUAGGAGAUCCCCUGUACUCAAGAGAAAGCUUAGCUUCAACAAGGGAGUGGAGAUUGACAAUAGGAUACUCAUCUCCAAUAUAACCAUGGUAGUUUAAGUAGGCAAGUCUUGGAGUAUCAAAAGAAAAGCUCCAAGGAAGACUAUAUGCGAUUGCACCUUUACAUGAAAGAGUGAGUCUCUCAAGAGUAGUACACGAAAUAGUUAGACACUGUCUCGCAUACCAAGGGCAACCAAGUAAGGUUAAUUCCUCAAGCACAGGACAAGCAGAAAGAAGAGCUUCAAACUCGCAACCAGAGAACCGAACACGAAAAAAAAACAGAGUCUUAAGAGAAGGAAGAUAAGCAUUCUCAGGAACCAUAGCAAAUUUAACGAGGCUUCCUAGUUUCAGUUUAACAAUUGUCUUGCAAGUGAAUAUCUAUAAAGGCAUUGUAAUCACAUCUUUAGUGAGUGUGUCCAGAUCAAGAUCCAAGAUACCACGGAUCAGCACAUUGAUCAUCCAACGAUUGAUAUGAGCUGGUUCAACACUCUGUCGGAUUUCCUAAUGGUAGAAUCACUAGACACAGCCAAUACUCUGUCGACGAAGUCUAUGAAACUCAUGUCACUUUUGGGUUUCCAAAAGUCAACUUCAACGAAACGAAGAUGAAGAUUCGGAGUCGGACUCAUGGCAAAGAGAUUCCUCCAUCUCUUUGAGAAAACAGAAGUUAAUGCAGCUUACUUUGUCGGAAGAAAAGAUAGAAUUUGGCAAAUAGUCUCAUCAGGUAAAUCGCUGAUCCUAUCCAUCUUUUUCGCCUAGAAAGCCUAGAGUCCCCGACAAAGGCUGAGGAGAAACUAAGAAAACUAACACGUAAAGAAAAACUAUGAUUUAGGGUUGUCGGGUUUUAUUGUAUAAUUUAAGGUUUGGUCUGAUUUUUUUUUUUUGGUAAAAAUGUUAAAAUUUUAUACCAUUUUGAGUUUUUUAGAGAAUUUAUAAAGAGACACUAGUAGCAGAGAAAGGAAAAAAAAUCUAAACAACACAGGGAAGAAGAAGAAAAGGCAACAUCAAGAGACCUAAAGAACAAUCAAACAAUCUUAACUCAUAGAACUGAGAAGCAUAGCAGAAGCUACAGGUUGACCAAAUGAAUGCAUUGCCAAAUGGAGAUGACAACCUUUGAUGAAAUAUGAGACAACGCUGUAGUAGAAAUUGGCUUGCCUGCUAAUGCUGCUCCAAAUGAUUGAUGCCAUCUCCGGACAGCUUUGCAAACCUCAGUCGAAGAAACUCAAUCCUCCAACCACCACCAGUAGUAGGAAAUUGAGCUUCAAGAACUCCUACCAUUACUCUUACCAAAAAGCUCUAGCUGCGCCCACUGGGAAGUUCCACCUAAAUCUCCAAAAGUUACCAUUAUUCGGUUCGGCUUCAGAACUAAUGCGAACCAUAGCAAAAAUCGGGUGCAGUGAGAGCCACAUUCUGAUGUUGUUCUUCCAGACCUACAAUUAGACUAUGGAUAAGCCCACCAUUGUGAACCAAAAGAUUCAACACUGGUGCUGGGAUGACAUAUCCAAACAUGAGGCUCUCUCGACGAAUUGUCUCUCCCAUGACCCACAAGAGGUUAAGAAACGCCGCCUCACACUAAGCCCGAGAACCGGACCUAGUUCCAAGAGCAACGCCAAAGCUACGCCAACGUGGGAGAGCCGGUGAGCAAUUCCGACGAACCGGAAAGGAAGACCCUCCAAAAAUAAACAACCGAUGCAAAACGAACACCAAAAGCGGCGAAGACCGAGAGUGACAAGUUGGAGCAACCGUCGGAGGAGACCAAGAACAGGUCAUAGACGGCCCGCCUCAACUCCGAGAACGGCAGUGGUACAUGAACAACACAGCAGCAGUAGCUACUACACAGCACCCAACACAACCACGAGCUCGUCUCCGGAGAAUCUCCGAAGCCCAACUGAUACGCCCUAAAUCGGGAAGGAUCACUUUAGCUGGGUGUUGGAUAUGAUCCGAGAAGCCAAUCGUCAAGAGAUGCGGAAUGGCUCUUGAUAUACCAACUAUCUAAGGCUAACCACCAAAGAAAGAAUGAAUGUGUUGGCUAACCACCAAACAACACACAAAGAUGAAUUGGCUGACCACCAAAUCAACAAGCCGAUUCACACCAAUGAAUUAGCUAAAGAACUCUCUCUCUCUCACUCAGAGAAGAGACGAAAUAAACUCAAAAACAUAGACUUAUUUUAUUCAUAAAAGAGUUUACAUAUUUAUACUAGAUGUAAUCAAAGAAAUAUAUAAUUAUUCAUGAGAAUCACACAUCUAGGAAAUGAAAAAUUUGACUAGAAAAUAAUAAAUGAGUCAAAGUUGCUGAGUUUGAGGUGGACUGGUCAAAGAGACCCUUGGACUACUGUCCAGGUUCAUUCUGGUCGUUCUGGUCCAUGGUGGUAAGGAUCAAGACGUGGGCUUGACGAUCCGUACGGUCCAAAUUCGCGAGAACUGAAGACCACCGGUUUUGUAAAUUGCAUAACUCUUUCAUCUGAACUCCAUUUGAUCUGAUUCUUGUUCGAGGAGUUCUGUAAUUGAGUUGAGAACAUUAUCCAAGUGAUUUCAUGCGUAGAAGCCUCGAAGUUUGGAAGAUAUGAGUCAAACAAUGAACAUAUAUCUUUACUGCUUCCAUGCUGGUUGGCUUCAAUGGACUGAUCCACGAACCGGGGCACAUCACCAACAGAACCGGAGAAGGUAGGAAGGUCUCACCUACUCGACCCGAGAAAACGAAACCACCUACGCCGGAAAACUCCUCACCAACCCGAGGCAAGACACCAAGCCACCGAAUCUAGAGAGAGGAGACACCCACACACGACCACGCGCUCCCACCGCCACAGAGGAAACAGAUCUAGAAAUUGAAAACCUAGAUCUACUCCACUCCGUAACCCAAAAGCCGACUUCACCGCCAGUACACCCAAGAAUCAACCUCGUCACGACACCACCACUCCGCCAAGAGAUACCUGAAGGUCAGUCACCGAGGUAGAGAUUCCUCCGUUUCUGCUCAGCUUCAUCACAACAGGGCCGGAAACAUAUCAGCAGGGAAGGAUGGACCAGUGAGGAAGCAAGAGAUAGAAAGGGAAAAAGAAAACAAGAUGCCUCCGGCGGCGGAGAACCACCGGAGCAACCGGAGGAAAGAUGAGCUUUUUCUUUUUCUUUUUGAGAGAGUUUGGAGAGAGAAAGAGGAGUUUUUUUUUGGUCUGGUUUUAAAAACUAAAUCGAACCAAAUUCUGAACCAAACAAAUAACUAUCCACUAAACAUUAUUUAGAAAAUGAUUUUUUUAAGUUUUGUGUGUCAUUGCAUUCAUUUUGAAAAAAGAAAAUGUUAUAUAGGUUACUUAAAGAGAUAUAAUAUGGCUUCCUUCUAUCAUGACAUGCACAAAUUUAAUGAUAAAACUUUGAUUUUUGGUAAGAUUCUUAAGCUAAGAUAGUUAGAUAAUUUGAUUGCAUCCCAUAAAUGUAGAUUAUAUUUAUAGUUAUUAUUAAAAUUCUAAAAAAAUAAUAUAACUUUAAAUAUCAUUUUUUAAUAAAGUGAAUUUAUGAUAAAAGAAGUAAGUAAUUUCGUAUAAUUAUUUAUAUUCAUGAAAUUAUUAAAUAAUUUUAACAAAUAAACUAUGACAAUUUUAAUUAAAAUUUAAAUUUUAUGAAUAAUUAAAUAUUUAAGUAAUAUUUGGAUCCAAAGGUAUUAAUGAGUUUUUAAUGUAUUAAAUUUAGUUGGAUUUAAAUGUUAUAUAAUAAUUGUUGUGUGGUGAUUAUUGAUUUAUUGACAUAAAUAAAAUAAAUCAAUUUUUUAGAUGUGAUAGAAUUUAAACAAAAAAUAUGCUCAGAACUAUAGUCUUAAAUAUAUAAACUAAGAUAGAUGAAAUUGUUCAUUUUAAUUUAAUUUUACUUAACUAAACCAAAAAUUAAACUAAAUAUUGUUAAGUCAAAUGGAAAAAUAAAUAAUAACUAACUAUUUAUGUUUUUAUUCUUUAUUUUUAAAUGGAAAAUUUCCACAAAUAUCAUAUUCAUAGUAUCACUUUUCAUAUUAAUUUUACUUAACUAAACCAAAGACAUCUAUAAUUAUAGGGUUAACAAAUCUGGACUUAUGGUUUGGAGUUGGGAUGGGGUAGAGUUUUUGCAAUGUGAAAUUUAUGAUUUUAAUAAAUAUAUAAAUAAAUACUUAAAAAUAUAUAUUAUUUUUUAAGAAAAUAGUUUCAUCAAAAAUUAUAAAAAGUAUAAUACGAAAAACAUAAAAAAAAUGAUUUUUAUUUAUUUAUUAAAGAAAAAUUUAUUAUAUAUAUAUAGAGAGAGAACAAAUGUAUAAGAUUUUUUUGUCACUUAACGAAGAAAGUAUUUUUGAAAAUAUAUGUUUAGUGGUGGUAAACAUGAAUAAUGAUACCAUGAAAAUGGUAAACAUGAAAUUCUCUUUUUUUUUAAUUAAUAAAAUGAAAUUGUAUUUAUACGUAUAAUUAUUUUGAAAGAUUUAUUUCUGUGUGCAGCACAUGAAACAUUAGUUAUGAAAAUGAGUUAAAAGUCAUAUGUAUCAAACUUACUUUUUGGGUUUUCUAAAAAAAAAUCCUCAAUAUAAUUUCUUUUUGCGACUUAAUCCAUGAAAUCAAAAACUGGUCAAUACACGAACUCACGAAGUAACAUUCAUAGGACAUCUGUGUAUUGAUGACAAAACUGUAUAUCGUUUUUUUUUUUCUCAAGACAUUAGAUUUUAUCAUGAAUCUAUCAACCUAGCAUACAGAUUCUCAAUUCUCAAAGACAUCCAAAUCAGAUCAAUAUAACCUAUCAUACGGAUUAGCUAUUUUUAGACAAAAGUACGUAACUUAGAGAUUUUAAACCGUCACCACCAAAACAUCUGACUAGAGAUGUCAAAGCAGACCGGGCAACCCGCGAAUUAUGUUCAAGUAGCCCAAUAGCGGGGCGGUUUGGACAUGUAUAUACAAAUCGCAACUCGCGGCGGGUCAACACGCACGGACUAAAAUAAAAUCGAAUCCGUUGCGGGUUGGACUACUUGAACCCUAGUUCGUCCACUUAACAUUAUUAAAAUUAAGAGUGAUAAAAUAUAAAGCUUAUGAAUAACUUGAGAUACAAUUUUCUUCCUAAACAUUUUAUUCUCUAUUACAAAAUAGUUGACCCAUUUAAAAUAUAAAUGAACAAAAAUAGAAAAAACAAGAGCAAACAAACAAUUAAAGAAAAUCGCAUUUUACAUUUGCACAGCAUAAAUGAGGUUUAUGUUAUGUUUAUGUUAGCAACUUUAAAAUCCAAUUAUUAAAACAAACACAAAAAAGUGAAUCUUUUAUAUCUCAACACUUUUAACUUUCACUUGCUUUGUCUUUAACAUAUAUCAAUACUAUUAAAAAAGAAGGAGUCCUAAAAAACCUAUCUAUGAAAAUUAUUUGGACCUUUUCAUUUUUUAGUCCAACCUAUAAUAUAAAACUAAAUAUCAUAACAUGUCUUUAUUAUAGCAAUAACUUAUUACAUUUUAAUAAAUAACCCACGAUUUCCAACAAUUAUUAUAACGACAAUUGUUAUACUUUUACAUUUUAGCAACCCACAUUAUUUUAAUCACACGAAUGUACAAGAUAUCUUGACUUUUAAAAAGUUUAAUUUAAAAUUUUGACUUUAAAAAUUUGAUUUAAAAUAUAUCAGAUGUUUCAUAUGUUAGUUUAGUUAUACCAAUUAAUAUUUCUACAUUAUAUCAAAGGAGAUAAAAUGUUUCGAAACAUAGGGUUCAUGUUUGGAUUUGCAGGUCUAGGUUCUUCAGAUCCUAAACGUUGACAUAACUAAAUAUUUUAAAAUCUAUAGUUUAAGUUAGGGUCGGUUCUUUUUGGUUUCGGAUUGGUUCGGAUUCAUAAUUUAAAUAUCUGUAGAAUAAAUUUAAUUUUUUAAUACAUAACAUGUUCAGAUUGGUUUGGGUAUUAGAAUCCAAAAAAACACGAAGUACCCAAAACACAAAAAAGACUUGAAACACAAAAGUACCUGAAAUCCAAACAAACACCUGAAAAAUAUGCAUAUACUCAAAAGAUCCAAAAUAUUUUCCGUAAACCUAAUCCGGAGAGCCGAAAACAUCCAAAAUUUUACCAACCCAAAAUAUAUUUUUCUAGAAGUGAAAUUUUACCCAUAACCCCAAACUAUAACCGAAAACCCGAACCAGAAAUUUAAAAAUAUCUGUAAUGCCGAAAACAUAUAUGAAAUACCCAAACAUACCUAAUAUAUAUACACAAAUCAUUCCAUGUACUUUGUGUACCCGAUCGAGUCUCGGAUAGGCUUGUUAUCUCUUGUUCAUCUUCUUUUUGAGAGAUUUACAUUGAAAGACACUUUAUGAGUUAUCUUUACACUAAAAGACACAAUAUUGUUUUGACACACUUUACAGUGACAACUGUUUUAUUGAUAACGAAAAUAACCUUGCUUUUUGCUUUAGACAAGAAUGUUUUUUUUAAGAAGACAACGUAAUGAAACUUAGUUAGUGUUUGGUUGCAUUUAAUAAUAAAGUUGUGAACCAUAAAGGUAGCUAUAUGGGUUUCUGUGAAUGGUUUGUAGACGUGAGAUCAAUUUAAAGACAGAACAUCUAACGGCUACAAAAAGUAUGCCUUUUAGAGUGUAAUUAAUGGGUUUCGAAGGUUGAUAAAGUAGGUGAGUCACAGUUAGAAGAGAUAUGGCCAGGCGAAGUUUGGUUAGCAGAUAUAUAUUCAGACCCUAGUUGUACGGGGAGUAUUGUGGUCAGGUGAUGAAUGGAUGGGAGGUGUGUGGUCACUCGAUGUGUGGACGGAUGUUGUGUGGUUGGGCGAUGAGAUGUGGUUGGGCGAUGGGAUGUGGUCAGAGGAGUUGUAAAGUGGUGGUGGAGAGAUGUAAGGAGGGUUCCGGAAUGGGGAAUCAAGAAUGGGAGCAUGCCUUUUAGGGUGUAACUAAUGGGUUACGAAGGUUGAGAAAGUAAGUGAGUCAUGGUCAGAAGAGAUAUGAUAAGACGAGAGUAUUGUGGUCAGGUGAUGAGUGGAUGGGAGGUGUAUGGUCACUCAAAGUGUGGACGGGUGUUGUGUGGUCAGACGAUGAGAUGUGGUCAUACGAGUUGUGAAGUGGUGGUGGAGAGACGCAAGGGGCAUUCCGGAGUGGGAAAUCAAGAAUGGGUGUCACAUGCGUUUUGUUAUGAUCAUUGCUGAGAGGGACAUAUUGCUGGAUCCCAUAUAGGCUGACUGCAGCAGGAUAUUAGGCCGUGAAUAAUUUUUCACACAUGAAAAUCUAUCAGUUGCGAAAAGCCUCUCGGGGGAGAUGGUGGUCUUUUCUGUUCUCUGCAAAUUGUAUAAACAAGAGGGAGAGAGUUGGCGUUAAGGCAGAGAACACAAACGAGAAGAAGUUGUUGUUUUUCAAUCAAAAAACGAACUUUCCAUGUCGAAUAUUACCUGUGAAACCCAGCGGCGGAAUAUGAUGCAAUAGUUCGGAAGAUCAAAAUAGAGGAAGAGAGAAAGGGAUUAGAUUUCGUAAAGAUUGUGAGAGUUUGCUGGAUUUUGUGAUUUAGAUCCACACUUUUCUAGAGUUUCUAAUUUAUAGAUCAAGAAAAAGAGAAAAAGAAAAAGCAUAGAUAAUGAUUAGGGUUCGUCAAUAAUGGGAGAUGUUCGAAUUUGGGAAUUACAAUCUAUUGUUUAAAGAAAAAAAAACAAUAAAGAGGGGAGUUUGCCCAAGUUUGUCUCGUUGGUUUAUUUCCUAAGAUUCCAUCUUUUUUUUUUGUUUUGAUCAAAUCCUAAGAUUCCAUCUCUAGUUACAAGUACAAAGUGUAAUGAAACCUGAUUUCACACUAGUUAAGGGGUUUAUUGGUCAAUUUAACAUGUGAAAGUGCUCUCUAGAUCCAAUGUGUCUCUGUGGGUAAUUGAAAACAUGAAAUGUGUUUGCUAGCGUAAAUUUUUCCUUCCUUUUCUCUUUCUCUUUCUCUUUUUUUAUCCUCAUAUUUUUCUUUGCUUUUUUUUUCCUUCUUGAUUUUAAAACUUUAACUAAUUUCUCAAAGACUCAAUUUUUAUAUUUAUUUUAUCAAAUAUUAUAAAAUCAUAAUAAAAGCUAUUCUUUUGUUAACAAAUGAACUAUCUUGUGAUGAACGAGAAUUUUCUCACCAAGAUAUGAUUCCUUGCAGCAAAAACACGAACGAUGAUGCUAGUGUGUGGUAUCUCGGAUAGGAAGCUCAUCAAAACCAAAAACCUCAAGAUCAGUAUUUUAAAGAUUUUUGAGAAUUGCACUUUGUAGGUUACAACAAAACAAACUAUCCACGACUGCUCCAUCGAUGAGGAAUAUGCUCCAUUUUGCAGGGUUUGUCCAUCCACGCAUUUCUCAUCCCCGAUUCCAUCCCCAUGAAUCCAUCCGCAUGAACCCGUCCAUAAAAAAUUAUCCACACUUCCUUUUCUUGUUCGAAUUUGAUAAAUGGGAUAGACAUUUAACAUAUAGAAGAACUGUGUGGAUGGGCAAAUCCUGCCAAAUCCCUGCAAAUCACAAUGUCUCCCAGAGUGUAAAUGCUCUCUAUUGAUAGACAUAACAGUAUCAACAUUGGUAGUACCCUUUUAUGUCUCACAAAUAAUAUUUUUUUAUUAUUGAUUUGAGUGACAAAUCUUAAAAACAACUAACAAAAUUCUUAGGCCAGCUCUCUGCAUAGAACAUGUUCUUUCCAUUUUCUUCCUUCUCUCUUACUCUAUUCAUUUAUUUCCUUAUAUAAUUGGUAGAGCAGCUCUAAUUUACAACCAAUGUGGAUGCCCUAAUGAUUUUUAAGUUAUUAUUUUCUCACAACGCAAAAGCUAUAAGUGGUGCAUUCUAUCACACGUUGUCAAUCUACAAAAUAUGCUUUUUAAUGAUUGAUCGGUGCUUGCCUGAUGGAUUAGUGGGGUAGAUUGUGUUAUGUGAAAUCCUAUGUACAUCCAUAUGUCAUGCAAUACUAGAUGAAUUUACUGAAAAUUUAUCCCAACAAUCUACAAUUUUCUAAGAUUCACUAUUGGUUUUGAAAAAUUAGAUAUUUAAAAACUUGAAAAAGAUUUGGAUAAUGUAAUUAUGGAUCUGUCGAAAACAAAUUUGGCUUAAAUAUCUAGAUCUAGAUCAUUUGUAUAUACUAAUUUUUUUAUAUUUUAUUAAUAAUUGAUAUACUAAAAUUAGAGAAAUUUCCUAGGAUAGCAAUUUUUAAGUUUUUGUCACAAAAAUAGCACUCGACGAAGAAAAUGACCAAAAUAAGUUUUAUUAAAGGAUAAAAAUGUAUUUUUACCCUAGGUUAACUAAUCUAGACUUAGGGUUUAGAGUUAAGGGGUGAGGUUUUGGAAAGAGGUUUUCAAUUGAAAAAAAUAAAAAAUAAAUAUUAAAAUUUUCAAAAUAAAAAUAGACUAUUUUGGUCAUUUUUUUUCUUGAGUGCUAUUUUUGGCUAUUUUUGUGACAAAAACUUAAAAAUAGUUAUUUGAGAGAUUUGCCCCUAAAAUUAUAUAGCAAGCUAGUUAUAUAUCAUUUUUAUAAUAUUUUAAUUUCGUAUUGUAUAAUAUAUAUUUUAAGAUAUUCAAAUAUAUGGGAAUAUCUUCUCUAUUAAAAGAGAAGUACCAUUUUUAUCUACUAUAAAAUAGUCAUAUUAGGUCCAUUUAUUCAGUUAUAUUUUUUAUUAUUUACAUUAGUUUAUUUAAUAUAUAACAUUUCCAAAAAAAAAUCUAAAUAACUAUAAGGAUAUUAAUAACAAAUAUAUUUUAACUUUAAAUUUAAAUUUUAGUUUUAGUAAUAACAAAAUCUGUUGAAAAUAAUCUAACAAAAUCUUUUUUAAAAUGAAAUAUUUUUUAAUUAAUGGAUUGAUUAAUUUCAAAAUCAGUAGUAUAAUAUUAUUAUAAAUUUUAUUUUAAACAAAAUAAAAUAAAAUUAUAAAAUAAUUUUAUAAGUAUAGUCUAUAUUAUAUUAAAUAGAAGUAAUAAAUGAUUUACAUUUGAAAAUUAUAUUAAAUUGGUAAACUAAUAUUUUUUGAAAACAUACUUUCAUUUAAAUAAAUAAAAAAAAUAUCAUUCACCAUUUAAAGUGAGUAAAAUAUUAUUCACCCUUUAAAAGGAUUAAAAUUCGUAAAUUCUGUAAUAAUUUUAUAAAAAAAAAAAAUUAUUAACAUAUGUUAAACUUUUAUAUUUAAACUAUAUAUUAUCUUAAAAAAGGUUGAAAACAAUAUAUAUUACCUAUUUUUUUUAAAUGACAGCAAAAUAUUAUAUAAAAUAUCAUAUGCAAAAUAUAACAUAAAAUUAUAUAUGGGCAAUUCUCCUAAAUAUAUAAUUUUUAAGUUUUGAUCACAAAAAUAGAUCACAAGGAGGAAAAUGACCAUAAUGUUUCAUUUAAUAGGUAAAAAGACCAUAAUACCCUAGAUAUAAAAAAAAAUAAAAAACAAUAAAAAAUAAUUAUUUUUUUAUAGUUUUAGAUUAUAUGUUUUCAAAUUCGAACUUUUUUAUAAUUUUUUUUAUAUAAUUUUUUUAUAAUUUUUUUUUCAAUUUUUUUUUGUAAUUCGAAAAUAAUUUUAGAAACUAUUUUUAAAAUUUUUAUUUUCAAACUUUUAAUAUUUAUUUUUUAUGUUAUAAAAUUUUAAAUAUCAAUCCCAAAUCUCCGUCCUUUAACGGAUUAGUUAACACUAGGGGUAUAAGUGUAUAUAUAAUUUACCUCUUUAAUGAAACAUUUUGGUCAUUUUGAUUCUUAGAGUUUAUAUUUGUGACAUAAACAUUUUUAGUGCUAUUGUAGAGUAUUUAUCAUUUAUAUUUAUAAAAUGAAAGGUUAUCUGUGCGUGGAUGCGCGGUUCAAAAUCUAGUUUUAGUAUCUUAGAUAAGCAAGCAUUAGGAGAAAAAUAAGUAACCAAAAAAAAGAGAGAGAAAGACAAACGAGGCCGUUUUAAAUUCGAGAGUAGCUAUUUCUUUUCUCAGAAUAUUUGGUAAAUUCUUCCAAUUUAAUUUUACGGUUCCACAUGAUGAACCCAAAAGAACAAUAACAAGAUCAUCAGAUCCUUUGUGAAGUUCAGUUGCGAAAAUGAAAAAUCUGAGCAGCGAAAGAUCCACCUCAUUCUCCCUCUAGAUUGAGCUCCAUCGAAGCGUAAUUUCAUCAGAUCUCAUUUGAAUCAGAUUCACAUGGCAGGAGCUGCUUCUGCGCUGUUUCUGCUGGACAUCAAAGGUCGCGUUCUCGUCUGGCGUGACUACCGCGGCGACGUCUCCGCGGCUCAAGCCGAACGCUUCUUCUCUAAGCUCAUCGAGAAAGAGGUUUCGUUUUCUGAUUUUGUUGCCUUGUGUAUAGUUUCUGUAGAAUCGGAAAAAUGUUGAAUUCAUCUGUGAGGUUAAGAAGAUUAUUUAGAAUGAUAGGUUUGUUGAUUGGAUUAGAGUAUUCAUUUCUCAAUAUGUUGUGUGUCAGGGUGAUUCACAGUCAAAUGAUCCAGUUGCUUACGAUAAUGGGGUCACUUACAUGUUUGUCCAACACAGUAACGUUUACCUUAUGAUAGCCUCCAGACAGAACUGCAAUGCUGCCAGUCUUCUCUCCUUCCUUCACCGCGUCAUUGAUGUAAGUUAAUUCUCCAGCUUUUAAGGCGUACAUUCACAUAAUUGUAAUGCUGUUACAUAUGAUAGAAGUGGUGAUAUGAUCUAUAUAGGUCUUCAAGCAUUACUUUGAGGAGUUAGAGGAAGAAUCACUUAGGGAUAACUUUGUCGUUGUGGUAUGUUUACUUCUUCCGUAUCUCUUUUACCACUACUAUUUUGGCUAUUUAUUGAAAUUGAUUUAUGGUGAUUGGCAGUAUGAGUUACUUGAUGAGAUGAUGGACUUUGGGUACCCUCAGUUUACCGAAGCAAGAAUCCUCAGUGAGUUCAUCAAGACUGAUGCAUAUAGAAUGGAAGUCACACAGAGACCUCCAAUGGCUGUCACUAAUGCUGUCUCCUGGAGGAGUGAUGGAUUACAGUACAAGAAGAACGAAGUGAGUGCUUUUGUUUUCAAGAGAGGAACAUUUUGUUAUCCAUCUGCUGUGUUUUUUUUUGGUUUUGCAAAUGAUUACAGCCUCUCUGCUCUUUAUUUCUCCAGGUUUUCUUGGAUGUAAUUGAGAAUGUAAAUAUUCUUGUCAACAGUAAUGGGCAAAUUAUCAGGUCUGAUGUUGUUGGAGCCCUCAAGAUGCGAACUUACUUGACGUAUGUUCCUAAAUCAUUUGAAAUGUCAUCCCCCUUUUGCUUUGAUCUUUGUCUUGCCAUUUUAUCUGACUCUUUUGCUCUUUGAUCCAUUCCAUUGCAGUGGAAUGCCAGAGUGUAAGUUAGGACUGAAUGAUAGAGUAUUGUUGGAAGCGCAGGGGCGAGCAACAAAGGGAAAAGCCAUUGAUUUGGAGGACAUCAAAUUCCAUCAGUAUGAUUUUUAAGCUCCAGUGAUCAUUACCCUUGUAAACGAUUCUAUAUGUAUUCUUUUUCUUCAACGCAGAUGUGUUCGAUUGGCCCGUUUUGAAAAUGAUAGGACGAUAUCUUUCAUACCACCUGAUGGUGCUUUUGAUCUGAUGACAUAUAGACUCAGUACUCAGGUUUGAACUAUGGAAUAUAGCAUGGAUAGGAAUUUUUUCCUCCUCCUCAACAAAUUUUUAUCUCAUGAUAUUAUCUUUUUUCAUACUCCUUGGUUCAGGUGAAACCGCUUAUAUGGGUGGAAGCGCAAAUAGAAAGGCAUUCCAAAAGUCGUGUUGAGAUGCUCGUAAAAGCUAGAAGUCAGUUCAAGGAACGGAGGUAAAUAUAUUUUAUGGCACUAUGUCACUUUUGAUUGUCUCUUUCACUUUAAUGCACAUAUCUUGAUGAUCAGAUUCUUUGAACAUUUGAUUUGAGAAUUUUCUAUUUUGCAGCACCGCAACGAAUGUUGAGAUUGAGUUGCCUGUACCAGCCGAUGCAUCUAACCCCACCGUUAGGACAUCUCUGGGGUCUGCUGCUUAUGCUCCUGAAAAAGAUGCAUUGGUCUGGAAAAUCAAAUCUUUCCCCGGGAACAAGGUACAUGCUUUUUUCCUUGAUCCAGUUGAAACCAUCAGCCAUCUAGUCUCAAUGUUAACCUCUAGAAAAACAAAUAUAGGAGUACAUGUUGAGGGCAGAGUUUCAUCUUCCCAGUAUAACUGCAGAAGAAGCAACACCUGAGCGAAAAGCUCCUAUCCGUGUCAAAUUCGAGAUCCCUUAUUUCACUGUCUCAGGGAUUCAGGUAAGCUAGUUUGUUUCCACAUCUUCUGCAUUUUAAGCACACACCCCAAUGCGUAAACUGCCCUUCCAUAAGUGAUUAAACUUCCAUGUACUAAAUGCUGGUGUGGUGUAGGUUCGGUACCUGAAGAUAAUCGAGAAGAGCGGGUACCAAGCACUUCCAUGGGUGAGAUACAUAACCAUGGCUGGUGAGUACGAACUAAGACUCGUCUAAGGCUCAUUCGCCUUUUAUCCUUUUAUGCCAAUUGUGGUUCCCACAUUCCUCCGGGAAUCAAUGAAACGAAACAAAACAGGACACAAGUAGAGCAAAAUAAACGUUUUGGAACUUUUUUAGCCGAUCAAUGCCUUUUAAUUUUUUUAAUUUGACUUUAGUAGCCAUAUUCAUGUGAAUUUAUCUUUAUGGUGAUUUUUUUACUUUACACAUGGCCCUUUUUUUACUUUACACAUGUUUCCUUCUUUUUUAAUUCCAGCUACAUUCUGUCUGUGUUCUGUUCUUCCAUCAAAAUUGUUAAUUGAUGAUAUUUUGGUUCUUGUCUUUAGGGGGCAUAUGUUACUGUAAUAUAUUGCUCUACCAAGAGCACAGCUUUUAGAGCUUUUACAAAUAGUAAACAAAGAGCCAAUUGAAUUAAUCAAUACAAGCGGGCAUUGGAGAGAUGUGAACUUCUGAGUUCGAUCCAUUCCGCCUAGGUUGGUACGGAAGAAUGCGGUUGAUUGUCUUGAUUCGGCGUUUCACAGACGUGUAGGCAUGAACGUAAGAAGCGGGUUUUUGUAGCUUCGUCUAUCCAUUCCACAGUUUCAAUCCAUUCUUUCACUGUGUAUCUUAUGAUUACUCCAUUUCCACCAUGCUUGCCACUUUGGGAAUCCAGUGGAAGCUUUUUCAGAUUCGGGCAUCUGAUUAUAUCGAUUCUCUUUAGACAUGGAAAAGGUAGGGGAUUCCAGUAGAUAUUCUUCAGCUCUGGUAGAUCACCCAGCAAAAGAAAUUCCAGCCUUCGAAAAGGAACAAUCCCUGAUUUUUCACCACCGUGACGACUUUUCUCUUUGUUUAUCACAUCUUCUAAUUGUUUUGCAAAUUGGACGGAGAGAACUCUAAGAUUUGGAGCGAACAUCAGUAACGUCAACUCCUUCACGCAUUUGCAGUCUAGUAUAAUCACUUUAGAGAGGCUCAAGAAGCAUGAGGUCCUCGGAUUGUCUAGAGGAGAAACUGUUUUGCUUUCCAUGCAUAUCGUUCCCAUCUUUAUCUCAGAGAUACUGCACCAGACAAUGUUGAAUUCACGUAGAUUCUCCAUAGAUAUUGGAAGUGAGAUACCAGAUGAUUCAAGUUGCAUACACCUGAUCGUUAGAUUUCUUGUUGCAGGUGUCAACUUAUGAGAGCUCAAAAAUUGUUCCAAACCUUGUUGAAGAUCGAUCUCUAUGGUUAAAAUUUCUAAAUGUUCCAAGGUUUGCAACUCCUCCAGUAUGUUGCAAUCCAAUGAAAAACCAGCACGAGAUAAAUUCAAUAUCUUCAAGUUGUGCAGACUUGAUAAUAUCCCAUCAAUAUUUGAAAGGUUAUCUGUCUCCUCCAAAUCCAAGUGAAUUAGCUUUUUCAACUCUUGCACACCCCUAGGCAAAUGACGUAUACUUGUAUAUGACAAGUUGAGAUAUUGCAAGGAAACUAGUUGUGAUAUUCCAUCCGGCAGUUCAAACAGAUUUCCAUUAUAUGAUAGAUCCAAAACAGCUAGUCUUGGCAUGGACUUGAAGAAUUCACUCGAGAUAUUUGUCAAAUUUGCUUUUUCUAGGAGCAAUGUUGUGAGCUCGAGAUAUUCCUGACUGCUAGGGAGAUGGUGAAUCUUGUUCUUUAUCAGUGACAUCCUUCUUACAACAUUACAGUUCUCAACCUUUGGCAUUUCACUUAACCCAGCACCUGCACGCACAAUGAAAGCCUCUUUUUGUGCUCCUAAAUCAGAUGCAAUCCAUAAGGCCAUCUCACGAACUACAUCAUGCAUACAUACAUUCUCUGUUCCAUACCAUUUGACAUCCGUUAACAGUGAUGCACGAACAAGACUACCAAUUAUAUCAUAACCCUUGUUCUCAGCUCUUUCUAUACCUCCACUUCCGUCUAUUAUCCCUUCGCAUAUCCAUAAGCUUAUCAAUUUCUCUUUAGGAAUUUUAUCAUCUUCGGGAAAUAAAGUGCAAUAUAGUAAACACGUUUUGACCUGCUCCACCUCAAGAUUAUCAUAGCUAUACUUCAAAAGUGGAAGAAUUUUAUCUUUCAUGCCAGAAAACUCUACGGCAUAUGAAGUCAAGACAUCUAUCGUGUAACACCAUUCUUGUAGCGUCCUCUUGCAUGACAUGGCCUCGCCUACAACAUUAAGUGCCAACGGUAGGCCACAACAUUUCUUAGCAACUUUUCUUGCAAGUUCGGGGAUCCCUGGAUCACUUCUUAAUGUUAUUUGUCCAACCUUCUUUUGGAACAAAUCAUAUGCGUCAUCUUCCGACAAGCAUUUGACUUCCAUUGGUUCUUCAACGCCCAUGUGCGCACAUAUAGCCUUGGAACGGGUUGUGAAUGCCACUUUGCAUCGGUUUUGUGUUGUUGGAAACGGGAUUCCAAUCUCAACUAAAUCCACCUUCUCCCAUAUGUCAUCUAAAAACAACAGGAGUCUCUUUUUCCUUAAGAAAUUGUAUAUAACAUCAGCUUUUUGGCUUUUCUCUUUUUGUUUCCAUUCAUCUCCAUCAAGACCAACCUUCCGAGCGAUCUCACUUUGAAUCUUCUCUACUCGUAACUCUUUAGACACCACAACCCAAAUCACAAAAUCAAAUCCACACGUCAUGCCACUGAACUUAUUGUUGAGUUGUGUGAGAAGAGUUGUUUUCCCUACUCCCCCCAUACCGUACAAACCCAUAAUACCAACUCGAUCUUCCAUGAGAUGAUUCCAUGCGUUCUCCAACAUUUCUUUCUGACCAACAAUUGUUGACUGAAGCUGUCUUUCCUCCACCUCAAAUGUGUGAGCUUGCUCAACGAUCACUUCGAAAACUUUACUAUUCAGUUUUUCAACCUCCCUUAAAUUCAUGGAAACACUUUUGCCAUAACGAUAACUCAAUAUUAAACUCUUAGAGCAAAAACCAAGAAGACAAAGCCUUUGAAGUUGACCAUUUCUAGCACUAAGAAGAUUGUUGGCUUCGUUUUCAAAAGUCUCAACUCUAGUAAGCCAUACCUGGAAUUCAGAAAGCCUUUGUAAACCUCUAUCCUCCUCUCUUGUUACCCUUCUUGAUAAAUCAUCACGCUUAGCCUUGAGCUCUUCCAUGGUUGCCCGCCAGAUUCUUCUCGAGGUUGUGAACAUAACCUACUUGGAUGUCUAGCCAUUGACAUACCUUUUUCAUCGAUUGAUCAGAAGAUAUCGAGAGGGAGACGCAGUUGCCCAUUAUAGAAGAACAUAAAAAAGCAGAUACUUGAAAUUUUACUUAUCUGAGAAAGUCAGAUAUGAUGCAGAGAGAAAUUGAAGACAGAGUGUGUGCAGAUAGUAGUUGAAGAUAGACUUUCCUCUUGGUCCACACGAAACAAGAUAUUUUGAUAUAGUGCUCAUUUGAUUUCAACAAUUAUUGAUUCACAUUCACACUCGUUUCCAGUUAGUAGAUUCACAUUUUUUUUUGAAAAAAUUGCCAAAACACGGCAGAAAAACAACUACAUUGUCUCUCUACCAUAAAUCUUUUUUUGUCAGAUUUGGACUUAGAUACCUCUAGCCAACUUAAAAAAUUCAUAUCAAUUAUUUUAAGAGUCAGAAAAUUAUGAAAAAAAUAUUAAUGUACAUAAACAUGGAAAUCAUAUGAAAAAUAAUUAGGUUGACUAAAUAUUAGUGAAACAUAAUUUCAUAUUUUGAUCUUCAGAUAGCAGAAAACAAAAUCUACUAACUACGGCUAUGUAGAUCGUAGUUUCGGUUAACUACAUAGAUAUCUGGCGCUUACAGAUGUUAAAAUCUACGAUUUGGUAAUCGGUCUACUACCGCAGAAAAAAAGGUUACGGUUUUGCUUACAAUCUGAAACACGAAAGAUUUCAUGAACUAUUGUUUCCUAUAUAUCUAUUGGCUGGGAAGCACAGAAACUGCAAGUUACUAAUAAUCUAUCAUGGAAAUAUUUCGUUAUCUACUAAGAUACUAUAACCUAUCUCUGCCGGAUUAUACAUUCUGCCGUCGUAUCUACCAUCAUAUUACAAUCUACUGGCAGCAGAAUGCAUGUUCUGCCAAAUUCGAAUUAUUUAGGAAAAUAUUCCUUAAAUCUCUCCAAAAUAUGUUGAAAAAUAUUCCGUAAAUCUUUAUUUUCCCAAAUUUUACGUGUUUCCUAAAGUUAUUUUUUUUUUUAAAUGACUGUGAUCUCUCUCUUCUUCUUCACAUGUUCUUGAUUAAUUUUGAAACCACCCCAAAAAUUUGAAUCCAUUGUUGAAGAACAUGCAUAUCUAUGCCUCUUGUGGAGUGUGGAAAUUUGAUCCAUGUAAAGGAUGGAGAUUUGCUUUUGAUAAGGAAAAAGGAUGUACAGUACUGGCUGUGGAAUUGAAAAGUUCCUUUGAAGAUCUAAGGACUACGACUUUUGAGGAUUUUUGAAUUGACCAAAACGAUGUCGUGCUUGAGUUAAGCUACUUACCUAUGGAGUUAAUCAGUACGAUAGACUGUCCCCCAGUUAUCAUUGGGAAUGAUCGGCAAGUCAAGAAUUUUCUUACAUAUGUACGUGGAAAAGCUUCUACAAAGUUGUGUGUGUCUAUUUCACAUGUCAAUGGAAAUAGCGACAACAUUGAGCUUGAUGGGGAGCAAUCUAAAUCGCCUUUCAGAGAGCUAGGUGAGCCUUCCUCGUUUUCACCACGAGAUGGCAUUGGUAGUUCAUCUGAAUCGAGCAAGGAUGUUGAAGACGAAUGUAACUCGAACGCCUCGGAAGAAGAUAAAGAUGUUGACUUAUGUGGAAAAGAAGACGAUAGGGGAAAAAGUGUUUGGUUCUCUUUGAAGGAUGUUGUGAAGAGGGGUGAAACGUUUCAAAACAAAUCAAAGUUGAAAGCAGCAUUGGAAAUGUCAGCAAUGAAGAAUAACUUCGAUUACAAAGUGGUGAAUUCAGAUAGAAAACUUUGGUACAUCCGAUGCGUGGACAACAAGUGUAAGUGGAGUGUUCGUGCUGAGGGGUUAUCGGGAUCCACAUAUUUCAUCAUCAAAAAAUAUGUGGCGAAUCAUACAUGUGCUGCGUCAAGUAUGAAUAAUGGUGGUCGGACAGCUUCUGCAAAAACUAUUGGGAGUCUAAUAAUGCAUAGGUAUGAUGGUGUCAAAGAAGGUCCCAAAGCUAAUGAUAUCAUACAUAUUAUGAGAAUGGAACAUGGAUGUGAGAUAUCUAAAUCAUUAGCGUGGGAUGCUCGUGAGUAUGCAAUUAGUCUGGCUAGAGGCAUUCCCGAGCAGAGUUUUGAAAAAAUUCUGAAAUACUUGCACAUGCUGAAAGAAGCUAAUCCAGGAACACACACCUUUUACGAAACCGAUGUUGAUGGUAAAUUCAGAUUUCUCUUCGUUUCGUUUGGGCAAUCAGUACGAGGUUUUCAUACAGCCAUGCGAAAAGUUCUUGCUGUUGAUGGGACAUUUUUGAAGAGCAAAUACAAAGGGGUAUUGCUUGUUGCGACAAUUUUAGAUGGAAACUCCAACUUGUAUCCUAUUGCAUUUGCGGUUGUGGACUCAGAAAAUGAUCGUUCAUGGGAUUGGUUUUUCAGACAACUAAAGGUUGUUGUUCCGGACGAGCGUGCUCUUGCUUUUGUGUCAGACAGAAAUAACUCACUUUGUAAGGCGCUUGAAAAUGUGUAUCCUCUUUCUCAACAUGGAAUUUGUAUUCACCAUUUGUUGAAUAAUGUGGUCACACAUUACAGAGGAAAGGGAGUUGUUGGAUUGAUUGCAAAAGCUUCUAAAGCUUAUAGAAUUGUUGAUUUUCAGAAGCGAUUCCAAGCUGUGUGCAAUAUUAGUCCAGCUAUUGGAAAAUAUUUAACAGAUGCAGAUGUUACAAAGUGGGCUCGCUGUCAGUUUCAAGGAUACAGGUACGACAUCAAGACGACAAACCCGGCUGAAUCAAUAAACUCUGCUUUGCGCUCACCAAGAGAGUAUCCAGUCAUUCCUUUGUUGGAUAGCAUCAGAGAAAUGCUUACUCAUUGGUUCUUCGAACAACGCACACGAAGCAGGAAGCAGAAAGCACACAAAACCAUUAACUAUUGCCAUCGAGAAAAAGAUAGAUAGACGGAUUAACAAGGGUAAAACGUUUCUUGUCCAGCCAGUUAACGAGCAUCGUUUUUUGGUUUGUGGAGAUACAAUCGACUGCCUGGUUGAUUUGGACAGAAGAACCUGCUCAUGUGGAAAAUACGACCUACUGAAAAGCCCAUGUAGACACGCAAUCAGGGCUGGUUUAACAGUUGGCCGAGCCCCAUCCUCACUAACGGAUGACAUGUACACGACUUUCACUUGGAGAACAGCUUAUCAAGAAACUAUCAAUCCAAUAGGUGUUCCUGAGGAUAGUUUGGGUGGUUCCAGAUACUGUUCGGAAUGCUGAUGUGCUAGCUCCUGAAUCAAGACGAGGAGCAGGAAGGAGAAGAAAACGCAGGUAUGAGACAGUUGAAGACAAGCUCCGUUCAUCGCAAGGAGCUCAAGAAAAAAAGAGGCGCAUGUGCUGUCGAUGUGGCGAAGAGAAUCAUAACAGGGCUACGUGUGACAGAGCCAUUUAGACAUGUCUUUGUUUUGGAUUUUCUUGUUUUUCAAUAUGGUAUUGGUUACUCGAUUUGCUUGGUUUACUUGCUUCUGGAUUUUCUUGUGGUUUACUUGAUUUUAUGCAAUCAUUCCUUGAUUUUCUGCAAUGUUAUCUAUUUGACAGUUAGUUGUAAACUGAAGCUGAUCAAUAGGUUUCUCUGCAACCUUUACUCUUUAAUCAUCAUACUAUAAAUUGAAGCUAGCUUUGAAAUACAUAAAUCAAACAAUAAGUAAUAGAUUGUGAACUGAAGAUGAUUAUAAAACCAACGAUUGUAAACAAGAAUCCAUGGAGUGUAUAUUAGUCGAUCAUAAUGAAAACAAAACAAUACUGCAAACUUAAGAGAUUUUGAACCCAUCAAACUCAGACAACAAGCAACCGAUCACUAGAACUUGCUCAGACACUAAGAGAAGUCCAUAUUCCUACGAUUUCUCCUACAACUACCAUAGCCACCGUCGUUAUCUUUAGCUUCUGUUUCAUAUCCUGUGCAACUCUAGCAAACUCCAAGUCUACCUUCUCUUUAAGCUUUUCGGACAUCUCAUGUUCAACUCUAACCAUCUCGGACUUCACCUUUUCCAUAACCCUUUCUUCAAACAUCGUAAUCCCUUGAGCAACCCUCUCAUGUUUCACAUCCACCAUCCGAAUCUCCUCAAUCAAAGCUUCAUCAAUCCAUUUACAUAGAUGAUUCUCAGUUUUUCUCUAUCGCAAAAGAAACAAAAAUCAGUCAAUAUUGUAUUUUGAACUGUAAAUCUAAGUGAUAUAGUUUGGUUUAAUCUGCAACACGAAAUCGAAACAGGGACUUACAUCUCUUGCGAUUUCGCAUCGGUAGAAUCGUUGAUACCUAUUCUCCGCUGUCGAUGAACCAAACGUGGUUAUGCCCUCGCCACACCAACAUCUUGUAGGUACACCAUGAGUAGAGAUUCGAGGAAAACGAGCAGAAGAUGUUGACGAACUGAUCAUUGUGAUUUCGUUGCUAGAUUCCCAGGAUUCACAGAGAAAGAACCCUAAUCCCCUUUUCUCUCUACUUUACUUUCUUAAGUUUCGACAAAUGAAAAGAAAAUCACGUGUUUGGGGGUGUGUGGAUCCGGGUUUAGGGUCGGGUUUUAAACAUUUUCGGGUGGGCCUAGUGGGUAUAAAUCGUAAUUGGGUUAUACUCUAUAACACUUAUAUUGGCUGCUAAAAUACUACACUCUAAUACACUAAAAUCGACAUCUGAGAACUAUAUGAAGACAAAAUUUGAAAAUACUAAUCUGUAAAACAUAUCUUAGUAAUCAAUUAAAAUCGUCAUGUUACAUACUAUAUUGUAAAUUGUUAAACACAUAAUUCUUAUUUACUCUUGUUAAAUACUACACCCUAUAACAUGAUUUAGGGUAUAGGGUUUGAACCAAAUCGAAUUUAGGGGUUGAUAUCUUGCACAUUUGCAUUGUUUUAACUCUUCAUUCUUGCAUGUUUUGGUCAUUUAGAUUAGGGAUUAUGCAUUUUACUUUCCUUUUUGCAUUGCAUAAGUCUUUAUCAGGUGUUGGAGUGUCCAUUGGAGUUCUUGGAGGUACUUGUAAGCAUUUGGGAUCGAAAAGGGAGUGGAAAGUAUUGUUUGAGCGAGUAGAGCACCGGAGCGGGCAAUGGGAGUGACCUACGACACCCGCUCCAGACGAAACGAAGGCAGCGCGACCUCUUGCAGCGGGGUUCGGCACCCGCUCUGAACCAACACCCCGUCGACAUCUCUCGAGAAUGGGAGCGACCAAAACGGAGCGAGGUCCGCAGCCCGCGCGCAAAAAGAAGAAAUGAAGUUGGUAUUCGGAGCGACGUCCCGCAGCGGGGUGAGGCACCCGCUCCAAGCUCAACCUCUCGUCGACAACUUUCAAGAAGUGGAGCGACCACGGGGAACGAGGACCGCAACCCGCACGCAAAAACGAAGAAACGAAGCUGGCAUUCGGAGCGACGUCUCGCAGCGGGGUGAGGCACCCGCUCUGGAAGCAGAGCGACCUCACACACCCGCGCGCGUUUCUCUUCUUCUGGAAGUAGAGCGACCUGGGGGUUUGAACCGUAAUGAAUUUAGGGGUUUCAACUCUUUUUUAUUUAAAAUGUAAAUUAUAAUAACAACUAACAACAACAAUUAAUCAUGAACUCAAAUAAGUUUGAUAGGGUUCAAACCCUAUACCCUAAAUCACUUAAUAUAUCAUUUUCGAAACAUAAACAAUAAUCAUGAACUGAAAUAGUAGAUCAGUUUUAAAACAAUAACAUUAGUGCAUGAAUUGAAAUGAUAAACCACAAACUAUCAAAGACAACAAUCAUGAACUCAAAAGAGUUCAACCGUUUUUUUCCGGAGCACGCUUUGGAGGCUUAAAUAUGGACAUUCGAUACUGCAAGACCUCAUCAUUUGCUGCAUCCCAAAGAUCAAACGCUAUCUUGUGUCGGGCUUCUUGGAUGUUCUCGUCAUUCACCAAAUAAAUAUCUAAACCAAGCAGAUGGCACUCUAUGAACUUCAACGAAUAAGCACCACAAUCAUUGCCACUCUUGUUUAGGGAGCGCAUCGGGACAUAUGAAACUGUAUACUGUUUGACAUUGAAAUCUUUCUUCUUAUCUGACGACUGGACAACCUUGAUGAUUCGUGGAAUGAGGACGGCGAAUUCUUCCACGGCCCUGUUGUUCUUCUUACCCCCACAAUCGAAGACCUCAAUAGUCCGGUUCACAAGAUUGACGCACAUAGAGAUCCAAUGGAUUUGGUUGACACAAAUAGGGAUGUAGAGACGGUCGACAUCAACACUCCAAACUGAACCUGUGCUUCCAUGAUAUGGAAGCUCACCUCUUCCAUACUCGAGAAGGUUGUUGUCGACUUUGUACACUCUCCUGUUUCCAUCAAACUUGCCGUACGCCGUGAUGAUCUGAUUACUGAACAUACAGUUCAUAAAUUCUACUCGGUUUGGCUUCCACCGACGCAAUGAGGUUUUUUCCCGAAACAAAUACAUCAUGGCGUCCAUGUCCUGAAAAAGACAAUACAAUUUUUUAAGGAAUGAGAACCAACAACAAAAUUCAGUCUGCAAAAUAAUUCUGAGCUAAAAUCACAUAGUUCUUCAACUAUUCAUUAGGCCUCAUUAUACGCAAAGCUAGCUCUGCAUCAAAUUUAGAUGGCCCAAUCUGAAGUACUCUGUAAAGAGAAAGCAGUAGUGUGAAUAUUUAUGAGGAGAAUAGAGAAAAAGAGUAAAUCAAUACAAAUAUUACUUACUUGGGCUUGAGACCUUGUCUUAGCAGCAUUUGCAGGACCACCAGUGUGAGAAGGAACCGAAGCUUUAUUACGAGAAGCUCGACUGCGGGAAGUAGUAGGAGCAGGAGCACUAGCGUGAGUAGACGCCGGAGCAGGAGUACGAGUAGGAGCUUGAGUCAAUGUCGUAGCAGCAGCAUGAGUAGGAGUAUAAGCCGGAGCAGCCCCAUGAGCUUGAGUAGAUGUAGUAGUAGCAGCAGGAGUAGGAGUAUAAGCCGGAGCAGCACCAUGAGCUUGAGUAGAUGUCGUAGCAGCAGCAGGAGUAGGAGUAUAAGCCGGAGCAGCACCAUGAGUCUGAGUAUAAGCCGGAACACCAAUCUGAUCUGAGAUGAAAGGAUCGUCUGCUCUAAUUUGGUAAACCGGUCUUCAAUUAAGUCGCGUACCUCAAGCCCUAAGGCAGUAAAAGAAGACUUAAACAUACCCUGGAUAUAGGACUUCAUUCCCUCUUCAAGAUCUCUGUAUUUGUCAGUUGAUCUUUGGCAAAGUAACCUCUUCUUCCUUGACUCGGCUCCAAUAUCCUGAUAUUGGUUCUUUCUCUUCUUUGCAGGAGACACAUGGGCAUUUUCUAUUUCUUCUUCCAUUCCACAGUCACUUGUUUCUCCAGCCUCUUCUUCCUUUGAACCAUCUUCCUCAGAACUGUACGCAUAUGGUUGUACAGUUUCCUGAUAACCCCAAACAUGCUUACUCCAGUCAUACUUCUUUCUGUACAUGUCAAUGAUCAAAUCGACCCUUUUGUCAUUCAUCUCAUCGUCUCGUUCAAACCCAGCAUCAACAAUGAUAUUGCCAUUUCCAGUUGAAGAGAUGUAUGGAAACACAACUCCCUGCAAAAAAACAAAGUACAAAAGUUAAACACAAACAUUAAGAAUCAUGAAAUGCAAUCACAUUAAUUAAAGGAAUCAGAACUUACAGUGGAUGCAAAAUCAGUCUCAAUGCUAAUAAUAUCCUCAUAGGAAACCUGAGCAGAUCCUUUCCAAUUUCUGCAUCUCAUGCUAGUGACGCCUUCUCUGAGCUUCUCACCCAAAAGAGACCCGAUGUCUGGAAUAGCCUCCAUCAACCAAAUUUGAAGUGCAUACGAGAAUCCAUCUAUGACAUAACUGUUCCGUGUCUUCACUUUAUCCCUAGUUUUGGUAAUGGAAGUCGCAUCAAAAGAAUGAAGACCCCACGGAAAUUUUCUCAUCUUAUCGAAAUCCAUCACCAGCUUGAUGUACUUGUGUGGGAUGGACACCUUCUCAUCCUUCGCCAUAACCAGACCAGCAAUCACACACAAAUACACCAUCCUCAGCCUAUCAACAUGAGACCAUGUAUUACAAGAUUUCAGAUGCACCUUCCUGAUUUUCUGUAGGCUAAUUUUUCCUUUUCUCCGCAGCAACUUACUCCAAAACCCUUUAUCACCUCUCCAGUUAUCAAUAUCCAAGUCAGGCUCGUCGUCUUUAUAUUUCAGACCAGUGAUCGCAUGGAAUUCUUGCAUUGAAAAUCUGAGAGCCCUCCUAGCAAAAUGGAACCACAACUCAUGGCGCUUUGCGGUCAGAAGCUGCUUACAAACGAAGCUGUGGAUCACUCUCCCCGAAUACUUAAGCUUGUGCACAUAAAUGGCCAUAACCUGAGCAAAUAGCGGAUCACCCAACAUUUCCUUGUACUCUGCUUCAACAUACUUCUCCACCUUCUUAAGUAUGGAAGUUCGACAAGUGUUGUUGACCUUCUCAACUUGUGUUUCCGUUCCCUGUUUGAAUAGGGUUUUUGGCAACUGAUCCAUCGUCAUACCUGUGAACAAUGAAACAAAUAAAAUCACCACAGUCAGUACUCAUAAAACAAAGUCAUCAUAAUACAAGUUCAUAAUACUUAAGCAUCAAGCGCAAGGUUAACAAAAACAUUAAAAGAAUUAAACUUUGAUAAAUUCCGACACCUAAAUCAUUAACACUAACUAUCUCAACUAAAGUCGAUACAUAUCAAACGCAAACUAUGAUAAUGAAACACAGAAAUUUUAAAAAGAAAGACAUGAAAAUUAAGUCACAAGUUCUUAUACAAACCUGAAAAGCUCGAGGUUUCUGAAAACAAUGCACAAGGAAACAAAUACAAUCACAACAGUCAAUAUUCAUGCUACUUUUAAUCAUAAAACAAUCGUCCAAAGACAGGCAUACUAGUGUAAACAAAUCAAACAAAAUCACCUAAGACAUACAAAAAUGCAAACCACAUACUUUACAUGCUUUAUAGAUGUCAAUACCCAAUCAAAUACGAAUCCAUUCUCCCUCAAUGUCACGAGAAACAACUACAGGUACAAGAGAUCGGUUGCCACAAACCAACAAAAUCAUUCACAGAAACUAAAAUCGAAACCUAUGACAGUCAAACUAUGAUUAAAAAAAGACUCAAGUAAAAGAUACAAAGACAUGCAAAAAAAAAAAUUCACAAACAAACCUGAAAAGUAUCGAUUGAUUUGCUUGAAAUAGAGCUGAGAGAGUAUAUUCCAGAUCGGAGAGGCACGAGCUUCAGUUAUCGGUGAGGUACGAGCUUCAGUUAUCGGUGAGGUACGAGCUUCAAUGGUGUUCGGCGAGUUACUUGAGAACGAGAUGUGAAGUGAGACGUGGUCUCGAUACUGCGAUUAAGAAGAAGAAGAACACCACCGGAGUCCUAGCGGGCAGAAGGAGCACCGGCGACGGCGAGCUCUGACACGCCGAUGACUUGAAAUCUUCUUUUGUUCUCUAUCGCCAAAGGAGGAGGCGAAAUUAGGGUUCUAAGUCACGAUUUGGGAUUAUCCCCUUUUGUUUAUUUACUAUCUGUUUUUUUUUUUACUUUUAACUUUUUUUUAACUAUUAAUUUUACAAAAAACGUUUUAGGAUUAGAUUAGAGACUUAAUUGGGUUUACAUAAAAAAAUAUGCUAAGUGGACAACUUCUUGUUCAUAUUAUGGCAUAUGGACAAUCUAUUAGUUUUUUUGUUGUAUAUUUCCAAUAUUUCCUUUUUUUUAUAUAUAUCUAAAUCCACGCUUAGUCUAAGAUGUCCAGACAUCAUUUCUAAUGUAUCUUGCUAUUUUCCUUUAAAAUAGAAGAUAUUGAAAUGAAUUUUGUUCCGGUGUAUUCUUGUAAACAGUGUUAUUGCACAUUUAAACUAAAAAUAGAGAAAAUAAUAGAGACAAAAAAAAUAGCAAUUUGUAUUUUAUAGGAAGAUGUUUUAAUAACAUCACGAUCUGACCUUCUUGGUUUUAUUAUCUGUGUCAACAAAUUUUGUUAUAAGUUUUUAUUUGAUUUUUUGUGGUAAAGCAGAGUUUGUGAUAUACAAAGUAAAGAAGAUGAAAAUAAUGGAUAAGGAUGUUAAUCCAAUCGCUAAUCAAUUUGCCAAGCUUGAUCCAACCUAUAGUGGAAGGAUUACUCUUAAAUCUCUUGGAAACCAAAUGGAGCAAUUCUUUUAUAAUAUUUUCAUUAUUGAUCGAACAAGCUUGUGUAGAGAAGUUUCAAAUGACACUUCAGUCGAACAUAUACUUGUAGUAUAUGUAAAUUGAUUUUCAUUUAAUGAUUGGGAGUUGGUAUGAAAUAUGUCUUGAGACUAUUUUUUUUUUUUUUCUUUUUUUGCUAAAUAAUGUCUUGAGACUUGAGGUCUCUAUGUAGAUGUUAAUUAGAAAAACAAUACUUAUGUUUAUCCCUAUUGAAUGGUUAAAUUCACUUCACUAUUUAUAACUUACCAAAUUGUCAUAUAGAAUUAAUUGAAAAAAAUAAUAAAAUUGAAAAAUAAAUAGCUGAGAAAAACAACACCGAUGUUAAAGCCGUCUGCAAAACCCGGAACUCUAAAAAUAAAAAAUCUAAACCCAAAACCUAAACUUUAAACCUCAAAUCCUAAACCCUAAACCCUAAACUCUAAAUCCUAAAUUCUAAACCCAAAAUCUUAAACCCUAAACCCUAAACUCUAAACCCAAAAUCUUAAACCCUAAACCCAAAACACAACCCUAAACCCAUCACUUGAUUAGGGUUGGGGUUUAUGGUUUAGAGUUUUGGGUUUAGGGUUUAGGAUUGAUGGUUUAGAGUUUUGGGUUUAGAGCUUAGGAUUUUGGGUUUAUAGUUUAGGAUUUAGGGUUUAUGGUUUAGAGUUUCGGGUUUUAGGUUUAGGAAUUAAAGUUUAUACUUUAGGAUUUGAGGUUUAUGGUUUAGAUUUUAAAUUUUUAGAAUUUCGGGUUUUUUUUCAGCCAUUUUUUUAAAUUUUAUUGUUUUUUUAAACUAAUCCGGCACUUUGAUUGGUUAUAAAAGGUGAACCGAAUUUAACCAUUCACCCAUAGGGGUGAACCAAGUAUUGUUCUAAUUAUAAGAAUAUGUAGAUUAAAAAAAAAGAAACGUUAUUUAAAGUAUGUCUUUUGUAUCCAUAUCCAUAUAAAAUAAACGUUAUCUUACUCCUAACUUGGUCAAAAGGCAAACCAUCAACGCCACCAAGUGAUUGAAACAACUUUAAAAGAUCACCACAUCCCGAGGACAAACCGUUGAACGGAUGCUCAAACGGUUCAAACGUAGCCUUCUCCGCAGCAGGCGACUCAACCACCAAAGGCAGCUCAACAUCAGAGCUCGCAACUUUGCGAGAUUUCGAAGCCGGCGCGUCCUUGGAUGAACGACCAGCAGCAACUCUUUUCUUCACAACCUUCUCACUGCCAGCAACAACAACUUCCUUUCCAGAAACACCAGCGGGCGGGACAGGAGCUGUCGUGCUAGUGAGACCCAUAACAAUACUACAAGCAGAUGCCGAAAGUUCCACACCGGUGGUACCAGACUCAACAACAGAAGUAUCGGCACUGCCUCCAGCAAAACAGUCAACCAAACUCGGAAUCUCGCUCAAAUCCAUUUUCUCCAACAAGCUAUAUUCGUAAAAAGAAAACCAUACAAAAUCAGUGACUUUUUAGAGCCAAGAUCAAGCAAUCAAAGGCAUUUAACCAAAAAAAAAAAAAAAAAGAGAGAAGAAAGAGUGCAUAUUUUCAACCUGAGUCAAUAAACGGGAUGCACUGCCAAACCUCCGACCGCCUCACCUCAGUCCAAUCCCAAGCCCUCGUCGCCUUGAAGUAUUCCACACACUCACUAUCACCCGGAGCAAGAGGAACACCAACUAAGUGACGACCUACAAAACAAGACAACAGUCGAUAAGAUUUUUUUUUUUUUUUUUUAAAUACACCUAUAAGAAUUAAACUACAAUUGUGAGGAUUCCAACUACUCCUAAAAGGGGCACUCAUAUCAGAAACAUCAGGAACCAACGAAGGUGCAAUUCGAACAUAAAAAAAAUUCUUAAUCCAACAUAAAGUUUUUCUCUUCCUCUCCCCUACAACACCACAGCCAGUCUUCAUAGACACAUAAAAAGCCCCGUCGGUCUUGUCACACCGAGUAAUAUGCGCUAUACGUUCAAACAAACAUAGGCUCAUGUGAACACCAAUAUCCGCGGCCGUGAACAGAGCCAAAACUAUAUUUCGAAUUGCAGCAGGAGUAAGUUGAGCCAGUGCAAUAAGAUGAUCAUCACAAUACGCCAGCAGCAACCUCGGGAGGGGAAACCACAAAUGAUACUCGGUGAUCCAAAAGUCAUAAAUACAAGGCCACCCAUCCGGAACCGUCCACGGAUGUUCAUCCUCACCAGGAAUACGCGCUUCUAUGACACCAUUACGACAACAGUUGGCUGAGAUCCACUUGAUUAUAUCAUCAUCAACAAUAGAAGGAAAUGACUCCGAUUGAUCCGGAUGAUUAACAAGAGGACCUAUGAAACUCCUAGGCCUUUCCCUCGCCUUCCUAACCCUCGUUUUCUUCUUCUUCACAUAGCCACAAGGAUCACCAAAGGCAUCAAGCGAAUCAGCAAGGGAGGCAGCCACGCUUUCUUGUUUUAUUUUUCUCAAAAUAUCGAUAACGUCGCCUCGACGAUCACUGCCUCCAUCGGCAUCAUCCCUCCCAUCGCCUACAACAGCGAUUCCUAGACUACCACUAAAACCGCUUUGCUCACCACUAAAACUAUCCUGCUCAUCACUAAAAUCAUCACGCUCACCACUAAAAUCACUGCGUUCAUCAAAACCAUCUCGGUCACCCAUCUCAUCAUCUCCAACAGCAUCAUAAUUACCGUUACUAGCAAACUUGUCUUGCUCACUUUCCUCACCAACAUUAACGUCACCGGUUCCAUUCUGCUCAUCAUCGGCGCUUCCCAGAGCACCACCAUCUUCAACAUCAACGUUUUCGACAUCAUCAUCUCGUCUAUCAUCUCUAGCAGCAUUAUCAGAUUCACUAUCAGCACCAUCCGCAGAUUCCUCACUAUGAGAACUCGAGUACGAACUACCAUCAGAGGAACUCGUAGUUUCCGACGACUACUCUCUCGCUUGAGAGGAUUUCGCCAACUGCACUACAAAAAAUAUGAGUAUUGGUAGCAGUUCACCGUAGCACGAAUUCACGAAGUGCUACUAAUACAGUCAAAAUUGGAUCAUAAUUCUAUGGUAGCACUAAAUUCGUGCUAGCAAAGAUUUUCAUUAAGCUGAGACCCAAAAAUGACUUUUAUAGCGGGAUAUUUAUGUUGGAGCCAAAACACUUAGCGAAAUUUUCUGAUUUUGGCGGAUCUACACUUUUUUUUUUUGCUAAAGUCAUUUUUUCAUUCAUCACCCACAAAAAAAAAAAAUUUGUUCUCAUCAAUCUCUCAUCGAUCUUCUGUUCUUUCUAUUUUCAGAUCUCAUCUCCCCUCUGUUCUUAAUCAUCUGUCUCUCUAUCUUACUCUCCUAACCUCACUCACACCCACACGAUUUCUCAACACAGACAUCUCUCUCUGUAAUUUCACUCUCCUAGUCUCGUCUUCAUCUUGUUCGAGCACUGGUAUGUUGCAGAAAGUUCGACGAAUUCGACGGAUCUAACCGCGCUCGCACCGGAUUCGUGAGCCGUCUCGAAGUUCCCAAAGUAUCCGACUGUAACAGUCGUAAUCUCUCUCUCUCUCUCGUCCCUUUUCUCUCGAUAAGCCCUUAAUCGAAGGUCUUUAUUGAUUUGUUAUUUUGCAGAGAGCAAGUAUGAAAAGGUGACCUUGAAGCAUAACCACAAGUUCCUUAUAAAGGUUAAGGAGCACCAAGAAGGCAAAGGAUGCUAAGAAGCUCGGGCUUAACCGUAACCAUGUGUAAUCUCUGUCUCAGAUUGAGAUUGUAGUCAGCUUGACCCUUGACUCAAGCGUAAACCUUUCUCCGGUUUGUAUAAUCUCUGAUUGAGAUUUUAGAUGAAGGGUUUGUUGUUCUGAUUCUAUAACUCUCGAAAGAUCUCUUCUUUUGCUCUCUUGAUUAAGGAUUCGUAGAUUAUUGAACUAUGGAGACUCGGUGAUGGAUAUAAGGAGUUAUUUCUUGAUGCCCCAGACUCGGUGAAGGUAUAUACAUUGAUAACGAGAUGAUUUGUCUUUGAUAUAUUCAAUCAUAUCUUUGCUGUGGGAAUGUUUGUAGUUUACCUGCAGGGUCCAAACAAUCAAGGUCAUUGGCUUGUUAAAUCUAUUCAGUGUGUACUUGAUAUUCUAAAGAAUGCUGAUAGCAAUGCUGAGGUUACUUUGGAGUUUUGACUCCAUUACUCUUUGUUCUGUUUAAUUGAAUUGGCCCUUGUGUUCAGGGAUGCUGGUGUCUCAGCCAUUGCUUCCCACCUUACCCGUUCCAUGGCAGUCAGUACAUCGUUUGGUGGGGACUUCAAGGUAGUUCUUAAACUGAUUUUAUAUUGUGUCUAAAGUCUAUCUUUGCAAGAUUGCUAUUGACAUCAUCACUUUUUGUCGUAUCAGAUUUGGGUUUGCAACAGUGAGAAGAGCAAGAAGGCUAAAGACUCUAGCUGAAUAUGUCAUGCAGUUGGUUCUUAUAUGUAAUAUCUUUAUAAGCAUUAGGAAUCUUAAACAUUCACAACUGAUUCACGGAUGGGAGUAAUGUAUUACACGUUGGGGAGGCUUAUGUAUAUUUUGGUGCACUCUACAGCACUUGAGAUGGUUUAGUUUAUUAAUUAUCCAAGAACAUACAAGAUAUAUAAAUGUAUAUCUAAAAUACUAUUAAUCAUACUCUAAACCCUUAAUUUUUAAUAUUUUAUCAUAAAAUACAAAGAUACCAACAAAUAAUAUGAUAUAAUUAAAAUCUAACACUAAUAAUAAACUAGAAAAUUUUUUUUGCUUCAAGUUCUAAACCCUAAACAUACCAUAAUUCCAACAUCCAACACUUACAAUAAACUUCAAAAUGAACAUUUGUAGAAAUUUAUAACUAAAACAAAAGCAUAUUACUUUAAGAAUAUAUAAAUUUUCAACAUGUAAUUUAAAAAAAAAAACAAAACCUAAACCUAAACCCUAAUGUUUGAUGUCAGUGUAAUACUUGGAAAGAUUCUAUGUAAGAUGUAUCUAUUAUGAAUUUAAUGCAAUAUAUGUUUUAGUUAUAAAUCAAUUUGCAAUUUGCAAUUUAUAAUUUAUAAAAUAUAAUCUUAAAUUUAAAUUCUAAAUCUCAAACACUAAAUCUUUAAUCUACCCCCUAUAUCUAAUACCCCAAACCUCAAACCUAUGAUAUAAAUUUAAAAACCAAACUCCAAUUAAACUCAAAAACUCAAACCAUAUACUUGAUCCUAAAUCUUAACCAUGUACCUAUUAGAACUUAUAUCCAAUAUAUAAAAAAAAUUUAAUAGUUAAAAUCCUAUUUUUUAAAAGAUUAAUUUCAUAUUCUAAAUAUAUACUUUAAACAAUCAUCCCCCAAACUCUAAACCCUGAAUGAUAAAUCUAAUCUCCAAAUUUAUUUAUUUUCAUUUUAACUCAAAAUCUUAAAUGUAAACUUUAAAUCUAUUUCCAAACUUUAAUUUCUGAUUUUCAACUUAAACCCUAAACUCUAUUUCAUAUACCUCAAUAUCAAUAACAAAUUUUAAAUUUUAAAUUUAAAACUAUAAAUUUAAUUCUAAAGAUUAAUUUUUAACAUUUAAAUUGUGAAAUCUAAAUCUUAUUUUUUUCUCAAAAUUUUAUCAUAAAUAUUCUAUAUAUUAAACACACAAAAUAGAAAAGGAAAAAAUGGUGUUCCAAGAACAAAAGAAUAAAAAAACAACAACAAAACAAUCUGAUUGAUGUUCUUCGUAUUAUCAAUAAGCCUACUGCUACUUCUUUGGUUUAUGCUUUUGAAAGGAGAAACAAUUAAAUAAUUAUUGUCUUUGAUCUUGGUGGUGGUAUCUUUGAUGUCUCUGGUACUUUACAUUAAACUGUUGCUAUAUAUAUAUUAGUUUGAUAAAACGGUUACAGUUUUGUAAACGAAUUUUGAUUUAUAAAAACUCAAUUGCAAUGUAUCUCAAUUGGUGACAAAAAAAAAGAAAAAAAAAUCUAAUUUGGGGUAUAUGAUCAAAUUGCAAUGUAUAAAUGAUAAUUAAACAUUUAGAUUAAAUUUAAUAUUUGAACUUAAAUAAUGAACAGUAGAUUUUUAAGAUUUUUAGUUAGAUUUGGGUAUAUGAUUAAUUUGGGGUUUAAACCCUUACCCUGAACAUAAACAUUAAAAUUUCAAUAUUUUCCUAAUAUAAUUUCGAUCUUAAAUUUAAAUUUAAAGUUUAAUAAUUUUAAAAAUAGAAUCUCAAAUUUAAAUUAUAACCCUCAAACAUUAAAUCUUAAAUCUAUACCCUAAAUAUAAUACCCUAAACCCCAAACUUAAAUCUUACAUACAAAGUCAUAAAUCUAUUUUUUAAUUUAUAAUAUAAAUUUUAAACUUAGACUCCAAAUAUAUUCUAAAACUCAAACCAUAUACUUAAUUAUAAAUCUUAACCCUAAACCCUAAACCACAUACUUCAUAUUAACCUACAUCAUAAAUCCUAAUUUACAAAUUUCAAAAAUUUAAAUAUAGGUUUUGGAAUUUAGACUUUGAGUAUAUAUUCCAAACCAUAUACAAUAACUCUAAAUCUUAUACACCAAAUCAUAAAAUCCAAACAUCAAAUUUAACCUUUUCAAAUUUAAACACCAAAACCUAAACAUAGAUACUAAUAAAAAAAAUUCAAAUUGUAUUCUCAAAUUUUACUCUAAACCCCAAACCUAAGACUCCAAAUAAACUUUAAUCAUGAACAUUAACCUUAUAUUUAAAACUUUUAAAUUAGACUAAACUUUUAACUUUAAUCAUAGUCAUUAAUCAAAUCCUAUAUUAUAAAUCUAUUAUUUAAAUUUAAAUUCAUUUGUUUAAACCCCAUAUAAACCCAUUCAUAUUUAAGUGAAUUAGAAGCUUAUUUGAUGACCAAAGAAAAAGAAUUAACAGCUUAUUUCUGAUUAGACCAAAAAGUGAGGCGUGGAUCACCAUUUUUCGAAUCUCUGCCGUUGGUAAUAUUAAUCUUACGGCUCAGAUUAAUUCACUAUUAAUAUUUUAUGUUUGUUUUAUCUCUUUCUUCCUUUCUUCUUCCACACGAUUCUAUACUUCUUAUUUUCUUCUUCUGUACCUCUUCGAUCUCCUCAUCUAAUCUCAUCUCUCUUAUCCUCUUCCCAUCUCUCUUUCUCCUCUGCUCAUCUUUCAUUUACUUUUCUUCUUUCAAGCAAAUGGAUCUGAACGAAGAGGAUUACCACCGUCAUGCUUCUCACCACCAUGCUCCUUUCUAUUCGGUUUCGCCCUUCACCACCACCACCACCGCACGCUCGUCAACACCACCACCAGUCACGUCUCUCUCUCUCUCUCUGUUUUGAAUCUGAUUUUUUUUUGUUCUUGGUAAAGGAAAGUGGAGGAGGCACAGGAUUGAUGAAUGAGGCACAGGAGAUUGAUGGAGGAGGUAGCAGUGGUGGGUCAUGAGCAGAGCCGGCUUGAAUGUUGAAGACGAAGAAGCUCGGUGAGGAGGCGGCAGGCGGCGGAGAAUAUACAUUAGGUUUAGAUUAGGGUUAGGUAUAUUUUUAAUUUGGUUUAGUAUGCUAAACCGAUUUUAUUUAUUAAUAGUUUGAAUCUUUUUUAUGUUUGUGUUUUGAAAUCUGGGUUCCGCGGAGGAGGCGGAGGGAAGGAAUUAGGGUUUUUUUAGAUUGUAUGUAAACUGGUUUAGUUUGUAAACCGAAAUUUUUUGUAAUCUGGUUUAAUUUAUAAACCGAUUGUAAACCAAAAUUUUAAUAUAAACCAGAAUCAUUUAUAAACCGGUUUAAAAUAUUAGCUAUUCAGUAUUACCUAGAAUAUAAACGUCAUAGCAUAAGUAAAACGCUGUAUUAUAAUAUUCAAUGGCACAAAAAAAUUGCUAUUAAAUGUUCAAAAAAAAAAACUGAGUUACAAAAAGGUAUUCUAUGACAAAAAACAAAUGUCAUAACAAAAUAUUUUAUGGCACACGAAAAGUGCCACAUAAAAUAUUUAAAUAGCGAAAAGAAAUCGCUAUAAAUAGGUAUAAUAUAACACAUGACCAACGCUAUAAUAUCUGUAUAUUGUUACAGCACGCGAAAAACGCUACGCUAGGGGAGGGUCUAUUAUAGCUGCGGCUGUCACGGCGUUCUUCGAAACGCUAUGAAAACGAUAUGAUAGCGUUUAUCGGGUGCUAUUAAUACCGAUAUUUCUUGUAGUGCUGCAUCUGCUCAUGUUCCCGGACAGUUUCCAACAUAUUCUUCUUCACCAAAGAUGACGAACUCGAGACAACAGGAAGCGUUUUCAAAGACAAAUUCGACCCUCCAACACCAGGCUCCGCCACCAAAUUUGUCCCGUGCUCAUCAAAAAGAAACCCGGUCUCUUCCUCGAUCAAACUCGCGCUUACCCUGUCUUCUGCUUCACUUCACGUAAGAGUACCUAACUCAACAACAAUGACAGAUUCGGCAAUCUCCGACCACGACUUGCGGCCAUCAGCAAGCUCCAUCUUACGAACUAACAAAGACAGCUGCUCACAAGCAACCUUCCCAUCCGACGGCAUACCUAUCGACGAACUCAGCUCCGACGUUUCCAUCACCGACGGCAUGCUUGGCACAACAGAAGAUAAGUUCGGAAUGAGAGACGAGCUCGAACCAGAAGACGAUGAGCUCAACCCCACCUCACCGCGACACGGCUCCAUCGACUACGGCAAGCUCGGGACAGAAAGCGACAAGCUCGAACCAAGGAACGAGCUAGGAACUGACGAACUUGAAACAGAAGCCGAGAUCGACCCCACCAAUGGCAAGCUCGUGCCCUCCGCACCUCGACCACACUCUUUCACUAACAACGAACCCGAAGUAACAACAGGAGACGAGCUCGAAACCACCGUAUUUCAUCAACAAAGAACCCGAAGCAACAACAGGAGAUGAGCUUGGAGCCACCAUGAACGAGUUCGGAGCGACAUGAGACGAACUCAGGGACAUCAGGAGGCGAGUUCGGAGCCGCCAUCGACGAGCUCAGGACAUCAAGAGGCGAGCUUGGAGCCGCCAUUAACGGGUUCAAAGCAACAGGAGAUGAGCUCGGAUCCGCCGUCGAUGAGCUCGGGACGACAGAAGACAAAAUCGGAACCUCCAUUGACGAGCUCUUCUCAAGCCCAGCCCCUCCUUCGACGAGCUCAGCCUCUCUCAACGAACUCAGAACCACCAUCGACGAGCUCUUCUCCAGCUCAACCCUUCCUUCAAACGAGCUCAGCCUUUUCUCCCCACACCACAGACCACGACCAAACAACCCUUCCUUCAAACGAGCUCAGCCUUUCUUCCCCACACCACAGACCACAUCACGUCCCUCACGACGAGCUCGAACUACUCACAAAACACAAGCCGACCUCAAGACAAGCCGAGCUCCACACUUUCUCUACCUUAAAAAAAAAGAGGAGAAGAGUAAUGAGAAGAAGCUCGCCGACCUCAAGACAAGCUCAAGCCGACCUCACACCCUAAAAUUCAUCAUCACCAAUGACCAAGUUCACGACAAACAAAACCAGAUUUGCUUUCUUUCUUUUUUAAAAAAUAAUAAAAAGAAAAAGGGAAGAAGAAGAAAGAUGAGAAGCAAUGUCGGCAAAGAGGAACCAAGAAAGAAGAUACUAAAAAAAAUAAUAAUAAAUAAAAGAGGGAAAUGACCACACGAAUAUAAUAAAAAGGAGCAAAAAUUUUACCUUGCUUCAAAAUGGGGGAUACGAACCAUCAGUUAUAUAGGAAACGAAAAAUGUGUUGCCCUAUUUUCCGACAAUUCCCGAGUCUGACCUGAUUUUCUCAGACAGAAAAUUCCAGAAGAAUUCACCAAGAUUCAACACUUGGCGAACUGUGGAGAGGGGGGGGGGUGGACAAUUGUUGGAGAUGGGCUUAGCACAGACCCAUUAAGAGGUAAGCCCAAAAUCAGGUCCGGUCCGUUAAGCAACAAUUGAUGAUUUGGCUAGAAAAAAAAACGUACGUCACUAUAAAUAGAAGAAGUCAGACUCAUUGAAAGGACGGUCAGAAACGUACAGAAAGUACAUAAAAGGAGAGUACAGAAAAGGAGAGUAUCGCCUCUUCAUCACAGACAAAGUCUUAGACUACCUCGACCAUUAGACGAGCUCGGCCCAGACGACCUCAGACCAUAAAAUAGAAAAAUACUUGUUUAGACGAACUGUUUAGAAGAGCAUCUUUAGUUCUUGUAAUUGACCGAGCUUAUUUAUUCUUGACUAUUAAUACAAAAAUCUUUAUCCCUUUACAUCAUUUAUAAAUAUUACAUCACCGACCGGAUAUGGAAACAACAAAUACAUUUAUAACACUUGUUUUUUUUUUGAAACUUUAACUCGUCGCCAUUUAUAACACUUGUUUUCAGGAGAAUUCAUUCACGACAUAGAUAAAUGCAUUUCUUUACUUUAUAAUGAAAUUGAUAAACAAAGGGACAAGGUUAAAAACCGUUUUCAACUAACUGAGCAAGGUAGAUUUCUCCAAACAUUGAUUUUUAUCUUUAACCUCCUCUGCUCCACUGAACAGAGUCUCCACAAAAGCCUCCAUGUUCUUAUCUGAUGACCCUCUUUCUCUACCCGCUUCAACCGCUAAACGCUUCCAUGCCUCACCGUUUUCCCUCAGCUCCACCGACUUCUCCUCCAUCACUGCUUCCAAACACCGUCUUAUCUCUCCUCUCUCCACCAAUCCAUCCUCGUUCUCUCUCACCCUCACACCUGUCCUCCACAAAUCCUCCAGGAGCUUCGCGUUCGUUGGUUGAUCUGACCACAUAGGAAACGCCACCACCGGAACGCCGAGAACCAAACUCUCAAGUGUUGAACUCCACCCACAAUGACUCAAAUAGCAACCUACGGCUCUGUGUCUUAAAACCUCCACCUGUGAGCACCAAGACACAAUCAUACCAACCUCGUCGAGCUCGUGUCUUAAACCAGCUAUCUUCUCAAUCUCUGUGUCGUUCUCUCCUUUUAUUUUCGCUUCUCUGUUUGCUUUAUCAGUUAUAACCCACAAAAACGGCCUUUUACAUUCAAUGAGAGCUCUAGCUAGUUCCUUUAUCUGUUUCUUGGACAAUUCAACCAUUGUUCCAAAAGAAACGUAAAUAACAGAGGAAUCUGUUUUCGAGUCUAGCCAAAGUGUAUAAUUACUUUGAUCUUUUACCGGUUCGCUUCUUGUGAACAUAUCUGGUGGAAGUAAAGGCCCAGCCGCCACCAUUUCGAUAUCCCGGACAGCGGUUAAGGCCUCUGCCUCGAGCGAAUCGAAUGUGUUGACGAGAACUUUCACGUUGGGUUCUUCUUUGAGAAACUCCAUCAACUCUAGAUACACUUCUUGUGCGAUGUUGUUGCUAGUGUUGGAAGGUGAGAGGAAAGAAGGAAGAUCGCGGGUUUCGAGAGUGGGGAGAUUCGGGAACUCAAAACCGAAGUUAUUCCCGGUUGAGUGAUUGUAAUAAACGUUGAACGCCAAAGCGGGUUGGAUCCAUAGGAGAACAGAAGGAAGGUGAAACCUACGUGCUAAUCUUGGAACCCAACUAGGAAGAAUCGUGUAGAUCACGCAAGCCACGGGAGAGUCUCCGUUUUUAUUAGCUUCGAUGAACUCCGACAGCGUUUUAUCUCCGUUACGUUCGAGAUUCAGCAGCCUGUUUUGGACGUCUUCGGUGUUGGAGAUGACCCCGUCGUCGAACCCAUCGGAGAAGGUAAGGAGAGAGAGAUUGUACACGUUGUCGUGGCUUUGGAUAUUAGAGCAAUGGAAGACGGAGUGACAUGUGGCCAAAGUGACACGUGCGCCGGUGGUUCUGAUGAGUCGAUGAGCAAAACGGAGGGAUGGGUUCACGUGACCUUGCGCUGGAAGCGUUACAAGUAGAAAAUGCGGUGGUGCCAUUUUUUGCUCCGCCGAAGUGACUUCGAGAACUUGUGUUGUGUCUCUUUUGUGAAUUUGUGGUGUUGUAUUUAUAAACAAAAAUACGGAUGAGCAACUGAGAUUUGAUUUUGGGUUAUGUGACAUGAAUAACAAAACAUAGCAUUACAUGUACCGGUUACCGCUUUUACGUAAUCCACGAUGACGCCAUGAUUGAUAUCAUAACUUGUCGUCCCCCUGAAAUUUCCAAAGUCUUUUUUUUUACAACAAUUACCAAAGUCAAGUCCAUUUUCUAUUAAAGUCAAUGCGAUGAUUCCUUAUAUUAUACUACUUUAACUUAUAUAUACAUUAUAGUUGAUGGGAUGUUAAUUUCAAUCAAUAAUUUAGUGUCUAAUAAUUAACAAUUUUAAGUCAAUGCAACGAUUAUAACAUAUAUACUAAAUUUGACCCGCGCGGAUGUAUUUUUGAAAAAAUAUGAUGCUAUUUAUUUCUUAUGUCACUAUUUAAAGUUGAAAAAAAAAACUCAAAUUCGAAGAACCGAACCGAUUUCAAUCCGAAUAAGUAGUACCAAAUCCAAACCGAAAUUGAUUAAAUAUCUGAAUUAUUCAAAAUUUUGGUAUUUGAAGAACUGAAACCUAAUCCGAUCGGAACCGAAGUAUUUUGGGUAUCCAAAGUAGAUUUAUAUACUUAUAUAUAUAUUAAUUAUUUUUAGAUUUAAUAUAUAUAUAAACAUCAAGAAUGUAUAUGAUACUUUUAAGUUCAUUUAAAUACUUGAAAAUAUAUACAAAUAAUCAAAUGUAAAUAUCUAAAAUAGUUAUUAAUUCUCUAUACUUAAAUAAUUAUUAAUUCUCUAUCCAAAUAUUUAAACCAAACUAAUUUAUAUGUUAAGUUAGGUACUCUGACAUAUGUUAUUCAAAUUUAUAUGUAAUAAAUUCUAUCGUUUAUAGAUUUUUAAAAAAUUAAAGAAUAUAAUAAAUUUAAUUUUUUAAAAAUAAUUUAAACUGGUUAUCCAAAUCUGAACCGAAUCCUCAAAGAUCUGAACCGAACACGAAAUCUCAAACAGACCCGAAAACGAACCCGAAUGCCCACCAUUAAUCACUAUUAUCUAUCCUAUAUGUGUCAUCAUAAGUUACAUAAAUAUGUGUUAUCGUAUAAUUAAUCGUAUUUCAUACGUACCAUCAAAUAAGUAAUCUUAUAAUUAAUAAUAUUUUAUACGUACAAUCAUAUAAAUAAUUACAUAUAUCUACUUUAAAAAAAAUUGGAAAUCCAUUAUAUUAUAUUAAAAAAUAAUGGGCUUAUGUUACUUGAUAUACAUAUUCAAAUCAAAAUAAUAAUUUAAAAUUGAUUUAUAUCAAAAAUUCAUUCAAAAAUAUACAUAUAUUCAAAAAUUAGUUUCCAAACAGAACUAACUGCUAUCUAUUUUGCUUAAAGUACUUCUACUUUAAUAAGAUAUAUAUAUAUAUAUAUAUUAGGUUAAGAUAUGUGCUUUUGUACAGAAUGAGCAAUAAAAAUAAUUUUUACGUAUUAUUAUUUAUUUUACUGAAAUAAUAAAAAAUAAAUAUAUAUUAAAUAGUUAAAAAGUCAGUAAUUAUUAUGUAUAUAAAUAAAAAACAUAAAGAGAAAGUUUUGUCAAACUUUUAGGCAAAAAUCUAAAACUCUCUCUACGACUCAAGUGCCGCCUCAGCCUCUUCUUUCGGAUCUGAGGUCUUCUCUGGCCGGCUCUCCUCGCCGUGCUGUGAGAGGACCUCCUCGAGCUCUCCUAUCUAGUACUAGUACCUGUAUAGUCUCUUUAGCUUUGCUUGUGGUGGUUAGUGAUGAAGUUUUUGUUCGACGGCGAUGGCGUUUUGGGGGUCGAGCGGUGGUUGGGUGCUGGUUCGUUUCUCGAUGAGGUCAGUUUUUCUGUCAAGGCGUGUUCUCUCCGCCAGUGGAGAUUAGAGAAUCUGUCAGAUUCGAGGGGGUUUGAGUCUGGUUUGAGGGUGGUGCGUCUCGUUGGUUGGUUGAUCUUCUCUUUGGCUCCUCAUGAUCUUGUCUCCGGUUGUUUCGAUGUCGGCGUGAGGUUUGGAAAUAGGUUCUACCCUCUGUUUGUUCUUUGGGACAAGCUGUAGAGGACUUAGUGGAAGGGUGCGUGAGGUUUAGCUGCGGAAGUGGUUUGGCGUCUUACUUGGGCUUGGGAGUACGGCCUCUGUUCAUUGGAGUCAACUCCGGUGCUUGUUGAUCUUUGACGGUCAGAGCUUUUUGCGUGCUCAACUUUGGUUCUGAGAGGAACCGAAGGAGAUAAGUGUAUCUCAGUGCUUAUGCUUCUUUGUUGGUCGAUUGCCGCCGAUUUGAUCGUGAUAGUCUUGGAUUUGGAGUGGUUUUUAUUCAGUUACCGGUUUGUAUGAAUAAGACGUGGGAAGCCUUUGUAGGCUUCGCCGUGGGAUGAUGGUGCGUAUGAGGCGCGUGGAGAACCCACUCAAGGUCCAAUGGAUAGAUUUAGUUGGGAUUGAAGGGUGUUUACAACGACGGUUAAGGAUUCUAACCUCUUUCAAUUCUGUUUAUGUGUUGGUGAUGUUUGUGUGCUUCCAGCCAAUCUCUAUGCUCUUCUCAAAUUGUGUUAAUUGUUGAUGAGCUCUCAUUAGGUAUGAUCGUCUUUGAGUGCAAGGUUGAGCACUCCUUUCCUGAAGUUCCGUUUUCCUGCCUCGACAUCUUUUUUCUUCUUUGUCUUUGUUUAGUUUUAGGAGUUUAUGUUAUGUUCAACUUAUGGCUCCGGGUGGUACAUGUUACCUCGCUGGUUCUUGGCUCCGGAAGGGUAGGCAAUGGCUCUUCCGGCUUUGUGUAAAAUGUUGUUUGAUCUAAUCUUAAUCUACCGGAUGACAAAAAAAGAGAGAAAGUUUUGUAUUUCAUCAAACUAUUUAGUGCCCCCUUUCGUAUUGUCCUCUUACGAAGUAAAAUGGUAUUUCAUCUAAUCGUUGCUAGAGAAAGUUUUGAUCUCUGAUUUGCGUUUACAAAGGGAAAUUGGAUUGCUAGCUCUUUCGGUAUAUAAAAAGCGAAGCUUUUGUUUACUGCCAUAGGUUGGUUUCCUGGUAUAGAAAAGAAAGGAAAUCUCUGUCUAAAGGUAUGCGCCCACGCGCGCAAGAGUGCACCACGAAUGCCUUGACAGCUCUCCUCCCUAGCUUAAUAGACCUGCUGCUGAGCAUGAGCCUUAGAGAGAGUUCUUUCUUUCAUGUUUCAAUGGUAUCAGUCUGUCAUGCAUUGGUGUAUGAUCUCUCAUCCCUAACUAAAAUACUGUUGUUAUAACCGGAAUCUUUCAUUUUUUUAAUCCAUGUUAUAAAUAUAGCCAUAAGUUGGGCAUGGACACGCACUAGAGAGAUGAUCUCCUUGUUUUCUUAGUUUAGUUUGGAACUAAAAUAAGAUUAGAGCUAAUUGAUAGGUCACGCUUUGCCUGUAAAGUUGUCAAAUGGGUAGGCUUACCAUGGAUCGUCCAUGUCCAAAUAUAAAAUAAGCCUAAUCAGAUCUAAAACGUAAACAAACCCUUCAACACACCUCAAUUACUCAUCUUGGUUUUGUGAAUCGCCUUUGAAUUGAGUGCCCAAACCAUGAUAAAAUUCAAAAACAGAUUUAUAUUACUGUGUAAAAACAAAAAAUAAAGAAAUAAGCUUUGGAGUGUAAAAAGAAGAGUUCAUUCAAAAAAAAAAAAAAGAAGAAGAGGAGCCAUGGCCGAUGCCGACAGUCUUAAAUCCACUUAAAUCGUAAAACACCAAAAGAAAAAGAAGAUGUUUUCUUUUACUAGGAAGGAGUUUACGUUAAGGAGAUUUUUCUUGAAAAUAGAGUAACUACAAAACAUUUUUUUCAGAAACCUCUCUCUCUAAGCUUUCUCCCGAACAAGAAGAUCCGCCUUCUCCGGUCCGGCACCCGCCGGUGCCGGAGGUUUAAUCCUUUAACCCUUCCUCUCCUUUUCCUUUUGCCCUUCUCCCCAUCGGUUUUUAACUCUGUCGAGAUGCUCGUGACUCUGAGCCUGGCUGAGUCUCACCGGAAACUGUAGAGGUUGAAGGUGGCUUCAUAUGGUGGUGUUGGAGGAACGGCGAGACAGUGGAACGACAGAUGCGGUUUGUGGUGUUUUUUUUUUGGAUCCCAAUAUGAGUCUGCUUGGGUUUAUGAAGUAUAGGUUUGGUUCUGUUCAUCAUUGUAUCGACUUGUUUGGGUUGUCUCUCUAGCUCCGAAUCUGUUUUCUGGUGCGCGGUGCAGGACUAAGCCGGCUUUGAUGUGGGUUGUUACUUCUUCCAUCGGAUUUGGAGAGACGUGUCUUAGGCAGGUCAAUGGUGGUUAUGGAUGCUCGAUCUUGUUUUCUAUUUCCUUUGGCAGUUGGUAUUGAAGGUCUGGUCUUGAAUUGAGUUCAGAGUUCUUUGAAUUUCUGGUGAAGGAGUGGUUUGUGGCUGUGUUUGAAGAGUCCUUGAUGAGGGCUUUUAGCUAUGGAGUGUGUUCAUAUUGGGGCUUCUCUUCGAUACGGUGGCCUCUUUUGACCCUUGAGUUUGAUUUUUUAGUGUGGUCAUUGCGAAGCUUCGGUGCUGUGUGGAUGUGAUGUUCUUUGAUAUUUAACCGACGGGUUUAUCCGGAUUUUAUGGCAAGGGACUUUGGAGCUUAUACUCUUUCGCGUGGGGUCAUUGAGCUGACGAUUGUCAACCUAGUUUCUUCGUUGACUGCUCGGGUGGAGAUCCGUUUUCUUGUGGCUUCUUUAGGAUGAAGCUUGCUCUUAAGUGACGGUUGCUGGCGGGUCCUCAGGUGUUGGUCUUCAAGCCUUGCUCUCAUCCCAAAUAAAUUUGACAUCCAACGCUUUUCAUUUAUUCUAGCAUCCGGCUCCGGCUAGCUUCUCUUCUUGACGAUUAUGUAUGAACACUAGAAGUUUUUAAGACUCUUUCUCAUUUUUUCUUUUAAGUUUAUGUAAUCGAUUUCAGCUUCUUUCUUGGCUCUGGGGGGCUUUGUUUAGUCCCGCCGGCUUAUGGCUCUGGAAGGAAUGUAUUCCUUGCCGGCUCUGGUUUGUAAGAACUGUUGUUUAUGUGUUUAAUAUAAUCUACAGAUGACAAAAAAAAAAGAGUAACUACAAAACUAACCAAAAUAUAUUAUAUUGAAUAUUAAAUCAGAUGACCAAAUUUUGACAACCGCAGUUUUUAUUAUAACAAUUUAUUGUUAAAAAGAGAAACUUAGCUAAUUUAAAUAUCCACACAAAGAACAAAAUGCUCGAAUAAACAUUUCUCAUGACUACAAAGGUAUUUAGCUCAACUAGAAAAGACCCUGACCAUUGUGCCAAAAGUCAAGUCAACCGCUGGGACAAAACUAAUAUUACUUGUUGUGGUUUCGACUCUAGAGAAAUUAUGGGCUUCGGCCCGAACCACAUGGUAUUAAACAAGUAUUUUGUAUAUAGAUGUAAAUAAAAUUUUAUGUGGUUUAUAGUUUAGAUUAUUCAGCCUUUAAAAAUUAGAACAAUGGCUUAGAUUAUUCAUAGUUCUACAAUAAGAGCAAACAAGAUAUUUUCAUUCCAAGGACAUGAAACUAUACAAUUUCAUAAUCUAUGCUCUCAUGGUCUAAAAGUAACGUAUGCAAUUGAAUACAAGAAGUUAAAGUGGACAUUUCUCAAGAAGAAAAAAAGUUUUAAAACAUAAGCCCAUUUGUAUUUUGUAUUUUGUAUUUUGUAUUUUUAAUUUUGGACAUAAGUAGUUUUAAUUUUUUGUAUUUUUAAAUUAAAAUAUAUAAAAUGACAAUUCGGUAAGCCAGCAUAAGUAUUUUGGACAUAAGUAGUUUAAUUUUUUGUAUUUUGUUUUAUAUUAUUAAAUUUCAUUAUAUUAAAAUAUCGCUAUUUUAAUUUUGGUUAGAUUUAAAAUGUAUUAUUUAUAUUAUUUAAAUAUAUUUAAUCAGAUAUUAGUAAAACGAAAAAUGUAGAAAUUUCAGUAAUAUUUUAAAAUGUGCUGAAGUGGUGCAUUGUGAAGAAAUUAUUAGAUUUUAUUAGUAUAAACAUUUAUCCUCUCAUGUCUCCAAAUAAAAUCAAUUAGUAUUUUAAAUCAACCAACCUCUACUUAUAUAAUGAAAUAAGAUUUUCUCAUUAAGUAUAUUUUAAUUAAAUAGGCAACCAAAAUUUAUAAACUUUAAAACAAAAUUUUGAAUAAAUGUUAAUUGUUAAAUAUGAAUGAAAGUAAAGUUUAGUUGUUUCAAAUAAGUUAUGGUUGGACAUUCCAAUUUUCAAAAUAGUUGUAUACUAGUUUUUUUUUUGUGACACUGAUGGUUGUAUAUUGGUUACAUAAAUCUUUUCGCAACAGGGACAACCAUUCAAAUUUGUUAUUUAUUAUGAAGAGAGCUAAUAGUGAUUUCAGCAGACGAGGUUGCAAGAGUUUUAUUGAACACCACUUUGCUUUUAAAGAAAACUAAUUGCAGAUAAAAAAAGGAAACUAAUUAAAUAUAAAUUAUAUUUAAGUGUUUUUUUUUUUUUUUUCAACUUAUUUAAGUGUUUUUUUAAGUGUUUUUUUAACACCAAGAUUUUUUUAAAGUGCUAAACAACCAGGAAAGCUGAAGUAAUAGUCCAAAAUAAAUAUUGGCCAAAGCAUUAUUUAAUAACCAAUCAGCAAAAGGUGGGGAACAUUAGGUUUUUAUGUGGAACUAUCGUUACGUGCCUUCUUAGGAGCAUUUCAUUUGUUGUGAGCCGUUGCUUGUCAUGUGUGAGACCAUUCACAUUAGAUUGGCUGCUAAGUUGUAAAACAGUAAGAUGCUUCCCCAGUGCAGUAGCCAUAAAAGGUGAUGGGUACUUGGCAGUCUUGGUGUCAACCUUAGUGUGUGAUGAAGAAACGGAGAUCGAUGGCUCCAGACCUAUUGUCAUCAGGCCAAUAAUCACCUCCCUUAGAAGAAAGAAGAAAACAUGGAGAUUACACAUUAAAGCUACAAAUAUUGUUUAAACCAAGGAGAGAAACUUGCAUCGACAACUAAAUCAGGAAUUGGGACAUGUUGACGUUCAUUAAAGAUUCUGGAAAUGGUGAAGGUCUGAUGAUUAGAUGUAAAAUUAAAUGAAGACAGCUUUAGAUGGAAAGUGUAUAUAUUCCCAAUAAUUUCAUUGAUGAAAGGUGGUUGUUUGAACGGAAUUCAGUCGACUAAGAUGAAAGAAGUCAGAGAUGGGAUGACUAAAGACGUUUUAUUAGAUUUGAACUGGAGGGUUACAAAAGUGACAGGAAAAUGAAAGAGCAACAAGAUCAAAGAGUAACAAGAUCAAAGAGAUCGCUUAAAACCCUAGAUCUAGCCGCUCGGUCUGUUCAAUGGUCCAAAAGUCCUCUCCUUGUUGCUUCCCCUUGCCCUUGAUGCCCUAAUUCUGUACCUCUUUGGGCCUUGAUGCGAGAGGCCGAGUAUGCGGGCUUUGACAAGGCUCCCCCCAAGCCAGGCGCUUUUGGUCGGCUUACUCGACCGGCUAAAAGUACUCUAAGGUCGAGCCGAUAGGUUUGGCUGCCGAGCCGACCAAACCGAUCCGACUUGCUGGAUUAGGGUCUGUUAUUCGAUGGGCCUUGUGGAGGGGUGUAAUCCAUCUCCUACAAUAAGUCCCCCCCCAGUUCACUUGUGAGCGACAUGGCGGUCUUAGUGAAUUUGUGGGUCAGGUUUAUUCGGAUAGCAUGCUCUAAUACAAGGGAUAACCCUUCCCGUUUAGUCGUCGGUAUGUGUUUUUAGUCGCGUGGUGUUCUGUAGGUGUCUCUGGUCGCUCAGAGUAGCGCUUGUCUUGACUCGCUUAUUUGCCUACCUGCUUUUAUAGUAGGGUAUAGUUUACUCGGGUGAUAGAUAAUCUUGGAUAAAGCGACGGGGAUCGGUUUUGCUGGUUAACCGGGGACCGGUUUAAAUCAAGACUAGGAAUUGAUUCCGGCCUGACAACCUGAUUGAAAAUUGGUUCGAGCGAGAAACCGAACCGUCGCGAGUAGGUUUCUGGGCAUUUAGGCGGCCUUUUGAGGCCCAUUUAGGCCUUUGUAGACCUAAUGAUUGUGCUCGGGGAACGUGCCUUUGUUUUUGCUAUAAAUAGGUCUCUCUCCUAUGCUUUCGUCAUUCUUCUCUGUAGAUUCAGGUAUCCCAUUUUCUCUCCCUUCUCUCUACUUUUACUUUCUCUCUCUAGAUAGGUUUUUCUUUGUAUAGACUCGUUGGUAUCGUUCGGCGGUUGUAGUCAUCCCCUGAAUUAAGGAACAUGCCUUCGAGAAGUCGAUUGUCGCGAGAAGAGAAAGGGAAGGACAUCGCAGAUUCUCCGAGUCCGACCCGAGAUGUGUCAGCGACCGGUAGUCCAGUGGACGAUUUCGACUUGAUUCAUCGCGAUGCUCUUCGGGACACGGAAAACAUGACUCUAUCUCAGCGUCUUUUGGUCGCUGAUGCUCAUAAGAUGAUUUGUGAUGAAGACGCAGAUCGUGUUGAAAUCGGGAACAGUGAUGUGAGCGGAAGUGAGGAUGGAGGGAGAGACCAAGGCGAUGCUGCGACUGGUUCCAAACGUGGCGACACUGAUGAGUCUGGUCGGUCUCCGACGCCUUCGAGACAGGUUCGCAAGAGAGUUUGUUUCGACCAGAUAGACUGUCGCCCAACUAUUUAUCAUCCUGGUGGGAUCUUCGAAGGGCUGGGUCCGCUGCCACCCGGACUGCUACGGGACCCGCGGGCUCAGUCGUGGGGGAACGUGUUUGGAUCGUCUGCUUCUCAUCAUACCGUGAGGGAUCUAUUAAGGGCGAGCGAUGGUGCUGGCGUUACCUACAUCAUUCCGUCUGCCGAGCAGCGUCCCUGGUCACCUCCGGUUGGUUACCAAUGCGUGUAUGAGUCCUAUUUCGGGGAUCAUACGAAGCUAUGGUUCCCAAUUCCUCGGUUAGUGACGUCUUAUGCAUUCCGCUGAGACAUCGCCAUCUCUCAACUUUUGAACGGGUCGCUGAGAAUAGCCGUCAUGCUAAUGGUAAUGGCAGCUGAGAUGGACAUCUCGAUGAGCGUGAGGGUCUUCGAGGAGUUGACUUUCACGAAGGCGGAGCCAAACGGGAUCUUCUCGGUGAAAAUGCGUUCGAACUACAACGUCUUGACCGGUCAUCCGAAUAAGACGCAGGAUUGGCAACGCACGUAUUUCUUUGUGAAGUCUGAUGAACAUGCUUUCGAAGAGCCGUCGGGGGACGACUACCGCGUUUUGUGGAAUCGGCAACUCGGUAGAGACUCGUAUGUUGGAGUUUCGUUUUAGUCGUUAAUCCUAACUUUUCUUAUCCUUGUGUUUGCAGUUCGUCAUCCGAAUACGAUCGCCUACCCCGAGAAGUUUUUCGAAAGUGCUCAAGCGAUCGCGGCGCAUAGUCAUCUUCGUUGGCCGGAUCUCAGUCGGGAGUGGAUACGUCGUCAGCAAGCUAGGAUCGCUAGAGGUAAGCCUGCUGAUUGCUUUUAGGGCCUACUCGAGUUUCCUUUUGCGAUUUUCAUGUUGAUUCUCUGCUUUUGUAGUUGAUUGGGAGUCGAGGCUUCCUUGCGUUCCCGGUCCCUGUAAGUCGCGCCUCCCUCCGUUUACUCGCAAACAACAGAGACUUCUCGACAAAGCCAGAGAAAUGGAUGGAGUUCCGGAUCUAAGCGCCCUGUUAAAAGGGAAGUUGAAACUGCUCUCGAAGAAAUCGACUACAGUCGACCCUCAGGGACCGUCUAAUUCUGGAGUCGACGUCACUUCUGAAGGUGGUGGAACCUCCCGAGAAGGGGCCUCCAAAGAAGGAGCCUCCAGAGAGGAGGGCCCUAUUGCAAUUGAUCAGGGGGGCAGGGCAGAGACUUCUGCUUCAGGUCCCAAGAAGAAGAAAAAGACCAAAAGGACUAAGGUGGGAGCGACCGACGAGGUUCCUCCCGAAGAGUCUGCUUCCCUCGAUGCGACUUCCGAGGGUUCGAAGACCAAAAAGAAGAAGGAUGGGAGGAAAAGGUCUCGUGGCGGGGCAGAAGGGCAGGAGGCUGUUUUAGUCGGGGCGGCAUCAGAUGGUCACCCGAGGAAGGGAACUAAGAGGUCUGUCGAGGCAGAGCCCCGUCCCUCUACCUCCGACGUGAACGCUGCUGACGAGGCCUUAGUCGACGCUGUUGGGGAGGCCAGCGGCACUCCUGAAAACCUGUCAGAGGAAAGGAGGAAAACCUGCUCGCAAGAAGGAGGUUCUGGUGGCGAGCCCGCGAGGUCUACUCCAGACUCUCCUGCGAGAAACAGAUCUGGAUCUGAAGGGUCCGUAGCGAAGAGGAAGAGGAUCAAAUUCCCUGAUCGUGUCGAGUUUUCCUACAACGAGACAACUCCCCUGAUCCUUAAUCCCCCUAGGUGCGCAGAGCUGACGCGUCAAAUUCGUGGUGGGACGAAGGAGAUGCCGCAAUUGGAAGACCUUUACCUCAAGAACGAGUACAUCGACACUGCUUCCUCGAGAGUGCGGGUAUCUGCGCUACCUUUCACCUUUUAUCUCCUUCUUUGAUUUAUUGGGUUCAUCCAUCUCACGUGGUCCGUGUUUGUCGUUCUGUAGAGUGACGGGAGCAUGAACUUCCUUGUUGAGAAAUACGACAGCGCCCUGAAGCAAACAAUGAUCCAGUUGGGAUCUUUGGAGAAGCUCGCUCAAGCAAGGUUGAAGGCCAUUGAAAGGGUAAGGGCCGAGCAUAAGAAGGCUAACGAGAAGGCUGCGGAGAAGAAAGAAGUUCUUUGAGUGAAGUUCGAAGAGAUGGAGGGUAAGCUCAAAUCCGCCGGCGCGGCCAAGAAAAAGCUUGCCCGAGAGAACACCCGUUUGGAGCAAGCGGCUGCGACCCUUGAGAAGGAGAAGACUGAGCUACUCGAGGAAAGGGAUGCUGCAGUUGAGAAAUUGAUUGGGGAGAGGCAACGCUUGAGAGACUCCCGGGGGCUUGAGGUUACUCGUGAGAGGGAAAGGGUCGAAGAUGCUAUGGGCGAGAAGGCAAACCGCUACUUUGGUCCCGUACGCGACCAUUUUACUCGCUUGGACGCCUUUGGGAAGGCGAAGAACCUGUACGGUCAAGCUUCGGGGACGAAGAAGUGCCUCGAGAUGAUAAAAGCAAGCGGGACGGAGAUCCCGCAAGAAAUGAUCGACGUUUUUGACGAGCAGGAGAAACUUUACGAGGCGGAGGCUACGAAGUUUUGUGUAGGUCCGCUGUCUGAUAGCGAGCUCACUCUUUCUCCGCUGGUUCUCCCUUCCCGUUUCUUCGAGGACAGAUUUAGAGCGUCAUUUGAUCCUUAUGGAUCGAACGUAAAUUUGAUCAGACCAGGGACGGUUUCUCAGCUCAUCACUUCGCUCGAAAUUACCGAGGAGCCAUCGGAGGAGCCACUGGUCGAUGUCACGUCAGUCCCGGCUGAGCACGUCGAGGUCCCAGAGGGAGGUGAUCUUGGUGAACGUCCAGAGAACGAGAACCUUGAGGAGGUCCCCGGGAAGGACAACCUUGAGAUAGGCAACACUCCGGUUCCAGAGGAAGAGACCGGGAACGUGGGCAUCGAGGAUCCUGUCCUCGUCUCGGAUUCUUCUUCUGAAGGACGAGAAGGCGAAGAGGAGGAAGACGAUAGAGUCGAGGAGACGUCGUCGUUGCAGCCCGUCGAGGAAGAGACGACCGAUGAAGUUGGGAAUAGAGAUGUUCCUCCGCCUCCUGCUGUGGCCUCUCUUGUCCCUGUUUCUACUCGGGUGGAAGACCCGACUGUUGCCGCUACUGAAGACCCAGUCGGUCCUUCUGCUCUUGGGACGCCAGAGGAGGUCGGUCAAGAUUCUGCACCUUGACGCUUUGCCUGUGUCACCUUUGUUCUUUUUGCGUUUCUUUUUGUGUUUGUAGUCUUGAUAGACCCUGUUGUUGUAUUACUAGACGUACUUUCAUUUUAUCGGUAAGUCGCUGUUUUCAAGCAGACUUUUAGAUUUGCGGGUUGUUGUGUUUCCAAUCUGAACGUGCAACUUGCCUAAGUAAAUUUCAGUUAUCUUUAGAGUCUCGCGAUAUGUUCGCCUAGAGACAAUAUAUUUUUGACCUUUGGCUUUUGCAAAUAGAUAAUGACAAAACCCGCUAAGGGACUUUGUUCAGUUCUUGUCGUGUUUCGAUUGAGAUAACGUCUAGACGCGUUUUUCUACUUUGAAAACAAGAGACUGAAUCUAAGAGUAGAAGGUUCUUUUUACACGUUUUCUCAAAGACGAUCGAGUAAAUGGGUAGCUAAUCCGUUACACAUUUAGUCGAGAAAAGGUUAAAGAUUCACUCCGUUUGGUCGGUCAGUACUCUUUGGGCGCAGGUGACUCGCGACCGUUUGGUCCAUAGGCUAAGUGUCUGAUCAGGACAUAGCUUGGAGAUGGAACGUGAGUGUCCGCGUACCCCCUACUGGAGGUACGGGAGCCGUUGGGUUCGACAAUCGAUAUUUACUCGAUCAGAGUCGAAACAAAGAACAAGAUUUUGACUUUGGUUUUGUUACAGCUGGACUGGUUAAAGGCUGCCUACGUACCUCGGUUGAGGAUCAAGCCAUUCGUAGUUCGUUUUUCCCGAGUGAAAGUGGCCGUUGGAAGCGCAUUUACUCGGUCGAGUAGAAGCGUCUUAGAUGCAUUGAGUUCCAUGCUCUAGGCACUUCUUCUCCACUUGACGUUUGAAGUCGGUAGACUCCUGGUUUCACAACUUUGAUGAUUUUGUAAGGUCCUUCCCACCUAGCGCCGAGUUUGCCGGCGUUCAGCUCCUUAGUGUUCUCGAACACUUUACGCAUGACAAAGUCACCGAGUUCAAGGGGUCUGGCUCGGACCUUUUUGUUGUAGUAACUCUCUAUCUGAUGUUGAUAGUUUUGGAUUCGUAGCUGAGCUUGGUCCCGUCAUUCUUCAAUUUCAUCGAGGGCAUCAAGCAGCAUCUCCUUGUUGAGUUCGACGUACUGGGGCAUUUUCGAGCGUCGGAGGCUUGAAACGUUAACUUCUGCGGGAGCCAUAGCCUCGACACCGUAUGCAAGAGAGAAAGGUGUCGAUUUGGUCGACCCUCGUGGUGUUGUGUGGUGGCUCCAUAGAACUCCGUCGAGUUCGUCGGCCCAAUGACCCUUUUUCAGGUCUAAACGUUUCUUAAUGCCGUUGAUGAUGAGCUUGUUGGAGGAUUCCGCUUGGCCGUUUCCCUGUGGGUAAUGAGGGGUCGAGGGGCUCAAACGAAUGUUCCAUUGGCUGCAAAACUCCUUGAAGUUGCCCGACAUGAACUGUGAUCCAUUAUCAGUAACGAUUUCGUAUGGUAGACCGUGGUGGCAGAUAAUGUUUUUCCAGACGAACCCACGGAGUUCUUUGUCGGUGACUUGGGCGUAGGCUUCAGCUUCGAUACAUUUGGUGAAGUAAUCAGUGAGGACGAGAAUGAAACGCCGUUGGCGGGAGCAUGGAAGAGGUCGCAUGAACGGGUACGGCGCGACCGUCGUUCGUAACAUUUCAGUUGGACAAUGGAUGCUUGGUGCAUGCCGUUGGCAUUUGUCGCAGCUUCUGGCGUAGGACUCGCAAUCUGCGUUCAUCGUCGGCCAGAAGAAGCCUAGGCUUCUCACUUUGAUUGCUAAUGCUCGUCCGCCCGAAUGGUUUCCUCCAGCGCCUUCGUGUGUUUCGGCCAUAACCCUGACCGUUUCUUCUCCAUGGAUACAUUUGAGGAGUACUUCACUCGCAGUCCAUCGAUGGAGUUCGUUAUCUAGGACGACAUAGUGGGCACUGCGUAUUUUUAGUCGGCGGGCUGCCCAUUUCUCGGUUGGAAGUUCCCCCUUUGAGAGAUAGUCGAUGAACUCAGUUAGCCAGUCGGGGUCGAAUUCAUCAGUAAUGAGCGUGUCGGUUUUGGCGAUUGGGGCUAUGACGAUGGUUUGGUCUGUCGAGAUAUCAAUGCUCGGCUUCUCAAUGCGGUGUAUUGGAAUUGUUCGUUUAACUUGGUCACAAAGCUUGCUUCCAAGGGCUGCAAGGGCGUCGGCGCAGACGUUUUCUCCUCUGGGAAAUUUGACGAGUUCGAAGAAUUCGAACUUUGUGGCUAAGCCCUGUACUAUCUUGUGGUAGGCGUCCAUCCGAUCAUUGCGGGCGUCGUAAUCGCCGCUAAACUGACUGGCGACUAACUGCGAGUCGCAGUAGGCGCUUAGGCGUUUGGCCUUGACAGCUUUUGAUAAGCGGAGUCCAGCGAUCAAAGAUUCGUAUUCUGCUUCGUUGUUCGAGGCUGGAAAGCCGAAGCCAAAAAACUGCCUGAUCAGUUCGCCGGUCGGGGAUUGCAGUUGAACUCCAGCACCUGCGCCUCUAUUAGUCGAAGAUCCGUCGACAUGCAGUGUCCAGUUUGGGUUUCGGAGUGUGAGAUCUUGCUCUAACUCCGGGGCCAAUUCAACUAAGAAGUCUGCAAGGACCUGAUAUUUCGCUGCGGUUCUGUUCUUGUAAGUGAUAUCAAGCUCACCGAGUUCGAUAACCCACUUCGUUAGUCUUCUGGACCUGUUUGUAUUUUGAAGUAUUGUUCGGAGGGACUGGUCGGUUAGUACUUCCACCGAAUGUGACUGAAAGUAAGGGCGAAGCUUUCUCGCCGCUUCGACGACCGCCAGUGCCAUCUUCUCCAGAGUUGGGUAUCGCGUUUCUGGCCCGGUCAUGCGCCUACUUGUGUAGAAGAUUGGCUUUUGCUCACCACGAUCCUCUUUUAUUAGAACGCUACUGACUGCUGCUUGUGAUACUGCGACGUAAAGAGAUAGGAUGUCGCCGAUAUCUGGCUUGGCGAGAACGGGUGGUGUUGUCAGAUAAUGCUUGAGUUGGAUAAAUGCCUCCUCGCAUUUCUCAUCUUAGAUAAACCUUUUGUUACCUCGCAGGAGGUCAUAGAAUGGCAAGCUUUUGUCGGUGGAUCUGGAGAUGAACCGGUUGAGUGCAGCUAUCCUACCCGUAAACCGUUGCACUUCUCUACUGUUUUUUGGGCUCGAGAGGUUCAGGACCGCGGAGAUCUGCUUUGGGUUGGCUUCGAUUCCCCGCUGCGUGACUAUUUGUCCAAGGAACUCGCCUGAGGAAACCCCGAACGUUCACUUUGUUGGGUUCAGUUUCAUGCCGUAUUUGUUGAGAGUUUCGAAGCAAUCUUGCAAGUGACAGAGGUGAUCAGCAGCGUGUAGCGAUUUGACAAGCAUAUCGUCGAUGUAUACUUCCAUGGUGACGCCCAGCUUGUCUACGAACAUUUUGUUCACAAGAUGUUGGUAGGUUGCUCCUGCGUUCUUCAAACCGAAUGGCAUGACCUUAUAGCAGUAGGUUCCUCUAUUCGUGAUAAAUGCCGUUUUUUCGCGAUCGUCGGGGUGCAUCAUGAUUUGGUUGUACCCAGAGAAAGCGUCCAUGAAGGUGAGCAUCUCGUUUCCAGCCGUGGACUCGACUAAACGGUCGAUGUUGGGAAGAGGAUAGCUGUCCUUUGGGCAGGUUUUAUUUAAGUCUGUGAAGUCGACGCAGACGCGCCACUUCCCAUUCUUCUUUUUGACGACUACUGGAUUUGCUAACCACUCAGGGUAGCGCACCUCAGCAAUUGUACUAGCGCCGAGCAACCGGUCGACCUCUUCGUUUACAGCCUUUGACCUAUCGGGACCGAGCUUACGUCGCUUCUGUCGGAUAGGCUUGACUGUCGGAUCGACGUUUAGUUCAUGAGUUGUUAGGGCCGGAUCAAUUCCUUUCAUGUCUGACCUGGACCACGCGAACGUGGACACAUUCGCCUUGAGAAAGUUGAGAACUGAGCAAUAGGUAACUCGAGAAUUUCGCCUUCCUGGGAGCAGGCUUUAUAGGUUGGAGGAGUGACGGAGUUAACCGAUAAAGACGAUCGUUGGAGUUUAACUGUGGCGACUAGGAGUUCCCUAGCGGCUUUUUGAUCUCCUCGCAGUGUUUUGAUUUUUCCGUCCAUAUCGGGGAACUUGACGCACUGGUGAUAAGUAGAUGGAAUGGCCUGCAUAGAGUGUAUCCAGUGGGUCCUUCGUGCUUACAACGGCAAACUUGACAGUUCGAGUGACUCCACAUGCGCAUACCGGAAGGCGGAUUGUUCCCAGUAUUGUUUCGGAGGAUCCGUUGAAGCCGGUUAAUGUUAUGGAGGAUGGUUUGAUGUCGUCAAGAUCGACUCCCAUCUUCUGCAGGGUUCCUCGGAAGAUGAGGUCGUCGAAGCUUCCUGUAUCGAUGAGGACCUUGGUGACGUCAUACUCCCCAAUUGCAAGAACUACAAGAAGAGGGUCGUUGUGGGGUACGUGAAUCCCCUCAGCGUCAUCCGGCGAAAAGGUUAUCGGAGGGUGAUAUGGCGGCCUAGUCGGCCAUCUCUGCGAAGUCGCGACCUGCCGACGGUAAUCCUUGACGGAGCGAACAGAGUUGCCGCAAGGAGGAGAACCGCCCAUGAUGACAUUUAGUUGACGUCGCGUUUGUACCUGCUUGGAGUCUAAGAAGGCGCGUAAAUCGGUUGGUACGCUGCUGUCGUUUUUUGAUGACGGAGUGUCGUUGCUUGACAUCUUAGUUUGCUCCAAACGCCUUCGGAGGUCAGUGGGCUUCGAACGAUUGAGGCGGAUUCGAAGAUCGCAUGCUCCUGCGUUGAGUUUAUCCCUAAGGUCGCCGUUCGAGCGUUCUUUGGGAUCGGGGUCAACUGCCAAGAUACGCCGUGACUUCCGUGCAUUCAACGUUGUUCGGAGAUCAUUUCGCGUGGAGCUGUUGCUAUUUUCGGAUUCGAACUUUCGUUUCAGAACAUCUCUCAAAUCUUCGAGUACAGGUGUGUCAUCGUUCUCAUCGUCCGACGACAAGGUUUGCUGAGAAAGUAUGACCUCAAUGCGUAUGCGGUUAGCUGGUUGCUCUUCGUCGGUCGAGGAGUCUGCCUCGCCGUUACUCUUUGGAGCAUCCUCCUCGUCAUCUCGUUGUUGAGUUUCGCUAUGUAGACCUUUGCCUGUAGCUUUGCGCUGGGCUCUCCUUUCUUUAUUCUUGCUCCAGCUCUUGCCGUUCUUCGGCUUAGCCUUUAGGGGUUCGAACUUGAAGUCGCCACUUGCUAAGGAUGAGAGGUAGUGCGCAUAGAGUGACUUGCACUCUGUCGAAUCGUGCCCUUUGACGUCGUGAUACUUGCAAUGUUUGGUGAGAUCGACGGUUCUGGAAGGUCCUGCCGCUGAACCUGCUGUUGUUGUAGUCUGGGUCGAGCAAACGGCGUCGACUGGUUUGUCGGACGAAUCGAGCUCCCUUACCCACUUGUUCCAUCCUUCUCCACGGACUACGAGAGUUGAAACCAGCACGUUGUUCUCGUUGACGACAUACAUGUAUCCGUCUUUGCGGCCAUUUUUGUCGAUUGGAGCAUGCUGGCGCGGUUCUUGUCGCGUGUUGGCGUUUUUAGCCGCUGGAGCUUUGGGUGCGUUCAUCUUGCUGAGGAUGGCGUUAGUAUCUUCUUCCAUUCGGAUGAAGUUUUCAGAUCGCGCGAUAGCGUCCUGGAGCGACGUAGUUGGGUUUUGGUAUAAAUCCUCUCGGAAUUUAGAACGAACCCACAACGUGUUCCGUAGGGCGUCGAUGGCAAUACCGUCUGGAAUUUUGAUCCUCGAGACUACAGUUUGAACUUCUCCAUGUAGUCGCGGAGGCUCGGGUCUUUGGUUUGGUUGAGGUUCCACAAGCUAGAGGCGGUAGCGCUGCGCUUGGUGAACAUAAUGUAAGUCUUGAGAAAAACUGCUGACAAGUCGCGGAAGCUUCCGAUGGAGUUUUCUUCUAACUGGGAAAACCAGGUUAGGGCUUGCUCGUGGAGAGUUUCAACGAACAGUUGGUAGUAGCCCGCGUCCCUUUCUUCGUCGGGGAGUCGAGCCCGUGCCAUCGCGAUGUUGAAAGCUGUCAUGUGUUCCACUGGGUCUCCGCCGGGUUUGUACUCGGGUAGGCGCAGCUUCUCUAUCUUUCCGAGUUGCACACUAGUCAGAGCGCUAGUAAAAGGAGUGCGUGAUGCUGCGGUGAGGACGCUCUCGAUUUGCGGGGUGGUCGGCGAGAAGGGUUUCAUUAGGCUCCGAGUCGUCUGAGGUAUGAUCGCCUCCGGUCGCCGUUGGGUUGGUGUUAAAGAGGCGACGGCGUAUCUGCUGGGGACGGCUUGUUUGGCUAUCGGGAGCUGUGAGUGCCGCGACCAAAGCAGCUAGUUGGUCGUUGGUCGUCUUUUGGACUUCGUCUUGACGAGCAAGUCGAGCCAUGAUAGAGCUCAUAAAAUCUGCGGCGAUGGGUGGCGCGGCUUUGGGCGUUGGGGUCGGUUCUCCGCCCGGAUCGCCGAAGGUGGCGUCGUCUUGAACCAUGUAGAUCUAGAACGUUACUUUGGUCAGCCCAACGGAGGGUGCCAAUUGGAUUCAGUCGACUAAAAUGAAAGAAGUCAGAGAUGGGAUGACUAAAGACGUUUUAUUAGAUUUGAACUGGAGGGUUACAAGAGUGACAGGAAAGUGAAAGAGCAACAAGAUCAAAGAGUAACAAGAUCAAAGAGAUCGCCUAAAACCCUAGAUCUAGCCGUUCGGUCUGUUCAAUGGUCCAAAAGUCCUCUCCUUGUUGCUUCCCCUUCCCUUUUUAUAAGACUCUUGCCCUUGAUGCCCUAAUUUUGUACCUCUUGGGCUUUGAUGCGAGAGGCCGAGUAUGCGGGCUUUGACAAGGCUCCCUCCAAGCCGGGCGCUUUUGGUCGGCUUACUCGACCGGCUAAAAGUACUCUAAGGUCGAGCCGAUAGGUUUGGCCGCCGAGCCGACCAAACCGAUCUGACUUGCUGGAUUAGGGCCUGUUAUUCGAUGGGCCUUGUGGAGGGGUCUAAUCCAUCUCCUACAUUGGUGGAUCAUUUUAUUGCUAGUUAUCAAAAACUGCACUCUAUAAGUCCAGCACCGGAUUGACAAAAAUUAACAACAGAGAAGGUGACAGAGUGAUACGCAGACCUUGAGAUGUCCAGCUUCAGCAGUGUGUACGUUCUUCAGUUUGGUCGACGAACACAGCUUCGUCGGUUUAAUCAAAGAUGGAUAACUACCUGCACACAGCACCGUAAAACAUGCCAUAGCAAAAAUUAAAGGUAUAUUGAGUAGGUAAAUGUAAAGUUUAAUGACAUUGUGUGAAGGUGAAUGUUUUCUACCAGACGACACCAACCACAUUCGAAUCAUCAUGCAUGUGAAAGAAGAUUCCUCUCCGUUGGAGCUUGAGAGAUGUAAUACCAGCCGUUGGCAGUUUUGAUCCCCGUAACUUUACCGAUACAGAGGAAGUUAAUUGUCUGGGAUUGAUGGGAAAACAGUGGGAGAUUAUUAAAGCCCUAACAGGUUAAAAAUUUGAUAGAGUUGCAUGGUACCUGUCUACCUGAAGUUGCGAUGUCAUGACAUAUUCAUUGCAACGGUGAGAGUCUAUUUUCUGUCACGCAGAGACGGGCCAUGUUGUGUAGUCAGUUGAACCUUCCCGUACCAAUCUAUUCCGGUUUUGAGAGUUUUCAGAGAUUAUUAAUGGACUUUGGAAUUAAUUAGAGACUGCAAAGUCAUGCAAUAACUUGGAGGAUCUAACAUACUUUUCAUAAUAACUCUGGCCAGCAGCUGUCUCUGAGUCUAAGUAGAAAAGAGUGACUGACAUGGCAUUAAAAAAUAACCAGCCUAAACAAAGGUAAUAGAGGUUCAGAAAAUGUUUAGUUCAAUUGAAUAUACAAAGUGCCAUUUUUGGUGAAGUUGGUAUGCUAGCCUAUCAAACACACUUAGGCAAAAAUGACAAUUCGGUAAGCCAGCAAAUUGUAUAAAGUGACAUAAGGCUUGUUGUAAUCCAAGGGUGUAGGAGAUGGAUUACAUCCCUCCACAAGGCCCAUCGAAUAACAGGCCCUAGCCCGGCAAGCUUGACUAGUUUAGUCGGCUAAAGCGGCUAAAGGUGUCAGCUCGAUCCCAGAGCACUUUUAGCCGAUCAGCUAAGCCGACUAAAUACGCUCGGCUUAUAGAGAACAGUACCAAGGCCCGCAUACUCGGCCUUUAACGACAGGGCCCAAAGGACGACACGAUUAGGGCAUCACGGACGGUUACACUAUAAGAGAGGAUGAGGAGACAACGAAGGGAAGGACUUUUGGACAACACACACAGAGGCGGCUAGAUCUAGGGUUUUCCAAUCAUCUCUUUGAUCCUGUUGCUUAAACCUUUGAUCUUGUCUCCUUAUUUCCCGUCAAUCUUGUAACCUCUUGUUUGAUUCUAAAAAAAGCGUCUUUAGUCACCCCAUUCCUACGUUCAUUAUUCUAAUCAACCGAAUCCUGUACAAACAAUUGGCGCCCACCGUGGGGCCGACUAAAGUAACGUUCUAGAUCUCCAUGGUUCAAAACGACGCCACCUUCGGCGCUCCAGGCGGCGAACCAACCCCCACGCCAGAAGCCGCGCCUCCCAUAACCACAGAUUUCAUGAGCUCUAUCACGGCUCGACUUGCUCAACAAGACGAAGUCCAAAAGACGACCAACGACCAGUUAGCUGCUCUGGUCGCGGCCCUCACAGCUCCCGACGGCCAAACAAGCCGUCCACAGCAGAUACGCCGUCGCCUCUUUAACACAAACCCGACGGCGACCGGAGGCGAACAUCUCUCAGACGACUCCGAGCCUAACGAAACCCUUCUCGCCGACCAGCCCCCGGUAGGUCCUGAUCUGGCAACCAUACGCGAGCUCGCUGAGCUCAAACUCCAGAUGACGACGGAUUUGGUCCUGAUUGGAGAACUGAGUUUAUCGACUACCUCUCGAAGGGAGAACUCCCAAACGACAAAUGGGAAGCUCGCCGACUAAAAACACGCAUCGCCCAUUACGUCGUUCUUGACGAUGAACUACACCGCUGGACCGCGAGUAAAGUACUCCUAAAAUGCAUUCAUGGCGACGAGACAGCAAGGGUUAUGGCAGAGACGCACGAAGGCGCUGGCGGAAAUCAUUCGGGCGGACGUGCAUUAGCAAUCAAAGUAAGGAGCUUGGGCUUCUUCUGGCCAACAAUGAACGCAGAUUGUGAGUCUUACGCGAGAAGCUGCGACAAGUGCCAACGGCACGCACCUAGUAUCCAUUGUCCAACCGAAAUGUUGCGAACAACCACCGCUCCAUACCCGUUCAUGCGAUGGGCAAUGGACAUCAUUGGACCACUUCCCUGUUCCCGCCAAAGACGCUUCAUCCUCGUCCUCACCGACUACUUUACCAAAUGGAUCAAAGCUGAAGCAUAUGCUCAAGUCACGGACAAAGAAGUCCGCCGUUUCGUCUGGAAAAAUAUUAUCUGCCGCCACGGUUUACCUUAUGAGAUCGUUACCGAUAACGGAUCGCAGUUCAUGUCAGGCAACUUCAAGGAGUUCUGCGGCAAAUGGAACAUUCGACUAAGCCCCUCCACUCCUCGUUACCCGCAAGGUAAUGGCCAGGCAGAAUCCUCCAAUAAACUCAUCAUCGAUGGCAUUAAAAAGCGCCUGGAUCUGAAAAAGGGUCACUGGGCCGACGAGCUCGAUGGGGUCCUAUGGAGCCAUCGCACAACGCCGCGAGGAUCAACUAAAUCGACACCUUUCUCCCUCGCCUACGGUGUAGAAGCCAUGUCUCCCGCUGAAGUCAACGUUUCAAGCCUCCGACGCUCCAAGAUGCCUCAAUACGUCGAACUCAACAAGGAAAUGCUACUCGACGCCCUUGAUGAGAUAGAAGAACGACGAGAUCAAGCUCUGCUGCGCAUCCAGAACUAUCAACACCAGAUCAAGAGUUACUACAACAAAAAGGUCCGUGCCCGACCUCUGGAACUCGGUGACCUCGUCAUGCGCAAGGUGUUUGAAAACACUAAGGAGCUAAACGCCGGUAAACUCGGCACCAGGUGGGAGGGACCUUAUAAAAUCAUCAAAGUCGUCAAACCCGGAGUAUACCGACUCCAAACCUCACGUGGCGAAGAAGUUCCCCGAUCAUGGAACUCGAUGCACCUAAGACGUUUCUACUCGUAGGUGUAUAAAAAAAAAAAACCAAGUAGAUGCACCCCAUGGUCACUUUUACUCGACCGAGUAAAUGCACCACUCACGGCCACUUUUACUCGGGAAAAACGAACCACGAAUGGCUUGAUCCUCAACCGAGGUACGUAGGCAGCCUUAAACAGGUCCAGCUGUAACAAAAUCAAAGUCAAAAUCUUGUUCUUUGUCUCAACUUCUACUGAGUGGAUGCCUGUUAUCAAACCCAACGGCUCCCGUGUCUCCAGCAGGAGACACGCGGACACUAUCGUUCAAUUUCCUGGCUAUGUCCUGAUCAGACACUUAGCCUGAGGACCCAACAGUCGCUAGUCACCUAUGCCCAAGGAGCAUUGACCGACUAAACGGAGUGAAUCUUUAACCUUUCCUCGACUAAACGCGUAAUGGACUAGAUACCCAAUUACUCGAUUGUCAUUGAGGAAACGGACAAAAGAACCUUCCACUCUUAGACCCAGUCCCUUGUCCUCGAUAUAGAACGAUGCGCCUAAACGUCGUCUCGAUCGAAAUGCGACAAGAGCUGAACAUAUCCCCUAGCGGUUCGUUUCCUUAUCUAUUUGCAAAAGCCAAAGGUCGGGAAUCUAUUGUUUCUAAGCGAACACAUCGCGAGACACUAAAGAUUCUGACAUUUACUUUAACAAAGUUUGCAAGUACAGGUGAGAAACACAACCCACAAAUUUAAAGAUCGCUUAAAACAGCGACUUGCCAAAAAAAAAAUAUAUAUGUCUAAUCAUACAACAACAGGGUCUAUCAAGACCACAACAGAUAAGAACAUAAGUGACACGUCAAAGAACAGAAUCUUGAUCGUCAGGACCCUUGGUAGCGGCAGCAGUUGGGUCCUCCGCCCGAGUAGGAAUAGAAGCAAGAGAGUCUACAACGGGACGUGGAGGAACAUCUGUAUCCCCAGCUUCGUAGAUCGUCUCCUCCUCAGCAGGACGUGGCAGCGACGCCUCCUCGAUCCCAUCGUUAUCCUCCUCCCCAUCCUCUCGUCCUUCGGAGGAAGAAUCCGAGACGAGCACAGGAUCCUCGACACCCACGUUCUUGGUCUCUCCCUCUCGAACCAGAGUGUCGCCUAUCUCGAGGCCGUCCUUUCCAGGAAAUCCCUUCAAAUUCUCGUCCUCUGGGUGCUCAUCAAAACCGCUUUCCACCGGGGACUUGACAAGCUCGGUGGGGACAGACGUGACAUCAACAAGUGGCUCCUGUGACGGCUCCUCAACAACUUCGAGCGAGGUAACGAGCCGAGAAGCCGUCUCUGGCCCGAUCAAAUUUACGUUCGACCCAUAGGGAUCGAAUGACGUUCUGAACCUGUCCUCGGCGAAACGAGAAGGAAGGACCAACGGAGAAAGAGUAAGGCACUGUCGGACAGCGGCUCUACUCGGAGUUUCAUAACCUCCGCCUCGUAAAGUUUCUCCUGCUCAGCGAAGGCAUCGAUCAUUUCUUGGGGGAUCUCCGUCCCACUCGCCUUUAUAACCUCGAGGCACUUCUUCGUUCCCGAAGCUUGACCAUACAGGUUCUUCGCCUUCUCAAAAGCCUCCAGACGAGUAAAAUGGUUGCGCACGCGAUCAAAACGGCGACUUGCCUUCUCAGCCAUAGCAGCCUCGACUCUUUCCCUCUCACGAGUAACCUCCAAACCCCGGGAGUCCCUCAGGCGUUGCCUCUCUCUCUGAUUAGUUUGUCUACCGCGGCAUCUCUCUCUUCGACUAGCUCGGUCUUCUCCUUCUCCAGGUUCGCAGCCGUUUGCUCCAAAUGACUUUUCUCUCGAACGAGCUCUUUCCUCGCCGCGCUGGAAGACUUAAGCUUGCCCUCCAGUUCUUCGAACUUUACUCGAAGAAUCUCUUUCUCCUCUGCGGCCUUCUCGUUGGCCUUCUUAUGCUCCGCCCUUACUCUCUCAAUGACCUUCAACCGCGUCUGGGCGAGCUUCUCCGAAGAUCCCAACUGGAUCAUCUUCUGUUUCAAAGCACUGUCGUAUUUCUCAACGAGAAAGUUCAUACUCCCGUCACUCUGCAAAAACGACAAACACAGACCACGUGAGACGAGUAAACCCGACGAAUCGAAUAAAGAGAUAAAGUAUGAAGGGUAGCGCAGUUACCCGAGCUCUCGAAGAAGCAGCGUCUAUGUAUUCAUUCCUAAAGUAAAGGUCGUCCAACUGUGGCAUCUCCUUCGUCCCACCACGAAUUUGGUGCGUCAGCUCCGCGCACCUAAGAGGAUUAAGGAUUAGGGGGGUCAUCUCGUUGUAGGAAAACUUGACCCGAUCGGGGAACUCGAUCUUCUUCCUCCUCGCAGUAGAACCCUCUGAACGAGACCCUUUCCUCGCAGACGGAUCGGGAAUAGAUCUCUCACCCGUAACAGGAUCACUGCCCCGCUCUGAGACCUCUCUCUCCUCGGGAGGGGUUUCAAGAGAAACGUCUUCUCCCGCGACAACUUCGAUGAGGCCCGUCUCCGCAUCAGAAGGACGCGGCUCUGCCUCAACGGACUUCUUUUUCUUCUUCUUUCUGGGACGAUCUUCAGGCGCCGCUUCGGAACGGUCAGACUCGACAGAACCCCUUGUAACGCCUUCUCGUCCUACAGCCGGCGCAUCGCCGCGAUCAAUGGAGGAAGUAGCCCCCUCGUAAAGUCUCUUCCUUCCUCUCUCUCCCUUCCUUGCUUCCAAACCCUCGGAGGUUUCGUCGAGGGAAGCGAUCUCUUCAAGAGGAAGCUCUUCGGUUGCUUUCCUCCUGGCUUUCUUGCUCUUCUUCUUCUUUUUAGGAGUUGAGGCAGGAGGCUCCGCCCCAACGUCUUUGUCGACUAAACCAGGAGUUCCUUCCUUGGAAGCUCGGCCUGCGUCAGAACUGGUCGCCCCUUGCACAUCGGCAGUAAUCGACUUCUUCGAAAGCAAUUGCAGUUUCCCCUUCAACAGUGCACUCAAAUCCGGUACCCCGUCCAUCUUCCUAGCUUCGUCCAGAAUUUUCUGCUGUUUCCGAGUAAAAAGAGACAGACGCGACUUACGGGGUCCGAGCACGACAGGAAGCCUUGAUUCCCAAUCAGCUGUAAAAAAAAAAAAAAGAGAAGAGAGACUUAGUUGUUGAUAGAACUUCUCGGAGAAAGACCGAUGAACUCACCUCUAGCAAUCCUAGCUUCUUGGCAUCUUAUCCACUCUCGACUAAGAUCAGGCCAACGAAGAUGACUAUGAGCCGCGAUCGCCUGAGCACUCUCAAAGAAUUUCUCAGGGUAUGCGAUCGUAUUCGGGUGACGAACUGCAACAACAAGAAACACGCCGUUAGGAUACUCGAAAAAAGCACGAUGGCAACAAACACUAUCUACCAAGCGUUUUAUUCCACAGAACGCGGUAGUCGUCCCCAGGUGGCUCUGCGAAGGCAUGCUCGUCAGAUUUGACGUAAAAAUAUGAGCGCUGCCAGUCCUUCGUCUUGUUCGGGUGCCCUGACAAGACGUUGUAGCUCGAGCGCAUCUUCACUGAGAAUAUCCCAUGUGGCUCCGCCUUCGUAAAAGUCAAAUCUUCGAAUACUCUCACACUCAUCGAAACGUCUAUCUCCGCUGCCAUCACCAUUAGCAUAACCGCGAUGCGCAGCGACCCGUUAAGCAACUGACAAAUGGCGAUGUCCCGACGAAAUGCGUACGACGUGAUCAGUCGGGGAAUUGGAAACCAGAGCUUCGUAUGGUCUCCAAAAUAAGACUCAUAGACGCACUGAUAGCCAAUCGGAGGCGACCAAGGACGCUGUCCCCUGGAAGGAAUGAUGUAUGUAACGCCGGCACCUCCACUUCGCCUCAAUAAAUCCUUCACCGUCUUGUGGGAGGAGCAAGAAUCGAAGACAUUCCCCCACGACUGAGCCCGCGGGUCAUGAAGCAAUUCGGACGGGAGUGGUCCGAGUUCUUCGAAGAUCCCACCAGGAUGGUAGAUCGUGGGUCGGCAGUCUAUCUGGUCGAAAGGAAUCUCCCGACUAGCUCGUCUCAAAGACCUUGAGGCUUGGCUAGACGCUUCAAAGCCGCUACCGCCCACGUCACUGCUCCCGACUUCAACGCGAUCCCCGCGUUCGUCACGGAUCAUCUUAUGAGCAUCAGAGACCAAAAGGCGUUGAGAUAGGGUCAUAUUGUCUAAAUCCCGAAGAGCAACAUCAACGACCAAAAGGCGUUGAGAUAGGGUCAUAUUGUCUAAGUCCCGGAGAGCGUCCCGAUGAAUCAAGUCGAAAUCAUCCAGCGGGCUGUCAGCUACCCGCUCAUCUCUGGUCGGACUCGGAGAAUCUGCGACGCCCUUCCUUUUUUCUUCUCGCGACAAACGACCUCUCAGAGGCAUGAUCCUGGAUUUAGGGGACGACUACAAUCGCCAGACGAUACCGACAAGCCUGUGUGAGGAGAAACGUACCUAGAGAGAGAAUGUAAAAGUAGAGAGAAGGGAGAGAAAGCGGAAUACCUGAGCUUGCAGAGAAGAAUGACGAAAGCGAAAGGGAGGAACCUAUUUAUAGCAAAAACAUGGGCACAUCCUCCGAAGCGCAAUCAUUAGGUCUACAGAAACCUAAAUGGGCCUCAAAGGCUGCCUAAAUACCCAAAGGCUUACUCGCGACGGUUCGGUUUCUCGUUCAAACCGAUCUCUAAUCAAGAUGCCAGACCGAAAUUAAUCCCCGAUUUCGGUCUAAACCGGUCCUCUAACGUAAACCGAUGAGAUAAGCUUGAGCCCUUAUAUCGGAGUAAUUCGCCUACCGAGUAAAACGUGCCUCCGUGACAAAAACCUGGGCGAGCAAAGCAGAUCGUGAAGAAGUACUACUCUAAGCGACUAGAAACGUCAAUAAAGCGGCAUGCGACUAAACACGCUAGGACCUGAUAUACGAACGAACCUAACCCACAAAUUCACUGAGACCGCUACGCCGCUCACAAGUGAACUGGGGGGGGAGGGCGACUUAUUGUAGGAGAUGGAUUACAUCCUUCCACAAGGCCCAUCGAAUAACAGGCCCUAGCCCGGCAAGCUUGACUAGUUUAGUCGGCUUAAGCGGCUAAAGGUGUCGGCUCGAUCCAAGAGCACUUUUAGCCGAUCAGCUAAGCCGACUAAAUACGCUCGGCUUAUAGAGAACAGUACCAAGGCUCGCAUACUCGGCCUUUAACGACAGGGCCCAAAGAACGACACGAUUAGGGAAUCACGGACGGUUACACUAUAAGAGAGGAUGAGGAGACAACGAAGGGAAGGACUUUUGGACAACACACACAGAGGCGGCUAGAUCUAGGGUUUUCCAAUCAUCUCUUUGAUCCUGUUGCUUAAACCUUUGAUCUUGUCUCCUUAUUUCCGGUCAAUCUUGUAACCUCUUGUUUGAUUCUAAUAAAAGCGUCUUUAGUCACCCCAUUCCUACGUUCAUUAUUCUAAUCAACCGAAUCCUGUACAAACAAAGGGUCAAAAUUAACCUCUUCACUCGCAGGUUUGCCGUUAUACGUUGUAUGCCUUGUGUAUUGCCGUUAUACGUUGUAUGCCUUGUGUAUUGUCAUAUAAUGUGAUCAUGACUGUGGUCAACUCUCCACCUGCAGAAUUAUGAAAUUAAUGAUGUUCUGGACAGAGUCGUGGUGGUUGAAUGAGAUAUGUGAAGGAUCAAAACACAAAGAAACAGACCAGGGAGGUGAGUGUUGGUUUAGCCAAAGCUAAUAGUUGGUCAUUGUUCUAGAACCUAAACAUAUCUUCUGGUAUUUGAUUGACGGAAUCGUAUAACAGAACAAACGCUCUAAGAUCGUUGAUUCGGAUGGCGAGGGGGGGGGGGGGGGCCUUAACGGGCUUUUCUCUUUGGAAAAGCUCUGCAUGAAGAGCAACCGUCAAAUAAGUACGGUAUGGUAAGGUUAUCAGUUGAAAUCGGAAAACAAAGACAGUGUACACUCCCCGGAGUUACCAUUGCAUCGAUGAAGAACAUGACGACGCCCAUGAGGUAUCCUCCUUUCUUUACAUUAGGCCCAAAAACAGGAGCUGUCGAACCUCCACGGGAUUUGCACAACGGCCGGCUUUCAAGUCAGUGAGAAGAAGGCGUGUGGUGGCCAUCGAAGAUAUAUGGGCUUCAAAAAAUAGUUUCAAGUGAAUUUAUAGGAUCUGUGGUUUUCAUCAGAGCAUACGCCGGUAUUUAUAGGUGUAGCUUUAGUACGUUACCAUGGAAGAGAGGAAGGUCAUCAAUGCGAAGGAGUGGAGGUAGCGCCAGUAAAUGUGAUCAUUAUAGGGUUGAUUGAAUGAAACGGUGUUUUGAUUGUAAGCCUAAUAUAGAGGAACAGUCGCGGUGGCCGUGGCUACAAUAUUCCGACCAUCGAGCUGCGUUUGGCCGUUUAAGAAAGAUAUAGUUUAAUAUUUCGACUGAUUGGCUUAUCUCUUGCAAUCUCAACGAAGGGGGCCAAGUAUACUGUCAGCUUAUUUUAAUUUAUUGUGUUUAGUCUCAGAAUAAUUGAGCAGCCUACUCGAAACAAAAUUAUAAACAAUCCAUAAAACUUAAAUAGAAUGGUGCCACGUGUUGUAUUUUCCCGCUGCUUUGAUGCUGAGGUGGAUGAUUGUGGAGAUACUAUUGUCUACUUUAUUAUUAUAGAAAAAUAAAACUAGAUCUUUUUUACCAAAACCAUAAAAAUAGAACUUUUUCACCUAGACAAAUUUCCACCAAAAAUGAGUCGAUCAAUCUUACUAGACUAAUACAAUAUACGAAUAGGAAGUAGAAUGAAAGAAACGGUACACCAAAAAAUUAACAAGUUUUCUCGCCAAAAAAAUAUUUCAUAUCAAAACUGUAGUAUCUUAUUUCACAGGAAACCACAAAAUUGAAUCUUUGCACAAAACCGCAAAAUGAUACUUUUCGGCAAAACCACAACAUAUAUAUUUUCUUCCAAAAUCACAAAAUCUUGUUUCCACUAUACCAUAAAAUCAUGUUUUCUUGUCAAUAUCGUAAAAGCAUUUUUUUCCGUUAAAACAAGUUUUUUCCGCCAAAAGCCAUAGGAUAAUAUUUUCCAGCCAGAAUCUAAAAGGCGCCAAAACCACAAUAUUGAAAAUACAAAAAGAUAUUGAGAUUCUAUGUUUCACGUGAAUUAUUUAAAAUAUAUGAAAUGGUAACUUGGAUACCCGCAAACAAGUAAACCACAAUUUUGAAAAUAAAAAAAGAUAUUGAGAUUCUAAGUUUCACGUGGUGUAUUGUUUUAGGGUUUUUUUGCAAAUUGAACUUACAAUAGGCUGGAUUUUUUGUGGACUAUGAUGGUAAUUUUACUGUAUGUAUAUUAACAAUUUCGUUGGAAAGAGGACCUAGUCUCCAUAAAAUGAUUGGCGAUAGCGACGGCGACUCUGGUUCUAAGGAAAUCGCGAAAGAGAAAGGAGAUGGGGGGCUAUUGGAGAUUACAGAUCUCGGUGUUUCUCAGAGGAAAGAGGUGGGAAGAGGAGGAUCUCCUGUUCGGAGAAGUGAAGCGGUUGAUAUCGGACUCAAAAAGGUCGCGUACUCUGCUGCGCUGGUGGACGGGAAUUUAGGGUUGGAUCUACAACCCGAUUUUGUUGUUAAGGAGGGAGUCGCAGAGGUUUCGAUUCCGGAGGAGGUGUUUGCAGAUGUUGAGCCUUUUUAAAGGUGUUUUGUCGCUGGAUACUUUAUGAAUGAUGCUCCACAUAUUAGAUCGAUCCACGCAACAGUAAACAUGAUUUGGAACCUUCCUGGGAAGAAAUCUAAAAUUGAUGUCCAGUUCAUCGGGAAGAUGACAGUACUCUUCAGAAUUGAGGAUGCGGCGGUAAGAAACAGAAUCCUUAACAGGAAGUUCUGGCAUAUCUCUGAAGUUCCAUUGAUGCUGGGUGAGUGGACUCCGGAAACGACUCAGUCUCCUCCUGAUCUCUCUGCUAUGCCUCUAUGGGUUGAUUUACUGAAUGUUCCUGGAUACCUAUAUUCGAAGGAAGGCCUCAAGUUUCUUGCCAGAACCUCUGGUAAAUUCAUUAAGCUUCACCCAAACACUGAGCGCUGCAUUCGCAUGGAUGUCGCUAGAGUUUUGGUGGAAGUUGACCUAACCAAGCCGUUACCAAACAAGAUCAGUUUCCAGAAUAGGGAUGGCCUCCCUGUCUUGGUACCGAUCAGCUACCCGUGGGUUCCCCCUCGGUGUCUUACUUGUUAGAAAUGGGGUCAUUCUGCUACGGACUGUAAAGUGCAGAGGCCACUUCCUCAUGUUCAGCCUCCGACCGAAGACGCGACUACAUGCUGUGAAACUGACAUAGUAGAACUGGAAGGUUUUUCUUCUAAAGAUAAUGUGGAGAGGUCUAGUUCUGCGAUUGUAACUAAGCUUCUCACAGAACUGGAGUCACUUUCAGGAAGGGAGAACUUGUCUAGUAAGCCCCCCCCNNNNNNNNNNNNNNNNNNNNNNNNNNNNNNNNNNNNNNNNNNNNGACCCCCCCCCCCCCCCCCCCGGUAGAGGAUGUGGAUCAGUUGAGCAGUGAACAGCAGGUAUAGGAAAUUAAGGAGAAGGAAUGGGAUUUAGUGACACUGAAGAAUGGGGGCAUGGCGUCACCUGGGAAGGUUGUCAAGGCGGUUGAGGGUUACACCUCAUCGAAUGGGUUCCAAAUACUGCAGGACCUGAGAGAGGAAAGUGAGAUUAAUGAGGAUGAUGUUGACGACGAGGCUGAUGAUGAGGUUGAGGGUGGAGUUGGUGCUGUUGUUGAAGCGGAGGAUGCUGGUGCUCGGGGAAUAGUAGAUCAGGUUGUUGGCAACACUACUGUCACCGCAUCUCUAACUGAGGUAGUGGAGACAAAAGACUUGAUAAUCCCUCCGAAGCAUUCUUCUUCUACCAGAGGUCGAGGCAGAGGAUCAAAGCGUCUGAUAGUGAGCUCAAGGGGCUUGGUACAUGCUGUGGUACAUCAACAGAAGGUGCAGAACUCAAGCAAAAAAGCUUCCUCGAGGAAGCACUGAUGUCGUCGUUCUUUGCUUGGAACAUGCAUGGGUUCAAUAAACCACACAAACAAAGGGCAGUUAGGUAUUGGGUUAAAGCUGCUAAAUUAUCUAUUGGAUGUUUGACUGAGACUAAAGUGAAGGAAGAAAAUUUUCAAAAGGUGUUUGAUGCGACGUUCCCGGGAUGGAGUUGCGUGCAUAACUACCCAAAUCAUAGACUGGGACGUAUUUGGGUAUGCUGGUCGGAUGAGGUUGAGGUGUGUCAUGUGUCCACUAGUAUGCAGAUGAUCACAGUGUGAGUGAAGUAUAAGGCUUCGGGAGAUACUUUUCUCUGCUCAUUUGUAUAUGCUUCUAAUUAUGCAAAUGAGAGAAGGGAACUAUGGAGGGAAAUGGAGGUGAUAGGCUCAUCAGUGGGAAAUAAUCCUUGGAUUAUACAAGGGGAUUUCAACGUUGCUUUAUCAACACAAGAACACUCCUGUGCCACAGCUUCUAGAAUGGAUAUGAAUGCGAUCAGGGAGUUCCAAGAUGUGGUGGAGAAGUGUGACAUGAUGGAUUUAGCGCAAGUGGGGCCUCUUUUACUUGGUCAAAUUGUCAGGACGACAAUCCUAUUAGUAAAAAUCUUGAUCGGGUGAUGAUAAACAGUGUAUGGAUAAAUGAAUUUUCCCAUUCUUUCGUUACUUUUGAGUAUGGGGGAUUUUCUGACCACAUGCGGAUGCACACACAGCUGCGAGAUGUUCCCCCGGUUAAUAUGAAGCCUUUUAAGUUUUUUAAUCAUCUCAUUGGCCAUCCUAAGUUUCUUGAGGUGGUCGAACGGGCCUGGAAUGAAUCACCACCUCUUUUCCACUCCCCGUCGGCGCUUGGUAUGUUUCAGGAGAAGUUGAAGGCCCUGAAAUUUGAUAUGAGAGGACUAAACAAAGAUCUCUAUGGGGACUUACCAGGACGUGUGAAGCUGGUAUAUGAAUUGCUUUGUGCUAGACAAACUGAAGCUAUGCAGAAUCCGUAAACAUCAACUUUUGAAGCUGCUUCUGACGCUUGGGAACACUGGCAUCACAUAUCUGGGAUUGAGGAGCAGUUUUUCUAUCAAAAGUCGCGAGUGCAGUGGCUUGGACUCGGGGACAGGAACUCCAUAUUUUUCUACAAGGUCACACAAAAUCGAAAUGUCAGAAACACGAUAAGGAGGAUUGUCACUGGGGAUGGUCUGAUCCUCACUGCUCCAGCAGAUAUCAAGAUGGGGGCCGCAGCUCAUUUUGAGUCCUUCCUAAAUGGCUCUACUCCUCCAGGGCAGCAUGUUUCUCAAGAAGAAAUCAGUGAGCUUAUUGAUUAUCGCUGCCCAGUAGAGAUGGUGGCGAUGUUGCAAGCUCCGGUCCAGGCUGCGGAAAUAAAAGAGAUCCUCUUCUCAAUGCCAGCGAACAAGGCUCCUAGGCCAGACGGUUAUCCUAUGGAGUUUUAUAAGGCAGCUUGGUCAGUUGUAGGAAGAGAUUUUGUUACGGCUGUGCAAUCAUUUUUCAUCUUCGGUUUCAUGCCUCGUAGCAUUAAUGCAACUCUGCUCUCUUUGGUCCCCAAGACUACUGAUGCAGAGAAAAUGACUGAUUUCAGGCCUAUUGCGUGUUGCAAUGUCAUUUACAAAGUGGUUUCAAAUUUAAUUGCUAGGCGACUCAAGGCUACACUCCCUGAGUCUAUUGAAUUAAAUCAGUGUGCUUUUGUUGAGGGCAGGUUUCUCCUGGAAAAUAUCCUACUAGCCACUGAGCUUGUCAAAGACUACCACAAGAGCUCGGUACCUCCAGAUCAGCCAUCAAAUUGGACAUCUCAAAGGCAUUUGACACUAUCAGUUGGGAGUUUAUUGAGAAGACUUUGAGAGCAAUGGGCUAUCCAGAUCUGUUUAUUACUUGGAUUAUGAGAUGUAUUGAUACUGCAGCGUUUUUGGUCUCUCUCAAUGGGGAGUUAACAGGGUUUUUCUCCAGUAGCAGAGGUAUACGGCAAGGGUGCUCGCUGUCUCCGUAUAUCUAUGUUAUUGUCAGCAACGUUCUCUCAAAGCUCCUAAACAAAGCGACCACGGAUGGUCUUAUUGGCCCUCAUCCUCACUGCAAAGAGAUUAACCUGUCGCACCUGAGUUUUACGGAUGAUAUAGUUGUCUUUACCAAUGGAUCCCUGGAGUUUCUCAAGAACACACUCGAGGUGUUUGAUAAGUUUGCAAGUAUGUCGGGGCUUGCUAUCAAUGUAGCAAAGUCAACUGUGUUUGCUGCGGGUUGAGGGAAACAAGCACUUGAAGCUGCAGCGGGGGUCUCCGGUCUCUCCAUCUCUGCGCUACCCAUCAAGUAUCUUGGAUUUCCCCUCACCACGAAGCUUAUGAAUAAAACUGACUAUGAGCCCCUGAUCACAAAAAUCAGGAAGAGGUUCCUAUCUUGGACGAGUAAGGCUCUUUCUUACGCAGGUUGCAGCUCAUAAAAUCAGUAACCGCGAGCAUCACUAACUUCUGGUGCGCCGCUUUCUGUCUCCCUCAAGCUUGUAUGGAUGAGAUAGAAAGUAUGUGCUCUGCUUUCUUAUGGAGCGGCUCCCCGAACAACACGUCCAUGGCGAAGGUUGCGUGGGCUGAAGUUUGCUGUCCUUUUAAAAAAGGUGGUCUGGGGCUGCGCCGUGUUCAGGAAGUAGGUACCGUUUUUGUUUUGAAACUUAUAUGGAGGCUCUCUGCUCACUCCUAUUCGCUCUGGGGAACGUGGGUGAGACAAUAUCUGCUGCGAGGUGAGACUUUAUGGGAUGUGAAGGACACAGGUUUGGGUUCUUGGGUCUGGCGUAAAAUCCUCAAGUUCCGUACUCUCGCGAAGCAGUUCCUGUGUAUGGACAUCAAGAAUAGCCAAACAGCGAAGUUCUGGACUGAUGUGUGGCUCCCUGCAGGGAGACUGAUUGACCUUGCUGGUGAGAUUGGAACCCAAAAGUUAGGCAUUCCGAGAAAUGCGAGAAUUUGUGAUGUUUUGGAUGGGGAGGUUUGGAAUCUAAGGGCAUCUCGCGAUCAGCACAUACAGCAGCUGAUGCAGGUAAUUCGCCAGUUUCCUUUAUCGCUGACUGUAAAUGUCCCUGAUGGAGUCAUGUGGAGGAACGGCCCUGGCGACUAUGGGGAUAGUUCAUCGCUUCUAGUACUUGGCAACAGAUCAGACAGAGUAGAGAUGAAGUUCAGUGGAGCAUGAUUGUCUGGUUCUCCCAAGGGGUACCUCGUUUCUCUUUCAUCACUUGGCUAGCUCUCCGUGAUAGGCUCUCAACACGCCAUCGAAUGCGCAGAUGGGGUCAAUCGCACGUUUGUAUAUUAUGUGGUGAGCCAGAUGAGACGAGAGAUCAUCUAUAUUUUUCUUGUCUGUAUACUUACACACUGUGGUUGCAAGUUGUGGGGAAUCUCUUCGGUGCUGAGCCUGAUCCGUACUGGGGCAUCACUAUAUCGCGGCUGAUCACAGGAACAUAUGAUCGUCUUACUUUCAUAUUGUUGAAACUUGUUUUGCAAGUAACCAUAUACUACAUCUAGAGGGAAAGAAAUUAUAGGAGACACAGCAACUCUGUUAAGACUGUGGACCAGCUUGGCUGUAUCAUAGACAAGACAAUGAAUAGCCGGAUAAUGUUGACCAAAUAUUAUCAGAAACCAAAGCUGCAGGGUCUGAUGUGCCGCUGAUUUGAAGCUCACAUGCCUUAAUUCUUUACAGAUUAAUACACUAGUUUGAAGUCUUGAGUCUUAUUCUUUGUACAUAUACAUUCUUUUGCUCUGAUCAAUAAAUUAAACAUUUCAUCAAAAAAAAUUUUUUUACUGUAUGUUAACUCUAUUAGUAAGCAACAAAAUUUCGUUACAUAUUUUAUUUGUUCAUUGAUAUUAGAGAAAUUGCACUAGAUAACGUAAAGAACUUAGUUUAUUAAGGAUAUGGAAAAGAGCUACAAAAUCACUGUGCAUUUUUCUAAAUCCCGAACUUAGCCCUUUAGCUAAACCUGGGUUUACAAAGAACACGACAAAUAUUUCAUUUGCCUUCGCUCGGCCGUCCUAUUUCAGUAAGCAAUCAGCCUCCACCGCCGUCGUCAGUUGUAAGCAUUCGUCUCCACCGCCGUGUUCAUGCCUUUACUUUCGUGUUGCUGCCCCCACCUCCACUAUCGUGUUCUUGUAAGCCUUUGCCUCCGCUGCGUCAUCACCGUGUCCCCAUAAGUCUCCACUUCCACCACAGUGUUCUUGAAAAUCAUAUCAAGUGAUGGCUAUUUUACUAUAAGACAGACAUGGAAUCGAAUUUCUCGAGUCAUAUUUUUCCCCCAAAGGUGAUUUCGGAUUCACUUACAAAAUUAUUAACUUCUCCGACCGUUUUCUCCGGAUCAAGAUAAUGAGUUUGCAUGUGGAUUCUAUAUCUAAUGGAGAAGGUUGGACUAGUAUUGCCGAUUGGCUCGUCAUUUCAAGAAGACAAGAGGAGAAAAUGAAGCUCUCGGACAAAAGAGAAGUCCCUCUAACCUAGUGAUAAGAAUUUUGGUUUUGUGUGCUUCAAGAUCUAUGGUUUUAGAGUUUUGAACCUGGGUGUUCAACUCCUAAACUUUCACAAAAAUUAUUUUCGGUAAGUAUUAUUUUCAUUUAGAAGUUCCAUUGAUCUAGACUGUACAUUUAUAUAUGAAAUCUCUAUAAGAUUGUUACUCCGACACAAGAAUCAACAAAUUGGAUAGAAAAGUAAUUACACACCCUUCACACUAUUAAAUUUGCAAAUAUUUUCAAAUUCUGCAUAGAUAGCUAAUUACCUAUGUUUCUAUGUAUAUAGAGCUAAAUUGCUGUUGAUAUUAUUAGAAAAGGACUUUAGAAGUCUAAUUAUUAUUUUAUGAGGCCUGGAAAAUUAUUAUUUGAUAUAUUUUUAUUUAAACUUCAAAUUUUCUGGAGCUUAGAAAAUAAAUCUUAAAUAGAAUACAAUUUUUUGGUUAAAAUUCUAUGUUUAUUUUGGUUCAAAUAUGAUUCAAAUUUCGAUUAAAAAGACUAAAAAUGACUAAGGUUUAAAGUAGUAUUAUGGUUUAGUAUUAUACAAAAAUAUAUUAUGUUAUAUCUGGUUAAUGAGUAAUAUAAAAUUUAUUAAUGGUUUCUUUUGUCAACCUAUUUCGUUUUAGUUUUCUUCUUUUUUUUCCUCCCAGCUCGAGAUUUCACUAGCUUCUUUGAAGGCGUUGAUAAAAAAAAAAAAAAACAACUUGGUCCAAAUAUGUAUAGUUGCUACAAUGGGCCAAUGAACCAUGAAGCCCAUUAAAAGAUCCAUAGUCUGUCUUCAUCUCCUCCAUUCCUCUCAAGCUCGACAGUCUAUUACGACGGGGGAAAAUGGCGUUGCGACAUUUGAGCCGACCGAGAGACAUCGUAAAGAGAUCGACGAAGAAGUACCUCGAGGAACCUCUAUACCACCGUCUCUUCAAGAACGGUGGAUCAGAGGUGAGUGUCCGUCAGCAGCUGAAUCAAUUCCUAAAGGGCACUAAUCACGUCUUCAAAUGGGAAGUCGGAGAUACCAUCAAGAAGCUCCGAAGCCGCGGCCUCUAUUACCCAGCUCUCAAGGUAUCGCAUUUUCGAACAAGUUUAGGUUUAGGGUUUAAGUGUUCAUUACGAACAAGUUAGUCACUGGUACUGAAGCGGAUAAAGAUUCUCUUGAACUAGGUGAUUUUUUAUUGUGAGAUUCAAAUGUAGAGUCUUUUUGGGUUUUUGCAGCUAUCUGAAGUUAUGGAACAUAGAGGUUUGAACAAGACGGUGAGUGAUCAAGCAAUCCAUCUCGAUCUCGUCGCCAAAGCUCGUGGAAUCGCUGCUGGGGAGACUUACUUCGUCAAUCUUCCGGAAACAUCUAAAACCGAGCUCACCUAUGCGUCUCUUUUGAACUGCUACUGCAAGGAGUUGAUGACUGAGAAAGCAGAAGGUCUUCUCAACAAGAUGAAAGAGCUCAACAUUACUGUUAGCUCCAUGUCCUAUAACAGCCUCAUGACUCUUUACACAAAGACAGGACAGGCCGAGAGGGUUCCGGGGAUGGUUCAAGAAAUGAAGGCUGAGAAUGUCAUGCCUGAUUCUUACACGCACAAUGUCUGGAUGAGGGCACUGGCUGCUACUGAUGAUGUUUCUGGUGUCGAGAGAGUCAUUGAGGAGUUGAACAGAGAUGGUAGAGUUGCUCCAGAUUGGACUACAUACAGCAAUAUGGCGUCUAUAUACGUUGAUGCGAGACUGUCUGAGAAGGCUGAGAAGGCACUUCAAGAACUUGAGAUGAAAAACACGGACAGGGAUUUUAAGGCGUAUCAGUUUCUUAUUACAUUGUAUGGACGACUUGGGAAACUGACUGAGGUUUAUAGGAUUUGGCGUUCGUUGAGGCUGGCUAUGCCGAAAACCUCAAAUGUAGCUUAUUUGAACAUGAUACAAGUGCUGGUGAACUUGAAAGAUGUAACUGGUGCGGAGACACUGUUCAAGGAAUGGCAAGCUAACUGUACUACUUAUGACAUCAGGGUUGUGAAUGUGAUGAUUGGAGCUUAUGCAAAAGAAGUUCUCAUUGAAAAAGCAAAAGAGCUCAAGGAGAAAGCUCCGAGAAGAGGAGGAAAGCCGAAUGCUAAAACGUGGGAGAUCUUCAUGGAUUACUAUGUUAAGAGUUGUGAUACGGCUCACGCACUUGAGUGUAUAUCUAAGGCAGUUUCCAUAGGCAAAGGAGAUGGUGGUAAGUGGUUACCAUCACAGGAAGCAAUCAGUAGUUUAAUGAUCCAGUUCGAGGAAAAGAAAGAUGUUAAUGGAGCUGAGAAUUUGUUGGAGAUUUUAAAGAAGGGAACUGAUGAUAGUAUAGGUGCAGAGAUCUUUGAAUCAUUGGUAAGAACGUAUGCAGCAGCAGGAAAGAGUCAUCCUGCUAUGCGCCAGCGUCUGAAGAUGGAAAAGGUUGAGGUUAAUGAAGCGACGCAGAAGCUUCUUGAUGAAUUAUGUCACGAAGAGUGAGUAAAGGUCUCUGUUCAUCUCUCUUCUCCUUCAUAUUUUUCCCUUCAGGGAGGGUACUUGCAUUCUGACAGCUCUGUUUCUUUAAUAAGAAUAGGCUCUUUUUAUAUGAUAGCGAAUACGCAAAUCAAUCUUAUGGGUCUGUUUUACAUUCACAUACGACCGUUUGUUUCAUGUGUUUUCUGUGAAUUGUUUCGAGCCUAGCUUCCAUUUACAGUUAGAGACAACAAAACUCUCUCUCUUUCUCUCUUUUCUAUCCUAAAGUUAGUAAUAAGAUAUAAAGUUUAGUUCUUUAAACUUAAUAAUUAACAUUAUCUCUACACAUGGCACUUAAAAUUUUGAAAUGGUGACAUGUUUGAAAUAUAUCAUAGGUAAUAAGAUAAACUAGAGUUGACCGGCUUUGCACGCACGGGUAUUUAUUUUUAAGUUUUUGUACAUUUAUAUUCAUUUUUCAUCAUUAGUGUUAUAUAUUUUAGAUUUGUCACCAUAUAACUAAUUGUAUUCAAAAGACCUAGACUGUAUCGGGUAAUAAAAUUAUUUUUGGUACAAAUAUCCGAACCCGUUUCAAAUACAUUAGUUAUUUAGAUAUUUAGAUAUUUUUAUGUUCCUACACAUUAGAAUAAAAAUCAUUCAGACCCGGAUGACCCAACUCGAACCCCACACAUAAAUUUAUAAUAUACAAGCGGAGCCUAUUUUCAAAACCCAAAAAAAAUGAUCCCGAAAGAAACAACUUGUACCUGAAUGAAUACUUGAAUGUCCAUAUCGAACGGAUUCUGUAAAUAAAUUAAAAAAAAACUCUUUCUAUAUAUUUGGCUAAAAUAAAGGAAAUAAAAAGAUUUUUUUUAUUUAGUAAAAUAGUUAUACAAAGUAAAACAUUAAGUGACAAGAAAUGUAAUACGUUUUAAUUAUUUUGAUUUAAAUUAUUAUUUUGUUCACAUAAACUAUGACUUUGAAUUAUGUGUUUCGUUACGUAACUUUUCACCGACUGGAACUAACAUAAAUUUUUUUUAGUAAAACAGAUUAAAUCAAACUAUUAACCAUAUGCAAAAUCUGGUUAUUUUACAUUUUUGAUUUUUAUAAUUUGCACAAAUUUAGGGUAUGAAUAGUGAUCAAUGAGCUAGAUAUGAUUUUUAUAAUUUGCACAAAUCAUAAAACAAACCAUAACCAAAACUAUUACACAUGGAGCUAGAUAUCAUUUCUCAACAUAGAUAAGAUUGAAAUCCAUUUGACAUCAUCUAUUUGUACCACUUUGGGCAGAAGACUUUCUGAAGACUUCGUGGGAAGUCGUUAGCAUAAAAUAAAUUAGAAGACUUUCCAUUAAGUCUUCCGAGAGUCUUCUGAGAGUAUUCCUAGAAGUCUUCUAAAGUCUGAUUCAGAUCUGAAAAAUCUGCAUAUUCAAAAACAUUCAAAUGGCUUCAAAACAGAGAAAACUUAAAAAAAUAUUUUUUUAUGCUUAAAUAAUAAACAAAACAAUCACGUUUGGUUGAACCUAUAACUUUUUAGAAUGUAAUAUAUAAAACACAAAAAAUAUAUAUCAAAAAAUUGUACCACUUUGGACGGAAGACUUCCCGAAGACUUCGUGGAAAGUCUUCUAUUAUAAAAUGCAUUAGAAAACUUUCCAAGAAAUCUUCCGAGAAGUCUUCUGAGAAGUCUUUCAAAGUCUGUCUAGAUCUGAAAAACCUGCAAAUUCAAAAACAUUCAAAUAGCUUCAAAAUACAGACAAACUUCAAAAAUAUAAUUUUUAUGUUUAAAUAAUAAACAAAACAGUAACAUUAGGUUGAAUCUAUAGCUUUUUAGAAUCUAAUAUGUAAAACACACAAAAAUACAUAUCCAAAAUUUAUAGAUCUAGUUUGAAUGAGUGAAAGAUGAGAACCAUAUAAUGAAAAACCUACAAAAAGAAGAUAAAUUAAUGAGAAGACAUAAGAAAAAAAAUGAAAAAUAGAUUUAAAGUUUGGUUUUUUGAUGUUUAAAGAGAUUAGAGAGAGGUUGGAGAGUUUUAGAGUAAGAAACAUUACAUUUUUCUUUGCAGCCAUUUGAGAGGAAGAAAGAGAAUGUAUAAAUUUUCUUUAUAUAUGGAAACAAAAAUUCCAAUUAAGUUAAAUAUUUUCGAUACAUAAGACUUUUUGGAAAGUCUUCUAAGAGCCUAAAAUCAAAUAACUAACUAAAUAGCAAAAAAAAAAAACACUUCAUUAAACUUAAAAUCAAAAUUUAAAAUGUUUAAUAUACACAAAACUAAACACAUAUAUGCCAAAUUUAAUUGUUUUCUUUUAAGUUAAGAUUUUCAAAUCUAACCGUAAGAAAAUUAACAAUACUAUAACAUAUGUUAUCAAACCCUAAACCAAAAACUAUCAUGACUCAAUCUACAUUCACUCAUAUAUGUUAAAAAUAAUCCAAUUUUAGUAAAAUUAAAUUUAUACCAUUUAGAAAUGUUUAUAUUUACAUGAUUUAGAUUUUUCUUCCUAUCAAAAUAUAUUUUAUAAAUUACUUUUAAUAUCUAAUACAUGAAAAGACUUCUGGAAAACUUUGUUUUUGACGGAAAACAUAAAUUCUAUUAAAUUUUAUAUGGAAAACCUACAUUCUACAAAAAUUCAGGUGGGAAUAUGUUAGAAGACUUCUUGGGAAGUCUUGUAGAAAUCUUUCACAUCCAACCCUAAUCAAAUAACUAACUAAAUAGCAAAUUCAUUAAACUUAAAAUCAUCUUAUAAAAAGUGUUUCAUAUACACAAAACUAAACACAUGUAAGUAAAACAUUUUGAGUUAAGAUUCCAAAAUCUAACCCUAAAUACAAACAAUACUAUAAUAUAUACAAUACUUUAACAUAUCUUACCAAACCCUAAACCAAAGUCUUCUGGGAGUCCUCCACACCCUAUAAUCAAAUAGGUAAACAAAAAACAUUUCCUUAAACUUAAAAGAAAUUUAGAAAAUGCUUAAACCAAAUUAUUAGAUAGUCACUAAACACGUAUAUGUCAAAUUAAAAAAAAAAUCAAAAGAUAAUAUUUCAAAUCUAACCAUAAAAGCACAACAAUACUAUAACAUAUGUUACCAAAUCAUAAACCAAAGGCUAUCAUGAUUUGAUCUUCAUUCACUCAUCUAUGUUAAAAAUAAUUCAAUUUUAGGAAAAUUAAAUUUUCAUAAUUUAGAAAUGUUUAUUAAUACAUAAUUUUGAUUUUUUUCCUUUUCAAAAUAUUUUUUAUAAAAUUUAUUAAUUACUUUUAAGAUCUAAUACAUGAGAAAACUUCUCCCAGAAGACUUCUAGAAGACUUCGAUUUAGGCGAAAAACCUAAAUAAUUCUAAAAUUUUGGCGGAAACUCUAAAUUCUACUAAAAUUUAGACAAGAUAUGUCCGAAGCAAAAAACACUUCUUUAAACUUAAAAGAUACUUAGAAAAUGUUUAAAUCUAGUUAUUAGUCACUAAACACGUAGAUGUCAAAUUAAAAAAAAAGAUAAGAUUUCAAAAUCUAACCCUAAAAAUACUAACAAUACUACAACAUUUGUUACCAAACCCUAAACCAAAGACUAUCAUGACUCAACAUUCACUCAACUAUGUUGAAAAUAAUUCAAUUUUAGUAAAACUAAAUUUACAUCAUUUAAAAAUGUUUAUUAUUACAUGAUAUCAUUUUUUUCCCCAUCAAAAUAUUUUUUUUAAAAAAAAUUUAAAUUAUAUUUAAGAUCUACCGAACAAGAAGAGAAGACUUACAAAGAAUAAUGGUAAAACUCAAUACAUGUUAUUCUCACGCAGAGGGUUAUAAUGGUAAAACUCAAUACAUGUUAUUUGUUUGGUCUUAAAGAUGUUGUUGUAAUUUCACAAGCCUUUUGAAUUAUUUUUGAAUUUGAUUGAAUUUGAGGUGUUUUUUUGUAUUCAAAAUCAAUUUUGAGUCAUUUUUGACAAUUUUUCUAAAAAAUCUGUGCAACGGCACUGUUCCAUAUUUAGUGAGAAUAUAAUUAACAUAGAUCUAAAGAUUUCAAGCAAUAAUUACAAAUUUUGUUCACUUUUGAACUUUAUUUUAGUUUGGUAUAUAUAUAAAUUUUAUGUAUAAGAUUUUUGUUGUUCAAUAUAAAUAUAUAAUACAAUGUCUAAUAUUUUUAUUUAAAAUAUAUAAGUAAGUGAUUCAUCCGCCGCGCUGUCGCACCUAUCUAAACAAAUUCCACAUUUAUCUGAACAAAUGAAUUUGUACAAUAUAAUUGAAUUAUGAAAGUUAGGUUAAUAUUUUCUUUUCAUCUCUUUAUUAUACUUAUAAAUUUGGGGUUUAUUAUUUACAUUUAUUAAAUUUACACAGUAAGAGUUUAAGUUGAUUAUUGUAUUAUGUUAAUUAGGAUUUUGAUUUGGAUUUAACGCUUCAGAUGGACUAUAUAUUACUCGUGUUUCCGUUACACAGGAUUGUUCAUCAUUCCUUUUUGUUUUCUAUAGUUAGAAAUCAUAUUUACCAUUUCCAUUAAUUUACUCACUUAAUAUAGCAAUUAUUGACAUUUACUUUGGUAAAUCCGGUCAUAUGUCCGUCUAAAUUCGGUCUGUUUCUUUUUCAGUGUCUUCUGUUCACUUUAGUUAUAUUAUGUUUUUUUUUAAUAUGUCUUAUGUUAAUUUCACAUUUUCAAGGAAAAUCAAUGGAGUUAUCGCAAGUACCUUUCUAAAGUCUGCAUUAAGCCUGAGCAUUUUAACAAAAUCUGAAAACCGAACUGAAUGAAAAAAAAAAAAAAAACGAAACCAAAUCAGAAUCGUUAUAAAGAUACCUGUAUGGAGACUAAGAGCUAGGUAUAUUAAGGUUUGGGUACAAUUCUUGAACCAAAAUUGGUAUUAAGAUACGAAAACAUCCGAAUUAGUUUAGUCUAUGAAUUUUUACAUAUAUUAAGGUAAUUUAGAAAUUUUGUAUUUUUUUGUUAUUUUGAAUACUUUUUUGUUAGUUUAAAUAUAUUAACUAUUUUAAUUAGAUUUUUGAAUAGUUUAUAUAUUUUGAGUAUUUUUCAGUUUCGUUAGUUUUAAAAGAUUUUUAGGAGUUCAAACAUAGUUUAUAACCCGAUCUGAAUUGAACCCGGAAGGAAGCGGACAAAUCUGAUCUAAAAAUUAGUAAAACUCGAAUGAGACUUAUGAGCAUACUACCAAAAAUUAGAAUCAACCAAACCGAACCCAAACGGGACACCGAAUACCUACGCCUUGUCUGCACUCAUGUGUCCAUCUUAUAUUGUAUUGUGCUUCUGUCUCUUUUUCAAUUUCGGUGUAGAUACCUUUGUACAUGCUUUCAUCCGAGUAACAUGGCAGGCAUACUUCUGGGGGCAGUAGUCCAGCUGGAAAUUUCUUCCAAGUGAGCGGAAAGAUAAGUGGUAGCAAACUUUCAUUGUAAGUCUUUCCUUUCCCUUUCCUUUUCAUUUUCUAAGUAAUGAAAUAAUCAUCAUAACUAACUACUAAUGUAUUUUCUUAUUUGACUUAUAAGCAUACUACCGAAAAACCAAAUUUGAAGGCUCCUAUAUAUGCCCAAGAAGAGAUAUAGUUUGAUAGGUAGACCUUUGCCAAAAACAAAGUUCAAAUCUCUGCACGCUGCACAUAGAGCUUGAAGUGAUCGACGGAUAAUCGGCUGAAACUAGUGCUGGUCAUAGCUCAAAUCAUAAUCUAUCUAUUAACCCCUUAAGCAUAUACUGUAUACAAUGAUGUCUAUUUAAAAUAUGCUGGAAACUAUCAUCGAACAUUUCAAUCGCUCAUAUAUGCCCUAUCAAAAUAAUCUAUGGUAUAAAUCCGAAUUUGUUUAAUUUGCAUGCAAUAUUUCCUUUAAUUUUGGUUAUUUACCUAAACCCUAUUUACCUAGGAUAGGCCAUCAUUCUCUUGUUAUAAGUACAAAACGUUUGUGUCUCAAAAUAAAUAAUAGAUAAUUUUUUAUUAAUAAUAGAUAAAUAAUAGAUAAAACCUUGAUAAAUAGGUUCUUCUAACUAAAUUAUCAUUAUUUGGCAAGUCUAAGUUUGAGUUUUUGUCCAAAUGGUUUACACGAUAGAUCGUAACUGAUGAUCGAUUCACAUUCUAGCAUUAAUCGGAAGGUACUCCAAACUCGGGUCAAACAGUGUGGUAGCCAGUCCACUUUAUAGCACUAAAUGUGUUUUUCCUGAAACCAACCGGAUCAGCUGAUAUGGUUUAUCAAAAAAACAAAAGGUUCUUCUAAACCUGAAAUGACCCUAACAAAAAAGAGUUUUUGAGACCAUAAAGCAAGAAUUCAUUUUGGGUAUCUAGUUAUAUAAAGAAGAACUUGAAUCCCUCCUAGACUAUACACGUUGACAGCAACGUCAUUAAUUCGCACGCCGACAAGCCGACACGUGUCCCAGUUAAGUGAAACCUAGCACUUCAUUAAACUAUUUGUUACAUGGGUUUUUAUUUGACAUGGACCUUCUUUUUGUUCGAUUAUGCCAAUCCAUCAAGGUGUUUUUCCAAUUGGAAAGGCGGCGUUGAACGUCUUAGGGUUUCUUUUUGCUUCGUCUCCCCCAUUCGAGAAUGAGACAGAAACAAAAUUCUAAGAGAUAUUUCAGCUUCUUAUUGUUAAUUUAUACCAGUUACAGAUUCUCCAUCUUAAAUUCCUUCUUAAAUCAUCACUCACGAUCAACCUUGAAUGCGAGCUUCUUCAUGCAAGGCGGUGGGAUCUCGAUUAUAAAAAGGUAAGUUUUUUCUAUGAAAACCAUCUUCUCAUUCCCUCUAAACAAGACAAUAGACUUAUAUCCAGAAAAUGGCUAACCAGCGAUCUUUCUUGGUUGCAAGUUGUGAGCUUUCAAGUGUUGGAUAAUUCCAAUUAACUUGAGGAGCAAGUUAACUCAUUAAAGUGAAGUUUGAUGGGUUAAGGAAAAAGGAAAACAUAUCGAGCUUAGGAAUGUUUCCAUAUUAUUAUUAGGAAAAGAUGUAGCUUCGCCCUUAGGAAAAGAUGUAGCUUCUUCCUAUAUAAACAGUUCUCAUGGAGAGAUGUUCCAUCAAGAGAAACACAUUGAAAGGUUUAGUUUUGAGAGAGUUUCUAAAUCUAAUAGGAAGAGAAGUUCUUAUAAUCUUUGUGUUUGUGCAACUUUAUCAAGUAUCUUGUGGAUUGACUUUUUCCUUUACUAAUUGGUAUCAGAGCUCCAGGUUUCGAAGGUCGUUUACAAGAGGAGUUGUAACUUCGAUCAAAACAUGGGAGACGAUUCUCAAGCACGUGAUAAAGGUCUUGAGAUGAAGAAGGACAUACGAUGUCCGAUGCUAACAUCGACCAACUACACCGUAUGGUCGAUGCGAAUGAAAGUGAUGCUUCGUUUAUACGAAGUUUGGGAUACGAUUGAUCCAGGGAGUAACGAUGCAAAGAAAAACAAUAUGGCGAUUGCUCUAAUCUUUCAAUCAGUCCCGAAGGCGCUAAUACUUCAGAUUAGAGAACAUGAUACAUCGAAGAAGAUUUGGGAAGCUAUCAAAUCCCGUAACCUAGGUGCUGAUCGCGUGAGAGAAGCAAGGUUACAAACUUUGAUGUCUGAGUUCGACAAACUGAAGAUGACAGACACAGACACGGUGGAUGACUACGCAGGAAAACUUUCAGGCUUAGCAUCGAGAGCAGCCGCAUUAGGAGAGAUAAUGGAAGCAUCAAAGCUGGUAAAGAAGUUUCUGAAGGGACUUCCAAGAACGAAGUUCAUUCACAUCCUAGCUUCGUUAGAACAAGUGUUGGAUCUAAAUUCAACAGGAUUCGAAGACAUUGUUGGGAGAUUGAAGGCUUUCGAAGAACGCAUCAAAGAAGAAACCCAAGAUGAAGAUCAAUCGAAGCUAAUGUUUGUAAAGAAUGAUGCACAAGGUCGUGGAAGCCAUAGCAACUCGCGAGGAAGAGGCAGAGGUAGAGGUUAUGGUGGAAGAGGAAGAGGACGAGGAAGGUCUAAUGGUUCUGAUGGUCAUAACAAAGGAGGAGAAGCUUCGGACAAGACCAAGAAGGACUACUCUAAGGUUAGAUGUUGGCGAUGCGACAAGAUGGGGCACUUCGUGUCACAUUGUCCUACACGACCAAGAGAAGAAGCUAACCUAACGGAAACACAAGAAGCAGAUGCAUUAUAUAUGCAUGAAGUUGUAUUCCUCAACGAAGAGAGAGUGUUUCCUAAGAGGUUUGAUGAAUGCGAUGGAAAUACGAGUAUAUGGUACCUUGACAAUGGUGCAAGUAACCAUAUGACAGGCAAGAGAGAGUUCUUCUCAAACCUAGAUGAGAGCAUCAAAGGCAAAGUCAAAUUCGGUGAUGGAUCAAACGUCGAGAUUGUUGGGAAAGGUUCGAUCACGUUCAUCGGAAAAACAGGGGAGAGAAGAGCACUCAAAGAUAUCUACUACAUCCCAAGUCUUAAACACAAUAUCAUAAGUCUUGGACAAGCAACCGAGAUGGGUUGUGAGGUUAAUAUGAAAGAAGACUUACUGAUGCUGAAAGAUCCCCGUGGAAAGCUAUUAGUACAAGUCGCAAGGCAACCAAACCGAUUGUACAAGACGCCAAUGGAGGUUGAAUUUCCGAAGUGUCUUCAAAUACAAGAAACUGAUGUUACAUGGACGUGGCAUGCACGGCUAGGACAUGUGAACUUUGGAGUCAUGAAGAAUAUGGUAGACAAAGAGAUGGUAGUAGGGAUGCCUCAGGUGAUACACGAGAAAGAUGUGUGCAGCGCCUGCUUAGUUGGGAAGCAAACUCGGAAGUCUUUCCCGCCUAAAGCAAAGUAUCGAGCAUCACACGCAUUGGAGUUGGUACAUGGUGACUUGUGCGGUCCGAUAUCACCAUCAACACCAGCAAACAAUAGAUAUGUAUUUGUCUUAAUUGAUGAUUACUCAAGAUAUAUGUGGACGAUGCUGCUAAGAGAGAAGAGUGAAGCGUUCGAUCGGUUCAAAAAGUUCAAGGAGUACAUGGAGAAUCAAACGAAGCUACAACUCAAGACUUUUCGCACCGAUAGAGGAGGAGAGUUCACAUCUUCUGAGUUCAUUCGUUUUUGUGAAGAAAACGGUGUAACUAGACAUCUCACCGCACCGUAUACACCGCAACAAAAGGGUGUGGUUGAGAGAAGAAAUAGAACACUAAUGGAGAUGACUAGAAGUUUGAUGAAAGCUAUGAAGAUACCUAAUCAGCUAUGGGGAGAAGCAGUACGUCAUUCAACGUAUCUCAUAAACCGCAUUGCUACAAAGGAUUUGGAAGACAAGACUCCAUACGAAAGCUUGUAUGUUAAGAAACCGUACAUUGAGCAUCUAAGGGUUUUUGGAUGUGUAGCUUUUUCAAAAAUCAACAGUCCUCAUCUCAAGAAGCUGGAUGAUCGAUCAAGGAUGGUGAUCAACCUAGGCACAGAGCCCGGCUCAAAAGCUUACAGACUCUAUGAUCCGGUCGCGAAGAAGAUAGUUGUUAGUAGAGAUGUAAUCUUUGACGAGAAGAAAAGUUGGGAUUGGUCCACACUAUCAACAAACGUAGACGAAGAACCAGGAUCAUUCAAGCUUCCUCAUAUUGAUGUUACAGAAGAAGGAGAUGGUGAUGAGCAUCAAGAUCACCAACACCACGAAGAGCAAAACAAUAAUGAAGAAGAAGAAGCUGUAGACGCAGAUGAACAAGAGCAAGUAGUAGAGAACAACGAUGCAAACCAAGACCUGCAUGUAACAUCAAGAUAUGGUCGUAACAUCAAAAAACCAAAGCGGUUCGAUGAUUACAUCCUACUCGCUGAAGUUGAAAGUGGCAGACUCUUGCUCACCAUCGAUGGUGAACAAGAAAUUUACAUCGAAGCUGCAGUAAUACAAGCUUGGAUCGAUGCAAUGAAGGCAGAGAUCGAAUCUAUCAUCAAAAACAAAACCUGGAAGCUCGUCAAGAAGCCGGCAGGUGUGAAACCGAUAGGUUUGAAGUGGAUCUAUAAGACCAAGAGGAAUGCAGAUGGAACGGUGAUCAAAUACAAAGCAAGGCUAGUUGCAAAAGGUUAUGUGCAACAACAAGGCAUAGACUUCGACGAAGUAUUUGCACCAGUUGCUCGGAUAGAAACCAUACGACUACUCUUGGCGUUAGCAGCAACUAAUGGAUGGGAGAUCCAUCACUUAGAUGUGAAAACUGCGUUCCUCAAUGGAGACUUAAAUGAGGAUGUAUACGUUACUCAACAAGAAGGCUUUGUGGAGAAAGGAAAGGAGGAUCAUGUGUACAAACUUAGAAAAGCACUAUACGGUUUGCGUCAAGCUCCGAGAGCUUGGAACAUCAAACUCGAUCGUGUUCUCAAGGAGAUGGAGUUCACGAAGUGCACCAAGGAACCUGCGGUAUAUCAAAAGAAACAGAAGGGGGAGCUUCUGAUCAUAGCUAUAUACGUUGAUGACUUGUUUGUAACAGGGACUUCACUCAACGUUAUCAAGCAAUUCAAAGAUGAUAUGUCAAGAAGAUUUGAGAUGUCAGACCUCGGGAAGCUUACAUACUAUCUUGGUAUAGAAGUAACGCAAGGAGCUGAUGGCAUUCACAUCAAACAAGAAGGAUACUCGCAAGGUAUACUUGUCAAGACGAAGAUGGAGUCAUGUAACUAUACUCAUGUUCCGAUGCACACGAGUUUGAAAGUAUCAAAGGCAGAGGAGGAGCCUGAGAUUGAUGCAACAUCGUAUCGAAGCAUCAUAGGAUGCUUAAGGUAUCUUCUUCAUACACGACCGGACUUGGCGUUUUCGGUUGGUGUAUUAAGCAGAUAUAUGCAGAGUCCAAGUGAGAGUCAUGGAGAAGCAGUGAAGCAUCUAAUACGAUACAUAAAGGGCACUACAGAGUAUGGUCUCUUCUUCAAACGGGAUGGAACAACGGAGAUUACAGGUUACAGUGACAGCAGCCAUAACAUAGACGUUGAUGAUGGAAGAAGCACUACAGGGUUUAUGUUCUACCUAGGAACAUCUCCGAUCACGUGGACAUCGUGCAAGCAACCCACAGUGGCACUCUCUUCAUGUGAGGCGGAGUUCAUGGCAGCUACGGAAGCUGCAAAACAAGCAAUUUGGUUAAAGGAGUUGAUGGUCGAGAUCAUGAACAAAGAAGACAAGAAGGUCGUGUUGAAGAUUGACAACAAGUCAGCGAUAGCCCUCACCAAGAACCCGGUGUUUCACGGUAGAAGCAAACACAUACUCUCGAAGUACCAUUUCAUUCGAGAAUGUGUGGAGUUCGACUUUAUCGAAGUGAAGCACGUACCUGGAGUGGAGCAGAAGGCAGACAUACUCACUAAGCCAUUGGCAAGGAUCAAGUUCGAAGCAAUGCGCAAGUUCAUCGGAGUUCAGAAGAUCAACAUACCUAAGAUUCAAGUUGGAAUUUAGGGGGAGAAUGUUGGAUAAUUCCAAUUAACUUGAGGAGCAAGUUAACUCAUUAAAGUGAAGUUUGAUGGGUUAAGGAAAAAGGAAAACAUAUCGAGCUUAGGAAUGUUUCCAUAUUAUUAUUAGGAAAAGAUGUAGCUUCGCCCUUAGGAAAAGAUGUAGCUUCUUCCUAUAUAAACAGUUCUCAUGGAGAGAUGUUCCAUCAAGAGAAACACAUUGAAAGGUUUAGUUUUGAGAGAGUUUCUAAAUCUAAUAGGAAGAGAAGUUCUUAUAAUCUUUGUGUUUGUGCAACUUUAUCAAGUAUCUUGUGGAUUGACUUUUUCCUUUACGUGGGAUUUGUGAACAUUAGCUACUGAGGAUCUUGGUAAGUUGGAUAGGAAGAUUAAGUUGACUGAAUCCAUUCUCGAAAGCAUACCCUGCACAUUCAUAUUGUUUAUUGAUAUUCAUGUGAACAUGCGACUGAUUGUUUUUUUUUUUUUUUGAACAAAAGCUUUGCAAGAAAGUUUAAAGCUUUGUCUGUGACCUUGCCACACUUAUGUAAGCUGUAUAACUGAUUUCUUUAACUCCGAUGUUAUUUUAUACUUUUCUUCUCUUCGUUUUUGUUCUCUGUUUCUUUUUGUGUGAAUCUAAUUGAUAAAAAUGUUCCUCUUGGACAUGUAGAUUGGUUUUCUGACUGGUGCUUGAAGCCUUGAAGAUUUACCUCUGGUAUAUUGAUUUCUCUUUAUGAAAAAAUUAAUCUUCUAAAAGGAUGAGAGCAGGUAGCUAAAUUCUUUAGCUUUUGAAUAUUUUUAGAUGUUGAAUCUUUUACUGGUUUCUGCUUUGUAGCUCUCAAGCUGUUUUGAUGGUCGUUACAUGUUUUUGGAUCUUGCAGUUGUCAAUUUUCAGAAAAUGAUCAUGCUGUUGGAAGCUCGAUAGAGAGCUGGAAGAUGCAGAGCAAAAGGUCACAAAAUUAGGAAGAACGAUAACAACGUGUGUGAGUGAGUUGUCUAUGAUACAAGAACCGGCAACUAAUGGGGGAAAUAAGCUAUGAGUUGAUAACAUCAAUGCUGACAGAGGUUUUCCUGAGACAGAUUAUCCUGGUAACGAUAUUCCUGGAGCUGGAGCUGUGACAACAAAGCUCUCUUAAGGUGUGACCAGGGACAUUUUGUAUACCAAGCUUAUACGGAGAAUCACAUCAUCCAUGGCACUACCAAUAGGUCCAUAAAUACAAAGCACCCGGUUGUGGUCAGUGGUUCAGACACGGAAGAGACUUCUAGGUUAUUUAAUUUUUGUGAGAUGAUCUACCCGGGAAGACAUCAUGCCGUAUCAUUUUAUUAGAACAACACAAAUUUUCUUUUGCUGCCUUUUUGUUUGAAUUCGCUUUUGACCAUUACCUUAUGUGCAUGUUCUCCCAACAUAUCAACGAUAUUUUUUAAUUGUAUAGAGAUCUUUACUUUUGUGGUAUUAUCAAAUUCUUUUGUUAGUUGCCAAACAACCUCUUCUUCUUUUUUUAUUCGAACUGAAAUUGACUUAGAAGGUAAUCUACUCGGUCUCUAAUGGAAGCCAUUUAUAAACAUCAAAACCUUUUUUUAUAAAGAAAACAGAAACAACUCCAAUGGCUUUGGAUAAGGGUUUAAUAAACACCAAUUUUUUUUUAAAAAAAAUUGAUAAACACCAAUUUCAUAUACUAAGAAGAUAAAAUAAGUUAGAAACCUUUUUGUAUUCAAGAAAAAAAAGAAGGAAUAAACCUAUUUAAUAUCAGAUUAAGUUACUGCUUGACGAAUUUAAUAAAAAAACAUAUGCAUUUUGUUUUUGAAAUGAUGAAAGCUUUGAGAGCUACUGCCUCCCCUAAAUCACUAUGAAGAUAUUUCUCUAUCCAAGAUAAUCAUGUUUUGAGAUGGACGCACAUUCUGAGAUCAACUAUAAAAUCCAUUCACAAAUAUAACACCCACAAUGAGAUAGCUACAAUUAUCUUUUAUUCGUCAAAAACAAAAUAUGCCACCCGACAAAAAAAGAAAAAUAUCUUACCAAAAGAGAAAAUAUUUAAAUACAUUUUACAUUUGAUAAAAAUAAUUUUCACAAAAAGAGAAAAUAUUUAAAUACAUUUUACAUUUGAUAAAAAUAAUUUAUACAUAUAUAUAUAUAUAUAUAUUUCAUCCAUGAAUAAUCCUGUUAGGUUCAGUAUAAAAUGGACUUUUAAAAAAUCAGUCCAAUAUAAAAUCUAUUACCGAAUAAUAUGACUGGUAGAACUAGAAACGACUUCCAAAUUCUUCUAUGCACGAAUAUUUCUUUCUAAAGUCUCUGAGUCACCUAGAGAGACUUUUUUUUUGACACAUCUUACACUUCAAAAUCUGAUCGUACGAAUUUGAGAUUUUUUGCAAAAAAAAUCAAGAAUCAAAAAUAAAAUAAAAAGAAAGAUUUGUACUUGGAAAAAAAAAGACAAUCUUUUAAAGUCGGCACAUGCUGAGUCUCCAAUGUCUGUGAAUAAUACUGAAAGAUAAUUUAAGACGGUAACAGACGAUCGGUUCACCCCCUGGCAUUAGUCGGAAGGUAUUCCAAACUCUAGAUCAUGCAGUGUAGUAGCCAGUCCAGUCUGUAGCACUAAGUGUGUUCCUCCCGAGACCGACCGGAUCACCCGAUAGGAUUUAUCAAAAAAAAAAGUAUAAGAAACAAAAAAAAUUAGAUUUACAUUAAGGUUACAACUUACAACAACUAUUGGUUGAAUGUUUCUUUGCUAAAAAUAAUCGAGAUGACAAGUCAUUAGAAGUUAAAUUUGAACGAAAUUUAAAACAAUAAAUUUUAAUAAUUAAUUACGUUUUUGAUUUCUUAAUUAAAUAGUCAAAUAGACAAAUUAUCAUGUUAAAAAUAUAAAAAUUAAUUUUAUAUUUAGUUCAAAAUGAAUUAUAUAUUUUAACUUUUUGUAUAUUUGUUUACCCGCCGUAGGACGGGUUUUGCCCUAGUUGAUAAUAAAAGAGGAAUGGGUUACUNNNNNNNNNNNNNNNNNNNNNNNNNNNNNNNNNNNNNNNNNNNNNNNNNNNNNNNNNNNNNNNNNNNNNNNNNNNNNNNNNNNNNNNNNNNNNNNNNNNNNNNNNNNNNNNNNNNNNNNNNNNNNNNNNNNNNNNNNNNNNNNNNNNNNNNNNNNNNNNNNNNNNNNNNNNNNNNNNNNNNNNNNNNNNNNNNNNNNNNNNNNNNNNNNNNNNNNNNNNNNNNNNNNNNNNNNNNNNNNNNNNNNNNNNNNNNNNNNNNNNNNNNNNNNNNNNNNNNNNNNNNNNNNNNNNNNNNNNNNNNNNNNNNNNNNNNNNNNNNNNNNNNNNNNNNNNNNNNNNNNNNNNNNNNNNNNNNNNNNNNNNNNNNNNNNNNNNNNNNNNNNNNNNNNNNNNNNNNNNNNNNNNNNNNNNNNNNNNNNNNNNNNNNNNNNNNNNNNNNNNNNNNNNNNNNNNNNNNNNNNNNNNNNNNNNNNNNNNNNNNNNNNNNNNNNNNNNNNNNNNNNNNNNNNNNNNNNNNNNNNNNNNNNNNNNNNNNNNNNNNNNNNNNNNNNNNNNNNNNNNNNNNNNNNNNNNNNNNNNNNNNNNNNNNNNNNNNNNNNNNNNNNNNNNNNNNNNNNNNNNNNNNNNNNNNNNNNNNNNNNNNNNNNNNNNNNNNNNNNNNNNNNNNNNNNNNNNNNNNNNNNNNNNNNNNNNNNNNNNNNNNNNNNNNNNNNNNNNNNNNNNNNNNNNNNNNNNNNNNNNNNNNNNNNNNNNNNNNNNNNNNNNNNNNNNNNNNNNNNNNNNNNNNNNNNNNNNNNNNNNNNNNNNNNNNNNNNNNNNNNNNNNNNNNNNNNNNNNNNNNNNNNNNNNNNNNNNNNNNNNNNNNNNNNNNNNNNNNNNNNNNNNNNNNNNNNNNNNNNNNNNNNNNNNNNNNNNNNNNNNNNNNNNNNNNNNNNNNNNNNNNNNNNNNNNNNNNNNNNNNNNNNNNNNNNNNNNNNNNNNNNNNNNNNNNNNNNNNNNNNNNNNNNNNNNNNNNNNNNNNNNNNNNNNNNNNNNNNNNNNNNNNNNNNNNNNNNNNNNNNNNNNNNNNNNNNNNNNNNNNNNNNNNNNNNNNNNNNNNNNNNNNNNNNNNNNNNNNNNNNNNNNNNNNNNNNNNNNNNNNNNNNNNNNNNNNNNNNNNNNNNNNNNNNNNNNNNNNNNNNNNNNNNNNNNNNNNNNNNNNNNNNNNNNNNNNNNNNNNNNNNNNNNNNNNNNNNNNNNNNNNNNNNNNNNNNNNNNNNNNNNNNNNNNNNNNNNNNNNNNNNNNNNNNNNNNNNNNNNNNNNNNNNNNNNNNNNNNNNNNNNNNNNNNNNNNNNNNNNNNNNNNNNNNNNNNNNNNNNNNNNNNNNNNNNNNNNNNNNNNNNNNNNNNNNNNNNNNNNNNNNNNNNNNNNNNNNNNNNNNNNNNNNNNNNNNNNNNNNNNNNNNNNNNNNNNNNNNNNNNNNNNNNNNNNNNNNNNNNNNNNNNNNNNNNNNNNNNNNNNNNNNNNNNNNNNNNNNNNNNNNNNNNNNNNNNNNNNNNNNNNNNNNNNNNNNNNNNNNNNNNNNNNNNNNNNNNNNNNNNNNNNNNNNNNNNNNNNNNNNNNNNNNNNNNNNNNNNNNNNNNNNNNNNNNNNNNNNNNNNNNNNNNNNNNNNNNNNNNNNNNNNNNNNNNNNNNNNNNNNNNNNNNNNNNNNNNNNNNNNNNNNNNNNNNNNNNNNNNNNNNNNNNNNNNNNNNNNNNNNNNNNNNNNNNNNNNNNNNNNNNNNNNNNNNNNNNNNNNNNNNNNNNNNNNNNNNNNNNNNNNNNNNNNNNNNNNNNNNNNNNNNNNNNNNNNNNNNNNNNNNNNNNNNNNNNNNNNNNNNNNNNNNNNNNNNNNNNNNNNNNNNNNNNNNNNNNNNNNNNNNNNNNNNNNNNNNNNNNNNNNNNNNNNNNNNNNNNNNNNNNNNNNNNNNNNNNNNNNNNNNNNNNNNNNNNNNNNNNNNNNNNNNNNNNNNNNNNNNNNNNNNNNNNNNNNNNNNNNNNNNNNNNNNNNNNNNNNNNNNNNNNNNNNNNNNNNNNNNNNNNNNNNNNNNNNNNNNNNNNNNNNNNNNNNNNNNNNNNNNNNNNNNNNNNNNNNNNNNNNNNNNNNNNNNNNNNNNNNNNNNNNNNNNNNNNNNNNNNNNNNNNNNNNNNNNNNNNNNNNNNNNNNNNNNNNNNNNNNNNNNNNNNNNNNNNNNNNNNNNNNNNNNNNNNNNNNNNNNNNNNNNNNNNNNNNNNNNNNNNNNNNNNNNNNNNNNNNNNNNNNNNNNNNNNNNNNNNNNNNNNNNNNNNNNNNNNNNNNNNNNNNNNNNNNNNNNNNNNNNNNNNNNNNNNNNNNNNNNNNNNNNNNNNNNNNNNNNNNNNNNNNNNNNNNNNNNNNNNNNNNNNNNNNNNNNNNNNNNNNNNNNNNNNNNNNNNNNNNNNNNNNNNNNNNNNNNNNNNNNNNNNNNNNNNNNNNNNNNNNNNNNNNNNNNNNNNNNNNNNNNNNNNNNNNNNNNNNNNNNNNNNNNNNNNNNNNNNNNNNNNNNNNNNNNNNNNNNNNNNNNNNNNNNNNNNNNNNNNNNNNNNNNNNNNNNNNNNNNNNNNNNNNNNNNNNNNNNNNNNNNNNNNNNNNNNNNNNNNNNNNNNNNNNNNNNNNNNNNNNNNNNNNNNNNNNNNNNNNNNNNNNNNNNNNNNNNNNNNNNNNNNNNNNNNNNNNNNNNNNNNNNNNNNNNNNNNNNNNNNNNNNNNNNNNNNNNNNNNNNNNNNNNNNNNNNNNNNNNNNNNNNNNNNNNNNNNNNNNNNNNNNNNNNNNNNNNNNNNNNNNNNNNNNNNNNNNNNNNNNNNNNNNNNNNNNNNNNNNNNNNNNNNNNNNNNNNNNNNNNNNNNNNNNNNNNNNNNNNNNNNNNNNNNNNNNNNNNNNNNNNNNNNNNNNNNNNNNNNNNNNNNNNNNNNNNNNNNNNNNNNNNNNNNNNNNNNNNNNNNNNNNNNNNNNNNNNNNNNNNNNNNNNNNNNNNNNNNNNNNNNNNNNNNNNNNNNNNNNNNNNNNNNNNNNNNNNNNNNNNNNNNNNNNNNNNNNNNNNNNNNNNNNNNNNNNNNNNNNNNNNNNNNNNNNNNNNNNNNNNNNNNNNNNNNNNNNNNNNNNNNNNNNNNNNNNNNNNNNNNNNNNNNNNNNNNNNNNNNNNNNNNNNNNNNNNNNNNNNNNNNNNNNNNNNNNNNNNNNNNNNNNNNNNNNNNNNNNNNNNNNNNNNNNNNNNNNNNNNNNNNNNNNNNNNNNNNNNNNNNNNNNNNNNNNNNNNNNNNNNNNNNNNNNNNNNNNNNNNNNNNNNNNNNNNNNNNNNNNNNNNNNNNNNNNNNNNNNNNNNNNNNNNNNNNNNNNNNNNNNNNNNNNNNNNNNNNNNNNNNNNNNNNNNNNNNNNNNNNNNNNNNNNNNNNNNNNNNNNNNNNNNNNNNNNNNNNNNNNNNNNNNNNNNNNNNNNNNNNNNNNNNNNNNNNNNNNNNNNNNNNNNNNNNNNNNNNNNNNNNNNNNNNNNNNNNNNNNNNNNNNNNNNNNNNNNNNNNNNNNNNACUUGAUGUCUUAUGCUUAAUGAAUGUGAGAGUUGGUUGAUUUGAAUGUGUGGAUGCUUGAUGAUGAGUAUAAGGGCAAAAAGGAGUUGAGAUAGGCCUAGAGAAGCUAGAGUGUAAUAAGAGAGUGUGCUCAUGUUGGAUUAGAUGUUGAAUUGAGUGCUAGUUGUGUUUCUUUUGGCUAAGAGCUCCCAUCUUCAAACCUCUCUCCCUAUGAGUUCUAGAAAUUUCACUUGUGGACAAGUAAAAGAACAAGUUUGGGGGAGUUGAUAUCUUGCAUAUUUGCAUUGUUUUAUCCAUUCAUUCAUAAACAUUUUCAUCAUAGAGAUUAGGAUAUAGACAUGUUUAGGUUGCAUUUUGCAUACAUGAGUCUCUAUUAGGUACUGGAGUGCCACAUGGAGUUCUUGGGGACAUUUGGAGCUCAAAGGCGGUGAAAUAGGUGAUCAUUAAACGAGCAGAGCAUGGGAGCGACCUCCUGGAGCGACAUCACGAAGUCGCUGUGUCCCACCUCUCAGAGGGACCUUCCUAAAGCGACGCCAUGAAGUCGCUCGCGUUCUCGUUACUCCGAACAGUCUUAGAUGACCCUGGAGCGACCUCUCAGAGCGACCUACCAAGGUCGCUCCCGAUCCAGAGCGACCCGUUGGAGCGACGCACCAAAGUCGCUCGCAACCAUCGGCCUUGGAGCGACUUGCCCAGAGCGACGCACCGAGGUCGCUCGCAUCUCACACCCCUCUCGGAGCAACCUCCCAAAGCGACACCCCGAGGUCGCUCGCGUCUCUAUGGCGAGACGACACGAAGCGAAGCCCGGAGCGACCUCUCAGAGCGAUCCACUGAGGUCGCUCCCGAAGGCCAGAGCGACCUCUCGGAGCGACAUGCCGAGGUCGCUCCGCGUCUAUUGUUGGGUCGAUUUCUAUUUUACUUAAGGGCCUUUUGGUCAUUUCAUUAUGCACGUUUUUAUUUUCUAAACCUAUGUUUUUAUACUCUGUAAGCCACCAGGAGGAGAUUAUCUUUUUGGAUCUAUUGAGAAAGACACAAAAACUCUCUUGAGAAGUUCAUCUCUUGGAUUUUGAUUGUUAUGUUCUUGUGUUCUUGUUGAUUUCUUAUCUAUUUCUUUACAUGAUUAAUCUGAAAUCCAAUAUGGGUUUAAGAGGAAUCAUAGAGAUUAGUGAGUAAUCACCUUUUGAAUUCAUGGGUUAGGGAGAUCAAGGGUGAUUAGGUUAGUUCUAGAAUGUUUUAGUGUAAAUAUUUCUUGUUCCUUGCUAGUAGAGUAUUCAUAAUGCAUCUUCUGAGUUGGCCACUCAAAAGUUGAUCAAUAGGCAUUUCCCACCCGAAAGGUGUUUGAUGAAAUGCCUGAGACAACUCUCCUAGGCUUUUAGUAUACUUUGCCAAAGACAUUUGUUGUUAAAGAUGCUAAGAUAGCUAAUAGACUUGUUAGUAAUGAUUGCUUUCAUAUUAUUCAACCAAAGACAUUUGAUGUUUGAGAUGUGUUAGCAAAUGAGCAUUCAUCUAGACAUAGAGCUUGCUUAGAAUUGUGUCUAGGCUUAAGGUUGAUAGUUUGAUUGAUCAUUUGCCAUCCUUAGUUCGAUACUUGAUCACCCAAGGUCUAAUCCCUAUGCCCAUGAGUUCUCUUUUCCCUUAGUCAAGAAAGUAUCAUUCUGUUAUUGCUUUCUAGUUUUAGUCAUAGCUUAAAACCCAUUUAAAUCAUUGGUUGCACUUAGAUUAAGUGAGUACUUGCAUUCUCAGUGCUUUGAUAUCCCUCAGAACUGGUUCGACAAUCACUAUACUACAACAUUUGUCUUAGGAGCUUGAAAACUCCUAACAUCAAUUCCCCCACGAUUUUAUAAUAUCUUGAGCCAACUACGGGUGAUUUGUUUAAGGCCAGAUAUGCGGAUUAUCAUUUUAAUGAAUCCGAACAUCCGACCUUAUGGGGAGAUAGCAGCAAAAUGAUAAAAGAAAUUUCAUGAAAUCAAACAUCCAUUUCUUGGCAAGAUCCUCGAACUCAAGUGUGUGAUCUUGAAGUUCAAAAGAUUAUACAUUUACAAAAGCUAGCUAAUCAAUUGCCAGAUUCCUUUGCUGACCCGAAAAGUGUGACCAAGUCAUACAUACCUGCUGCUAAUGCACCAAUAAGAUAUGAUGUUCAAGAGGGACACAAUCAAGUUGCUACAGAGUCUAGCCAGCGUGUGAAACGUGGUAGACCAAUAGGUUCCAAAGAUAAGAACCCUCGGAAAAUAAAGAAAGGUGCAACCGAGGUUCAUUAGACACCAGACAGGGCCGCGGCUGAUCAAGCCCGUGAUGUGGCUGCGACCAACCCGGCUUUAGACAUGGCCGGAUCUGAUGCCACUAAAGUGGCCGGCCCUGAUGUGCCAAACAAUGAUUCUUGGGACGCCAAGAUUUAUGGUACUGAUGGUGCAGAUAAUAAUGAGAUCUCAAUGAAUUAUGUCUUGUCUGGGAAACAGUGGAACAUAAAACAUGUCAACAUGGAUGAUUUAUUUGCUUAUGAAGUAGCACUUGAACUUAUGGAUAAUGAGGAUCAAGAACCCACGUCUAUGUAUGCAUGCAUGCCAAGAUCAGAUUGGCUUAAGUGGAAAUAAGCCAUAAAUGUGGAGUUAAAAUCACUGAGAAAGACAGGUGUGUUUGGUCCAAUAAUCCGAACACCUCAUGAUAUUAAACCAGUGGGAUACAAAUGGGUCUUUGUGAGGAAGAGAAAUGAGAAUGGUGAAGUCAUGAGGUAUAAAGCCCGGCUUGUUGCACAAGAAUUCUCACGGAGACCUGGAAUAGAUUAUGAGGAGACAUACUUCCCUGUGGUGGAUGCUACGACCUUCAGAUUUUUGAUAAGUCUGGCCGUAAGAGAGGGUCUGAAUUUGCGGUUAAUGGAUGUUAUAACCGCAUACCUUUAUGGUCCACUGGAUAAUGACAUUUAUAUGAAAGUCCCAGAGGGUAUUGAAUUGAAAAACAAAGAGAGUUCUCGAGACCAACAUUUUAUUAAGUUGGAAAAACCUCUUUAUGGACUGAAACAAUCUAGACGGAUGUGGUACAAUAGACUCAGUGAGUACCUAGUAAAAGAGGGAUAUAGAAAUGACCCUAUCAGUCUAUGUAUUUUCAUAAAGAAAUUUGAAAAUCAUGGGUUCGUGAUCAUAGCUGUGUAUGUUGAUGAUCUGAACAUCCUUGGAACCUCUGGUGAGAUUUCCCAAACAGUUGAAUACCUUAAGAAAGAAUUUGAGAUGAAAGAUCUCGGGAAAAAAAAAUUUUGUUUGGGAUUACAGCUUGAGUACAUAAGUGAUGGUAUCCUUGUGCAUCAGAAGGCAUACAAAGAGAAAGUACUCAAGAGGUUUAACAUGGCCGAUUGCCAUCCUCUGACCAGUCCCAUGGUCGUGAGAUCACUCGGCCCGGACACUGACCCAUUCCGUCCCAAGAUGGACGAUGAGGAUGUCCUAGGUCCUAAAAUGCCAUAUCUCAGUGCCAUAGGAGCUUUAAUGUACUUGGCAACUCAUACACGGCCUGAUAUAGCCUUUGCCGUGAAUCUACUGUCCACGUUCAGCUCCUGUCCGACCCUAAGGCACUGGAACCAGAUCAAACAGGUUCUUCGUUACCUACAAGGAACGAAAGACUUGGGUCUGUUUUAUACUAACCAUAGUAAGGAUGGUUUAGUUGGCUUUGCCGACGCUGGAUAUUUAUCAGAUCCACAUCAAGCUCGAUCACAGACACGAUAGGUCUUUAUACAUGGAGGUACAGCCAUAUCAUGGCGUUCCAUGAAACAGACCAUCGUGGCCACAUCAUCCAAUCAUUCGGAAAUACUAGCCAUUCAUGAGGCCAGCCGCGAGGUUGUUUGGUUGAGAUCGAUGAUCCAACAUAUCCGAUCAGAUUGUGGGAUGGUCGAAUGCAAAGAGCCGACCAUUAUCUUCGAGGACAAUGCGGCUUGCAUAGCUCAGCUCAAAGAUGGUUAUAUCAAAGGGGAUAGGACAAAACAUAUUUUGCCUAAGUUCUUCUUUACCCACGAUUUGCAAAAGACCGGAGAGGUCAAAGUGAUCCAAGUACGGUCUAGUGAUAACUCUGCCGAUUUAUUUACUAAGGCACUUCCGACCUGUACAUUCAGGAAGCUCACGCAUCAGAUUGGGAUGCGUAGGCUGAAAGACCUCCACCGAGGUUCUCAUCAGGGGGAGUAGUACAUGUUGUACUCUUUUUCCUUCAUCAUGUUUUUGUCCCACUUGGUUUUUCAUGAUAAGGUUUUAAUGAGGCAACAUUAAGCGUAUUACAAUCCAUGUAUGGUUAUGGCAUCCAAGGGGGGUGUUAUAAAUCAAUUGAUGGAUGUCCAUAACCGGCCCGAUCAUAAACCGGCCCAUCCGUAGGAGAGAGAGAGAGGAGAGAGAGUCGGCCUACUGAGGAGAGAGAGAGGCGGCCACAUGUUUCAUUUUCCUUGUUUGAUUAGGAAUUUCAUUUCUUUGUAAUCUUUCCAUAUUAUGUAUUAGUAGUCUUUCUUAAAUCCUAGUUGGUUUAGGUUUUGGAUACUUUCCUUUUUACUUAUCUUGUAAUCCCCUAUAUAAAGGGAACACUUAUUCAUUAAUGAAAUACAGAAACAUUCAGCUCUAAAUCUAUUGUUUCACAACAAUUUACCUACAAUCUGUGUUCUACUCUUUCCUCUUCGUUAAAAGAAAUGAUUAAUAAGAUACCAACGUAUUUUUUUGGUAAAACAAGGCACCAGCUUUCACUUCUUUCUUUGUUUAAUUUUCUAAUGAAAACUAAAGCUUGAUUUCUUUUUGUUCAAUUCUUUAAUUACAAGAAUCUAAAGCUUGAUUUAUAACAUUAAUUUUUAAACGCAUAUAUUUACCAACACAUGAAAUGUUAUGCCUUUCAUAUAUUAUGUUAUAUCUUACUUAUAAUUUCAUAAUAUAUUUUCCUUUAUCAGCUCAUAUAUAAUUACCAAAAUCAAAUUUAUAUAAUACUCAAAUAAAAAAAAAUCUAUAUUCUUGAAAUCUAUAUUUGUUUGAGAUCUAACAAUGUUUAAAAUGUACCUCACUAUUGUUAUUAUUUAUUUACUAUAUAUCUAAAAAAUGGUACAAUAAAAUCUAAAAUAUUUUGAAAAACAAACAGAUUUCAGAAUAUGAAAAUAGAUUACAGUUAUUACAGUUAAUACAUUCAAAUAAAUAGAGAUGGUAAAUAAACAUAUUAACUCAUUCAUAUUCAUAUUCAUAUUAAAACAACCUUUGAUCAAUACAAGACAAGUUAAAAAUGAAUGAUCUCAUUUGAGUUAUAAAUUAUUAGAAAUAGAACUAUAAACAAUUUUAAACAAGUUUAAUAAAAUAAAAAUAAAAAUAAUCAGGCUUUUUGAAAGUGUAGAUCAAAAUUUAAUAUUCAUCAUAAUGGAAUAUGAAUAAUGAACCUAAUCACACAAGAUCUUAUUAAUACUUUAAUAAAAUAACAUGAAUAUUAUUUUAAAAAAGUUUCCAAAAUCGUCGACUAUUAAUAUAUUACUAAAUAUAAAAUAAAUUCAGUUACUAAGUAAAUAUUUUUAAAAAUACUAAAUAAUUAUUUAUUUUAAAAUUUUCAGAAAUAUAAAUAAAAUUACUAAAUAAUUAUUUAUUUUAAAUUUUUCAUAAAUAUAAAUAAAAUUACUAAAUAAUAUUUUAUAUUUCAAUUUAAAUAUAAAUUAUACAUAUGUAAAUAUUCAAUAAAAAUAAUACAUAAUUUAAAUACAAAAUAAUCUUCAGAUAUGUCAUGUCAUUCAUAUAUCAAUUCGUUUAAUAAUCAAAUGCAAAUCCAAUAAAAUAAAAAUAUAAUAAAAAUGAAAAAUACAUGUAACAGUUUGAAACAAUUAACUAAGUUUCAUAUAAAAUAUAAAAUUGUUAUGUUUUAAAGGGUCAUAUACAAAUUUAAAAAUAUAUACUGCUAAUGAUAUAUAUAUAUAUAGAUGUGAAAAUAAAUACCCGUGCGGUUGCACCGGUCAAAAUCUAGUAAAGGUUAAAAUCGAAAAUACAUCUACUUAAUUCAGCCAAUCAAAAUGUUUUCUUCUUUUCCUUCUCUUUCCUAUUCGAACCUCCUUAUUCUCUCUCCUUAUUUUCUCUCCUCGACGAUGACCACCAUUGUUUCUUGAAUAUUUUCUUGAUUCAAUUCAAACAUAGCACCACAUUUAAGCCAUUCUAUACGAAUAAGGAGUUUUAAUCUCCAAAUUCAGGUAAUUUAUUCUUUGUAUUAUUUUUUUCUAGCUUAAAUCUAUAGUUGUAUCCACCAUUGAUGUUGUGUUUGUUAAUUGUAGAUGUGAAAUCGAUUUCAUAUGAGUGUUAAUAAUUAACUAAUUGAGCAUUAUUUGGGAGUUAUGUUUAGUUGAUCCAUUAAAAAAAUAAAUUGAUAAUUAAUAAGAAAAUUGGUUGAAUCAAAAGAAAUUUUGUCAGAUUAGUGUUUUCUUAUGAAGAACAAGAUGGUAGAACUUAGUAUAAGUAUAUAAGAGUAAAUGGUACAGUUUUAUUUAACUAUAACCGUAUAACUUGUAGAACUAGGUAAAACUAUGACCAUCCAACUUGUAGAAAUAUGUAAACUUAUGACCGUCCAACUGGUAUAACUUGGUAUUAUUUCAAUCGUAAAACUGUGAGCUUUGUGGGGGCUUCAAGUUUGGACAGAGUUGUCUUUGAAUAGAGCGAAGAACAUUUCUUUAGGUGACUCUGAGAAUGCUCUUGAGCUGCUUCUUCGAUCUUAAUUUACAAUUGCCAUGUUGACCAAUUUUGAGUUCAAUGCAUGCUACUCUCGGUCAAGGUAAAUCACUAUUUUUACGACUGGUGGUCAUACAAUAUAGUCAUCGGUUUUUCUUCUUCUUUUUUGUAAAACAGUCGGUGGUUUUUCUAGUUUUCAUAAACUUUAUGUCAUUCUAGGCUUUCAAAGUAUCGACCCAUCACCAUCCGACGACAAUUUGAAUGUUUGGCCUCCCAAGUUUAAAGGAGUGGUCAUUGGCAUAUAAAUUCUAUUGUUGGCAAUUACAAGUUUGAUUUGGAAUAUCUUGAUUUAGUAUAUAAUUUUUAAAAUACCGUUUUUACUUUGAGCUUUUUAAAACAACAUAUAUGCAAAUACACACACACACACAUAUAUAUAUUUAUUUACUUAUUUAUUUAUUUAUUUCUUAUUUGAAUUACUUCAAAAAUACCAGGUUAUUUGGAUGUUCCAAUAUUUCAAAUCCCGGUUAGCAAAAUGGUCUAGCGGACUAUUAAAGGUUUUAUCCAGAUUAAUUUUGUAAUACAAAAACCAUUUUCCGGCUGUUACUGGCAUCAUCCGGUUAAGCUAUGUAAUAUCUGAUAAUCAAACUUCAUCUCCAUCUCAAUGUACUCUUUAUCUGACAUAAUGCAAUUGUUACCAGUUCUUUUCGGUGCCAGCAGGCAAAAUCUCUGUUAAUUAACAAAAUGAUAUUGAUGGUUAUUACAUGUUUAAUCUUGAUAUAUAUGUAUUAUCCAGUUAUGUGACCCCACACAUAAAUGUUACUCCAUAUAUUCUAAUACCAUUAUUUUUUUUGUUUUGUUUUGUGGGGGUAUUUAAUACAGGAGAGAAUGAAGUUUUAAUUUCUGAGGAACUCUUUGUGAAUAAUAAUUGCUAUUAUUAACAAUUGUUGUUGUUUUUUGGUAUUUAUGUUAUACUUUUUUUUGGCAACGAAUUGUUGACUAAAGAGUAAUAAAUUUCUCUGCCUUUCUUUGUUUGAUAUUUUUAGUUAUAUUCAUUCAAUUAUUGAUUCUUAUGAGUUAGAAAUUAAUGGCCGGAGAAAAAAAUUAUCUAGUUAGAUUGUUAUGUAGAAAAAUGGUUAACAUGAUUUUACUUUAACCGAUAAUUUAAAAGUGUUUUUUUCAUACCAACCCGAACAACUUUGUAAAGCCCUGCAUUCCCACCAGUGUUUCAGAGCAUUUUUAAAUUAACUUUUUUUGAGAGAUUCAUUGAUCACCAAAGUGCCCCAAAAAAAAAACAGCGAAACACCCGUUAGAACUUUUGGUAAAACCGCAAGUGAUUUGCAGCUGUAACUUCUCCAGCUUCACAUUAAACACAUGCUUGUCCUUCUUUUCCUCUGCUUUUCUGGUUCCAGCCUCUUGUUUUGCUCUCUCCCUCAUGCCUUAGAACGAAAUCAUUUGCUGUUUUGCUCGAACGCUGGGGUCUAGAACCAUAUGAAUAUUGCUGGAAUAAACGCACUUGCACAGACCAUUUUACUUGGGUUGCAUUGGCGAAAAUGAACGUUCCUGCAAAUUGAUACUUCAUUACUCUACAGCUCUGCUACCAUACAAAGCCAACCUAAGAUUAUUUCAAGUGACACAAAAAGAAUUUUACAAUUCUACAAAUCUACACAACUCUCCCUUGUUAUAUAAAGAGGACAACUUUAGAUUUAUGGGUUACUAAAUGAUGUUAUUGAUCAAUGCAAAGAGAUCUAAAUUUACAGAAUGAGAAUGAUUAUGCUUACACGAUGAACACGAUAUGGUCGAAGAUUAAGCCUUUACAUCUAACUGAUAUGGCGGAGUGCACUCAACUUGAUUAGGUGACUCGGUUAUCUCAUCCAAAGUGGUUGAAUCAUUGAACCGAAUCACAUAGCUGGUGAGACAGUGGACUUUGACGGUGGCUAGCAUGAGCAGGCCUGAAUAUGAGUGUCGCCUGAAAACAGAAAAAACCGAAAUCGUAAUCAACAAACAUAUCUAGUUGAUACCAUCUCUAAAUGAAAACAGAAUUUUGAUAACUCUGAAUUUAAACGCCGCUGUGUAUUAUGAAACUACAAUGAAAUUGAGUUAGCCAUAAUACUGAGAAAGAAGUUUCUCUUGUCAGAUUAGUAAGAUGGUGAUGAUGAUGUUCAUGGGUUCGAGACUGACCUUUUUAUAGGUGGACUUCCACCGCCUUUAAGGAGCACUGAGUGAGGAACCAUGGUUUGCGUGGGUCCAAGGAGUUAAGAAGGCUUUUAAUGGCAAUGGAACACUUGAUUACGAAACGAAUGGGGAGAUGUAUAGAAGAAGAAACGACGGGAAGGGAGAUCGACACAGAGAUUCCAGAACCUCCAUUGUAGUUUGUUCUAUUCCAGGAUAUGAAGAACCCAUCAUCGAAGAAGGAUAUCGUGGAAACGUUGCGACUUUUGUGUGUUGAUUUUGUAAGCCCAAAUAUUGAAGCUCAUAAACAUACCAACCAAAAAAUAAAACAAAGAACAAUCUCGUUAGGCCCACUACAACCAAACGAAACGAAAGCAACGGAACUGAGUUGACACGUGUCACUCUCUCCUUAUCUUAUUUGCUGACGUGGCAACACUAGAGUAGAGAAAAACUCUUUAUAAUAAUAGAAGAUUUAUUUCUAAUUAAACGUGAAUAAGUCCAAAACUUAAAUGACAACAUUUGUAAGUAUAUAAAAAAUAAAACAUUAAAUUGAUAGAUUAGAUAACACAUUUUGUACAUGUUAUUUUUUUUCAAAGUUGAACAAGUUAUAUAUAUAACGUUGAUUUUUUCUCUUCUUCUCACAUGGUAGGGGUUUUUGCGACACGUGCCAUCUAUGUUUUUUUUUUUUACAUUUCAGGUCCUUUCAGAUUAUUGCAAUUUGACCAAAUAUUUUCUAAUCGUGAACUAUCUAAUCUUUUUUGCAUUAACUAUCAUCGUAUGAAGUUUGAUAAUCUAUUUUAUUGUUAACUAAAAUUCAAGAUGAAUAAAGAAAUAAAUAAAAUAAUAUAAAUAUAUUUUACAUAUUUAAUUUAUUCACAACUAAAUAUAACAUAAAUUUUUGUUAUUUUAUUAUUUUUAACUAUUUUUAUUAUUUAAUUUAUGAAUUAUAUAUUUAUUUAACUAUUAAAAAUAUAAAAUUACCAAACUAAUAAGAAAAAAUUAGAGUGCAAUACAUAAUCUAAACAUAAAACUUUCACAGUCAUAGAGAAAAAGUAAAAUAUCAUAGUAACACUAACUCAAUAAAUGUUUGGAGCUGAAAAAAGAUCAACAAAGAAGACUAACUUAUCUCAUCUUACCAUAGAAUGUCUCGGCUAAAACAAACAUAUUUCAGAAAAAGGUAAAAAGAUAAAAUAUGAGAUAAAGCAAUCCCCGGAACACAAAGAAUCGAGAUCAAGCACCAGCGCAAAAAACCAAAAAAGUGAGUCAGAGAAAAAAUAAUCAUCGGAAGAACAAAGUCACCACGAAACAAAAAGACACAUCUCUAAAGCACCGGAAACACAACCACCAGCUAAGAGAUAAGAAUCACCCCCACAAAAUAAACAAGCACAUACAAGGCGUACAUGCCAGCGAAGAACCACAAAACUUUGAAUACAAGAAAAUAAAGUUCCAAAAGACUAACUCCGCACACCUACACCAAAGGAUGCAUGAGAAGAAGAUAAACAACCUGAGUGAGGGAGAAUAAAAGCCAACCACCGAGAAACCAAAGCUUAAUCUUGAGACCAUAAAUAACCUUCCAAGUGUAAAAGCAUACACAGAGAAAAACACUAUCCAAACCUGGAGUAGCAAAUAUGGCGAAAGGGAGAGCCACAAGAGACGUAAUCAACGAUAAAAGGUGCAACGAGACGAGAGAACAAAGAGAUAAAAAGAGACAAAAUGAAAUCAACAAACCGUUGAGCCAUCCUCGAGCUAUGAAAAAGAGCAUAGAAGUCAGAUCACUAAAACCCCGAUCUUGAAAACCAUGACGGCAAACCAGCUACGAGGAAAACAACAUCAAUGACAACUAAACUCUGAUCCAACCCAAUGAGAUGUAAUUUCUAACAUUAGCCAAAACCUAAGGAAAAAGAGGAACAAUAUUGACCGAAAUAACAUACAACGCCGUAAAAAAUAACUCCACAACAUGGAACUAAUAUGUCUGAUCUAUAACAAAUACAAAAUAAUCUCACAGAAAAAGAAGAUGAGGAAAAACAAGAGCACAUAAAUGAGUCUUUUCCUAGUGAUGGUGAGAAGCAUUGCACACCGGAGAGGUAAACAAAAUACAUAGAUGAUGAUGACUCAAUGCAGUGCCGUCCCAAAACUUUAUGAGGCUUAAAGUCUGUCUAGAUAUGUGACCCUUAUAAAUAAAAUUGUUAAUAACAAAAGCGUAAGAAAUGGGUUUUGGUAUUGCUCCAACUAGGGACAAGAAAAUCCAGCUUAUCUUCCUAAACCAUUUAAGCUACAUACAAUUUUGGUUAGUGUGGCCUAUAUUUCAUUUUUAUAUUUGUGGCCUGAAGCCAAUGCUGCACCUACCUUAAAGGAGGGACGGGUCUGGUUCAAUGUCAAAAUAUGGAGGAGAAUGUAAAAAACACCUAAAAAGUAAUGUACAAAAAUAUGAAAAAUUAAAAUACAAUUUUGACGCCGUUAAUCUUAGAAUCAACAAAUGCUUAAAGACAAAAUUAUUGAAAUUCAAUAUGUUUUACAUCAGAAACUCAUUUCACCACUAACAAGUAGUAUUAUACAUACAACGACACAUUAUUAAAAACACAAACACAUAAUAUAUUAAUUUAUUACAAACUACUACAUAACAUAAUAAACAUUAAAUAAUGCUCUUCACGAAUAAAUACUAACCACAUAAUCACAUCAUCAGAAAAUCAUAUUUAAAAACAAUAAAACAAUAUUCCGCGCCAAAUGCGACCAACCCUAGUACAUUAAAUAUUUCAUCAAAAGAAAAUUCUAAAUGGGGCUCGGAACCCCAAAAAGCCUAAGCAAGUAACUCUCUUUCUAGUUUGUUACAUACUGAAUUUUUGAAUUAUGUACUAAUUAACUUGGAGUUCCACCUCUAUUAUGAUCAGUUUAUCACAAUCACAAGUUCAGAGUCAUUUCCGUGAUGGGAGUAAAUCAAAUGGAAAUAAAUAUAAUAAACAAAUUUGCAUUUUUUCAUCCUGUAUGGAGUGAAAACUUUGGUUUAUCUAUCCAAGUAAGGUUCUCCCAAAUAUAAAAAUAAACUUGCAUUUUAUUCUCUACAUAUUAUAAAUUACUAUUAAAGAGAAUAUUUGAGUUUCCCCAAUGCAAAAUAUACCUUAAGCCUUCUCGAUUCUUGGGAUAUUUCUCAAUUAUACUCACCAUUGGAAGUAUAUUUCAAUUAAUUAAACUGGUGACCUAAUGCGCCUCGUCUUUUUUUUUUUAUAUAACUAUACGCCUUCGUCUUUUCGCUUGUUUAUUACCAAAUGCACAGUAGUUUAUAGUUUAUACCAUGCGUAUUAGACUUCCCUAAACGAAUCCGUUGCUUUAUCUCUUUUCUCUCUACUCUCAAGUCUCAACCAAUCUGUUAUAUUCUGAUGCUCGUUGAUACACUAAAAGUAGAUCUUUGUCUACUGUCAAGUUAACAGUGUAGUUGUAAUAUCUUUAUAUUCAAUUUCAGAGGAUCAAUUCACACUUUAUCUUUAUGGGAUCAGAAUUAAACUAAAACAAGUGGUUUUUUUUUUAAAAAGUCAAUAACGUAAAUAACAAGUAACAAGAUGAGGUUGUUUUGAAUUGAUUUAAAGGCGCUAGUCUAGGGUUUCUUCUUCAGAUAUAGAAAUCGCAAACCAAACAAUUAUUCAAAUUCAAUUUAUAACAAAUCUAAACUCGGAUCACUCAGGUUGAAUCAACUCACUCUCGUGGUAUUGAUUCCUUUGCAAGUCGGUCUUGAUGCCUAAACUCUCGUUUGGAUCAAGACGCGCUAGCAAGCUUUAGAGAUCAAGUCUGAUAUGUUCACAGUACACCCUAAUAUCUACUCUCGCUGACUAGGGAUGCAAAGUUCAUCCAAAUCAUAUCAAGUUAUCAAUUAACGGCUAGCUAAAUUGAUUAACCCUAAUUCAUGCACUAAGUGAUCGGUUCAAUGCAAGCAAUAAGAACAUAUAUGAAUGUAGACAAUUUUAAGAUGACUUAUUUAUGCUUCAGUUUACGAAUCCAAAACCCUAGAACCUUAAACUAACUCGGUGACUACUCAGACAUAACACAAGAACAGAAAAACAUGAUUUCUGAAUAAUACUGCAUAUAAUAGAUAAUAGAAAUCAGAGGGUUCAUGAUAAUCUUCUCUAGGAGAUAAAUGAGGUCUUCUCCCUUACAAGUAGCAAUCGCCCAAAAAUUAAAGCUCCCUCAGGUCUUUCUUGCGUAAAAACUAAGGUAGGUCUAAAGUAAUAAAUAGGAGACUAUAUAUAUAGGAGCCACAUGCGACUAUAGGGAAAAAUAGGAAAUCUAGGGCAAAUCCUGAAAUAUUUGGAAACUUCUUUUUUUUUUAUCUCUGCCGCUGGAGCAGAUACUCGGGCUGCUCCGGUCGACUGUUCUGCGCGAAAGACUCCAAUUCACACUCUUUUUCUCUUCUUUCCCUCCAUCUGGUCUAUCUCUCAUCCAAUGCAACUCCAGACCCGUAAUGACUCAAAAGGACUAAAAAAGACUCGAUAAAACUUUGAAAACUAUUAGUAAGACAUACAUAUAAUGUGCCAAAAACACAAUAUAUCACUCGUUCGAAAAAAAUCAUAGCAUACAAACAAGAAGUUUCAAAAAAAAAUAAUAAUUCAUAGCGUGCUUAUUUAUUUGUCAUUUGAAAACAUUACAAAAAACAAAAUAAAAUAAAACUUAUCAUUUUACCAAGAAACAAGACUUUAUAAAAGGAAAUUAAGAAUUCCACAUGUCGGCAUGAAUAUAGUUACCCGUUUUAGCAGUAAAGAAUCAUAAGGCAUCCAUAUUACAAAAAUUAUUAGAAGAUAGAAGGCAGUUAAACAGUUUAGGGAUAUAGUUUAGUUAGGAAUUAAGAGAAAGAUUAGUUAGUGAGCUCACAUACCCAAACACUUGUGGGACAAUUUUCUAAUCUGAACAUUGAAAAUGCACUAUUUUCAUACAAUUAGCAAGUUUGGUGAUGUACCUUUUUUGUAUGGAAAUUUGGUGUUCUACUUUUAAUUGUAUGUGACUACGCACUUACCGGCAACAUUUAGUCUGUGCGGGAGUGUUCAGACUAUUUGUAUAGCGCAGUGUCUACGUAUUCGAUAUUGUAAGCAGCAUGAUUUUUCAAAACCACAAAUAAUAGGUUUAGUCAACCAUAUGCAUUGUAUGUCUGAGGCUUCGUACCAAAUAUUCUGUUGUAAAAUGUAUAAUGUUUUAAGCCACGAAAAUUAUUAAUAAAGUUAUUUUUGUUGAAAAUGUAUCACUAAAUUAUACAUUUUAAAUUAUUCAAACAAUUUUAAAAUAGAUUACAAAAUAUCAUUGAAUAUACAUUUUGAAACUGAAGAAGUAACUUAUAGUAAUACUUUCCCUAAGAAAUCUUNNNNNNNNNNNNNNNNNNNNNUUUCCCUACGAAAUCUUAAGUUAUAUAACGAGAUUUCAAAAAAUAAAUCUUCAGUUAUAAAUGAAAAGGAAAAACUCACAAAUCAACUACAACAAUCCUUAGCCAUGCAGCUGAAAAGUAUUUGUGUGUAUAUAGUACAACGAAAAUGUAAACUGAAGAUUUUGUAUACAAUGCUUUGUACAUCAAAACUCGUAUUAAGAUUGUGAAUAAUUGGAACCUUAAAAGAAAAAAAGAUUGUGAAUAACUGGUGUAGAAAAGGAGGUUAUCUUUUUAUAUAUAUAUAUAUAUAUAUAUAUAUAUAAAUAAAUGUUAUUUUGGUGUGAUAAAAACUGAAAAAGGGAUAAAAAUAAUUGAAGCUAGAAAAAGCCAACAAGAUAAGAGACAAGCCAUGAACGUGAUCUGCCCAACAAAAAGGACUUCUUUUUUUUUCUUUUCACUCCGUAACUUUUCUAAAAAGCAGAUAAAAAUCUUAUGUUUAAGUUUUUCUUUUGAUCUUUCUUUCUUUGUGACCCAUCCUUUCAGUCCAAUCAGAUCAUUGUAUAUUAAAGUGUCCUUGAAAAUUCUGUCCGAAAGCAAAAGUGCAAACAAUUUAAACUGAAAUCAUGAAACAUAAAAUUACACUAUUUUUUCUUCCUACUAAUAUAAUUUUCAAAAAGAGUGUAGACUUAAAAAGGGGAGAAAAACAGAGAGUCUCUUCUUUUCUUGUUAUUCUGUCAGUAUCUUUCUGUGUGUGUUUUUUGGCAUUUUCAUUUGGGGUUUUGCUUGUUUGGUCCCUUUUAAUGAAUUUUUAAUUCCGUUUUUUCUUUCAGUCAUUUUUAAUUUGGUGGUUUGCAGUGAGAGAAGGCAAAUGAGAUUAGGUGAUUAGGUAAUAGUGGUGUUGAAUAACAAGGAGACUAACUUUAAAAUUAGAAUGUUGUAGUCUUGUAGAGAUUAACUACUCAAUAAUUACCCAAGAAAGAAACGAUUAAAAUAAUAAAACCAAAACAGUAUCAGUCGAGUGCUUUUUUUUGUGCAUUACUUUUCUCAGAUCUCUAGAAAAAAAUUCUCAGACUUUCAGGGCAUUUUGGUGGUUUAGUUUCUCGGGAUAAUUCUCUCCAUACUUUUUUAUACUUACUCUUUCUCUUCCUCUCUUCUUUCUACGAGCACUCAUUCUCUUAAUGCUUCAUCCAAAAACUCUCUUUCUGAGCUGGGUAUCUUAACAAGGCGUCAUUUUUUCUUCUUCUUGUGGGUCUUCUCCUUUUACUCCAUUCGAUUUGUAUUUAGAAAGAAAGAGGUCCAUUGCUUGAAAAAGAUUGCACAAGGUAGUUUCUGUGUCUGAAAAAGACAGGGGAAGUAGAGGAUAGAAAGAUAGGAGAGACAAAGGCCAAGUCUUUCAUUCACAUUUGGGAGAGAGAGAAAUGAGUUUGUGGGUUUUCUAAGAACUUCUUUUACAGAUAGAAAAGUUGAUUUGCUGUAAGAGGGAAUAUUGCCAUGGUAGGUGCAAGAUUGGUGUUUUGGAGAUUAGGGUUUCUGGUUUUGGUAUGGUUCCCUGAUGUCACUACCGCUACACUUUCUCCUACUGGUGUUAACUAUGAAGGUCAGUAGUCUUCUUCUUCUUUGGAGCCAUCUCUGUUUCUGAAAGAAAGGAAAAAAAAGUUAAUUUAUAAUUUGUCUAAAACAUAAGUACUUCAGAUUGGAGUUUCUCUGAGAAAUUUAUCAUGUUUGUUUGUCUAUGUAAUGUUUCUUCGCUUUUGCGAAAAUUGUGGCCGAAUGUUUUGUGUGGAUUGUGUUAUUUUUGUAUUUAUUGGAUAAUAAAUACCAGCUUUAAAUGCUCUCUCACCAAUACCAGCUCAAGUUUUACUUAUUUCUUGGGUGAAAGAUUUCUGGGUUUUUUUUUCUUUCUGUUUCAAUAUAAAAAUGCAGCUUUUAGCAAAAGAGAGAAUUCACAAGAGUUUUGAGGCUAGAUUUUGUUAUCUUAAUCUGAAUUUUUUUGUUUUUGUUGCUGUUUGGUCUGAAAUGAGCAGUGACGGCUUUGGUGGCUAUAAAGAGUGAAUUGAAUGAUCCGUACAAUGUUUUGGAGAAUUGGGAUGUGAAUUCAGUUGAUCCAUGUAGCUGGAGAAUGGUCACUUGCACUGAUGGCUAUGUCUCUGCACUGUGAGUCUUCUCUUUUCUCUAGUACACACCAGACAAAUAAGCCAAAUAGAUAUUUGAGACUUAUGUCUUGUUUGCUUAAUGAAACAGGGGACUUCCUAGCCAAAGCUUGUCUGGUACAUUGUCUCCUAGAAUCGGAAACCUCAGCUAUCUACAAUCUGUGUAAGAUUCUUCACUAUCUUUAAUUCUUGUUCUGUAAUUUUUUUUAAAAAAUUAUUGUUGUUGAGUUUAAUAAGAUUUGUGAUGUAGGUUGUUGCAAAACAACGCAAUCUCUGGCCCAAUUCCUGAUACGAUUGGGAGGUUGGAGAAGCUUCAGACACUUGAUCUUUCCAACAAUUCAUUCACCGGGGAGAUACCGGCCUCACUUGGAGAACUCAACAACUUAAAUUACUUGUGAGUGUUCCUUUUUGGGAUUCAAACUCCAGUUCAAGUCUCAGUGUCUUAUUCCGUUCUUGUUCAUUUUGUCUUUUUUUUUUUCAGGCGGUUGAACAAUAACAGUCUUUCAGGAACUUGCCCCCAGUCUCUGUCCAAGAUCGAGGGGCUUACUCUAGUGUAUGUCCCCUCCACUUUGCCUCAUGGUUUAACCAAAUAGAAUCUUACCAACUUAUUUGUUAUUUUGAUUCUUUAAUGUGCAGCGACAUUUCGUAUAACAAUCUUAGCGGUUCGCUGCCAAAAGUGUCUGCCAGAACUUUCAAGUAAACUUUACCAAACUUUAUCCAACUACUUUGAUUUUUUUUUUUUCCGUUGAGGCGAAACUAAGUUUGUUCUGUUUCUUGGACACUUUAAGGGUGAUCGGAAACGCAUUAAUCUGUGGCCCAAAAGCUGCUGCAAAUAACUGUUCUGCUGUCCUCCCCGAGCCUCUCACGCUUCCACAAGAUGUUCCAUCAGGUAUUAUUAACCCAUCUGUCCCUUUUUUACUUAUUCCGUCAAUAUAGCUUUUUAUCUUAACAUCUUUCUAUUUUUAGAUGAUUCAGGAACUCAUACCAAUGGCCAUCACGUAGCUGUUGCAUUCGCCGCGAGCUUCAGCGCUGCAUUUUUUGUUAUCUUCACCAGUGGAAUGUUUCUUUGGUGGAGAUAUCGACGCAACAAGCAAAUAUUUUUCGACGUUAAUGGUUUAGUCUCUUCAAAAUUUCUCUGCUUUUCCAUCAUCUUGUGCUUUUUUUUUUUUCUUUUUCUGAAAACAGUCCCAUCUUUAUUUCUGCAGAACAAUAUGAUCUAGAGGUGAGCUUAGGGCACUUGAAGAGGUAUACAUUCAAGGAGCUUAGAUCCGCAACGAAUCAUUUCCACCCGAAGAAUAUUCUCGGAAGAGGCGGAUACGGGAUUGUGUACAAAGGACACUUAAGCGACGGAUCUUUGGUGGCUGUAAAGCGUCUCAAAGACUGUAACAUUGCUGGCGGAGAAGUCCAGUUUCAGACGGAGGUAGAGACUAUAAGUCUGGCUCUUCAUCGCAAUCUCCUCAGGCUUCGCGGUUUCUGUAGUAGCAACAACGAGAGAAUCUUGGUCUACCCUUACAUGCCUAAUGGGAGCGUGGCCUCACGCUUAAAAGGUAAAUGCAGUUUCCAAAUCCAUUUUUUGGGUAUUUUUCCGCUCCUUUUCGAGAUUUUUAAAGUUUGCUGCAACUGUUGUUAGAUCAUAUCCGGGGAGAACCAGCGUUGGACUGGUCGAGAAGGAAGAAGAUAGCGGUCGGUACUGCGAGGGGAUUAGUGUACCUUCAUGAGCAGUGUGACCCGAAGAUUAUACACAGAGAUGUGAAGGCAGCUAACAUUCUAUUGGAUGAAGACUUUGAGGCGGUCGUUGGUGAUUUCGGGUUAGCCAAGCUUCUAGACCAUAGAGACUCACAUGUCACGACCGCGGUCCGUGGAACCGUUGGCCACAUUGCACCUGAGUACUUGUCCACUGGUCAGUCCUCGGAGAAAACUGAUGUCUUCGGCUUUGGUAUACUACUUCUUGAGCUCAUUACGGGUCAGAAAGCUCUUGACUUUGGCCGUUCCUCGCAUCAGAAAGGGGUCAUGCUCGAUUGGGUAAGUCUUCUUUUCUCUGUUUCUUGCUUCAUUUCCUAGAAUCUUUGGAGGUAUUGGUCGCAAUUCUGGUUUGGUUCGGUUCUGUCUUGCUUCAGAGGAAACUUAAACCAAAAUAAAUCGAACUUAACCAUGAUUGGGAUUCAGAACCGGUCUAGAUUUAAUCCUCGAGAUUGGUUAAAUUUCGGUUCUGCGUCUGUGCUUGGUUUCAAUUAAUAUAAGUUAGAGUUAAACUACUUAAUGCCGUUAAUAGUUUGGUUUGGUAAUCUUUGAUUUGAUUUCGAUUUAUUUUGGAUUGUAAGCUGAAAAAAUACUAAAUCAUGAUUUGGAUUCGGUUUUAGAUCUAAUUUCGGUUUUAGGAUAGGCUUUGGUUCGAGUUCAUUAAAAUAAUCUUGAAAAUUUGGUUCGGUCUAGAUUGGGUUGCUAGUCAAAAUCGAAGAAAGACUACAUUUCAAUUUGGUUUGGUUUAUUGGUCUGAGAAAUGUGACUUGUUUAACAUGGCAGGUGAAGAAGCUGCAUCAAGAAGGGAAACUAAAACAGUUAAUAGACAAAGAUCUUAACGACAAGUACGAUACAGUGGAGCUCGAAGAAAUCGUUCAAGUUGCUCUUCUUUGCACUCAGUUUAAUCCAUCUAAUCGACCUAAAAUGUCCGAAGUUAUGAAAAUGCUUGAAGGCGACGGCUUGGCCGAUAGAUGGGAAGCGUCGCAGAGCGGUGGGGCAAAGUCGCUGCCUCCUCCGUUGCCGUCGGGGAUGGUGAGUUCAUCGCCGCGUGUAAGAUAUUACUCUGAUUAUAUCCAGGAAUCGUCACUUGUGGUGGAAGCCAUUGAGCUCUCUGGUCCUCGAUGAAGACCAAUGAUCAUUCACUUUUUUUUUUCUUGGGUUUGUUUUUGUUUGGUUUUACUUGUUCUUUUUCUUAAAAAUGUUUAUAUAGUUGUGGAGUAGUGUAAUUUACAACUUUUCUGUAAAAAUAAUAUUUUUUCUCCCGUAAUAUUCCUUCCGUUCCUAAAUAAUCUAUAUUCUAAAGAAAAUUUUUAUUUCAAAAAGAUAAAUAAUGCAAUUUUUGUCAACUAAUAAUGAGAAAUUGUGAAGUUUAAGAAAAUUAAUUGCAUUUCUUAAAAUCUUAUUGGUUUCAAAAUAUAGGAAAUAUAAAAUUACAAAAAAUUGUGCAUUUAUAGCUAAAUUUUAAUAUGUUUUAUUAAAAAAUGUGAAAAUUCUAAAUCAUGGAUUUUUUUAGGAACGGAUGGAAUAUAUUGUAAUUGUUUAUGCUAAAAAUUUGGAGACUAAAAAUCAUUGUGUUAAAAAAUACUAAAGUAUUUUUAAAUAUAACUAAAAUAUAAUUUAACUUAUCAUAAAAAAUCUAGAAUUUAAUUGGCUGUUCAAUAUAUAAUAAAGGUAUCAAAAUUUGAAACAGCUUAUACAUUUUUUUAUUAAAUCAUUUUCUAUCUAUAUUAAUAAAGUAAAAUAAACUCUCCUCCAAUUAAACAACCAAUGCACCAAAAUUUGAAAACUAAUAAUUUCUAAUAUUUUAUUUCACAUCUUUUUAUUUUCAUCUUUACUCCAAAUAUAUUUACACAUAAUCUAAGAGUCCGUAGAUAAUUUUUCUGAUAAUCAUUCUUGAACUCGACCAAUAUUUUAACAUCACUUAUAUCACAAAAAUCAUAAUUUUAGUGAAAAUACAUAAUUUAAUUUAUAAAUAAAUCAUACAAAUAAAUAAUGUUAGGGUAAAAUUAAGCAUAGCUAAGUAUGGUAAAAUAUUUGAAUCGAACUAUGUUGUAAAAUGGAAUGAUGCUGUAUAAUGGAAAGCUAGAAGGUUGAACAUUUUUGGCUUGUGUGUAUUAGUUUUAGAGUUUUUUUUGUUUAUAUAGUGUUUUGAAUAAGAGGUAGAUGCUAGAUCAUUUAGAAUAAUCCAGGAUUUAUUUUCGGUGGUUCAAGUGCAAGCGUAUUCAUCUCCCGUUGUGAAGAAUAAGAAGGAAAAAGUUUUUAAUUUAGUGUUUUUCAAAAAAAGGUUUUUAAUUUAGUGGUACCUGUUUUUGGCCAAGUAAAAAUUUGUAGAGAAUUUAAAUAAAAUUCAAUAAUAAUUUUUGGCCAAGUAACUCAACUCUUUGAUUGAAAAACAGUUGUAGCAGUUUCGGAUGGUUCAGCGGCGUGGGAGACAGUAAAAGAAAAGACACAUAACAUUGAAGAAGAAAAAGGUCUUGCAGAGAGCAGCAAGAUACGGUUAAAACUCUAUCAAAGCGGAUCAAACAUGUCAAACCAUCUCUCAUUAAAUUCAGAGGUUAGUAGACAAUCCAUUAAUGCUUGUUAGACAUUGUUUAGGUUUGAAUUAAAUGGACUUUAGGAUCAUGUACUUGGUUGUGUUAUAAUUAGGUAGAAUCAUUGACUUUCUUGGUUGGUUUAGUUUUAGGUAGAUACAUUGAUGACCAUUUACGCGUAACACCUACUAAACUCUCAUUAAGUUUGUUUUAAAAAGCGACCAAAUCUCCCUUUCUCAUUUCAUAUCUUUUCUCUUUUGAUAUUUCUUUUCACAAAACAGAAGAAGCUCUCUUUCUCUUUUGUUAAUUCCUUCUCCUUCGUUAAUUCCUUCCUCAUUUCAUAUCUCUUCUCUUUUGAUAGGAUCCAUUUAGUGAACCUUGUAGCUUUCAAACACUCUUAAACAAUCAGCAACCAAACACCUUCUUCUCUUUUGUUAGUCGUGAACCUAGUAUUGAAGUCUCUGCCUCGGAUGCGUCUGUCUUUGGUACUGGAUGGCUUGAUGAUGCAAACGAAGAGUGCCACAUCGUGUCUGACCGUAAAGAAAGGCGGAAAUGGUCACCAACUGAAGACAAGGUGCUCAUCAGUGCUUGGUUGAACACCUCCAAAGAUCCUGUCGUGGGAAAUGAGCAGAAAGCAAUUGUGUUUUGGAAACGAAUUGCUGCUUAUUUUGGUUCAAGUCCACAGCUUGCUGCUUUGCAAAAGAGAGAGCCAUCUCACUGUAAACAAAGGUGGGAGAAGAUCAAUGAGGGCGUGUGCAAGUUUAUAGGCUGCUAUGAUGCUGCAACAAAACAAAAAUCCAGUGGCCAGAGUGAGAAUGAUGUUUUGAAGAUGGCCCAUGAAAUAUUCUUCAAUGAUUACAAGAGCAAGUUCACACUUGAGCAUGGAUGGUUGGAGAUUAGGCAUGAUCAUAAGUGGUGUGGAGGUCUGCCGAGUAAAGAGAAUGUGAACUCUAAGAGGAGAAAGCUUGACCAUUCAGCAUAGUCAUCAACGUCAGUGCCAUGUAGCCUUGGAGAAGAUGAAUCAAUGCUUUUGUAUGAUAGGCAAGUUAGUUUGUUUCUCUAUAUUACGAGUCUGUAUGCAUUUGCUUUUGCUGUCUUCUUAUGUAUCUCGAGUCUGUAUAAUGACUUGUUUGAAUGUAUAAUAUUUCCACAGAUUGAUAAAUUAGUUCUUGCAAGGCUUUGUAUCACGGAUAACUAUAUUAGCUGGUUACGUCUCUUACUCAAUGUUUGGUGUGUUUUGUUAACGUUUUCUCUUUGGCUAAUUGCAGUAGCACAGUACAAGACAUGACUUUUUUAAACCGUGGAAUAAGCUUGAAUCUAGUUGACUCUGUGGAAACAGAGAUUCAGGUGAAGUGUUGGCCGAGUCUCUUAUGGCCAAUAUCUGCUAUCUUCGGUUAGUCUUCCUCUCUUUUCUCUAUGCAUUUAACUUGUUUCGUUGAUCAGACAAGCUCGGUUCGAACUAGUUUUGGCUUUGUAUUCUACGUAGUAACUGAUGGUUAGGAUUGUGAUCAUUCAGUUAGGAUUGUAAUUGAUGCAUACGUUUGUAAUUGAAGCUUUUAUGUGUGUAUAGUAACUGAUGCUUUUGCAGGACAAGAAGACAACUUGUGACAACAAUAAAGUCAGUAGCAUGUGACGCAAACAAACACCAAAAGAAAAAGAAGAAGUCAGUAGCAUGUGACACAAACAAACACCAAAAGAAAAAGAAGCAGUCGUUGCAUAUGACGCCCAAGUGCCAUACGUUUCUUAUUUUUUCCUUUAUAAUGACUUGAUGUUAUCAAAAACAUAUUGUGCCUUCCGAGUGUAAUUGAUAGUCCGAGUGUAAAUCAUAUUGUCCUACUUUAUAAUGACUUGAUGUUACCAUUUCUCUCUUACCAUUUUCCAAUCAAAGAGUUGAGUUACUUUGUCUCUCUUACCAUUUCUCUCUUACCAUUUCUCUUCAAAAUGGCUUCUUCUUCUUCUUGUCAUAAUCUUGAAGACAUGAUAGAUGAAACAUUUGAUCAACUUUUCGAUCAACAAUUCAAACAACUUUACGUUCAAGGUCAAGAAGCAUCAACGUAAAAAAAAAAGAGCCUACAUUGAAAGACAACGAGAACAAGGACACGAGUAGUUAUGGAACUAUUAUUUUAGUGAAGAUGCAACGUAUCCUUCUCACAUGUUUCGACGCAGUUUUAGAAUGAACAAGCCCUUGUUCAUGCGUAUUGUUGAUCGACUCUCCGCUGAAAUCCCAUACUUUCAACAAAGAAGAGAUGCUACGGGAAGGUUUAGUCACUCUCCAUUACAAAAGGCAACGGCAGCAAUUCGUAUAAUGGCAUAUGGUUGCCCAGCUGAUGUGGUCGACGAAUACCUCCGACUUGGUGAGACCACCGCGCUUUUAUGCUUGAAACAUUUUGUUCAACGAAUCAUAAAUUUAUUUGGAGAUGAGUAUCUAAGAAGACCCACGCCAGAAGAUCUUCAACGACUACUCGAUAUUGGAGAGAUACGCGGAUUUCCCGAGAUGAUAGGAAGCAUCGAUUGUAUGCAUUGGGAGUGGAAGAAUUGUCCGACCGCAUGGAAAGGUCAAUAUACACGUGGAUCAGGAAAGCCAACUAUUGUUUUAGAGGCUGUAGCUUCACAAGAUCUCUGGAUAUGUCAUGCGUUUUUCGGACCUCCAGGUACAUUAAACGAUAUUAAUGUUCUUGAUCGAUCACCGGUUUUUGAUGGUAUAUUACAAAGUCGAGCUCCAAAAGUUAAUUACAUUGUCAACGGACAUGAGUACCAUUUGGCUUACUAUCUCACAGAUGAUAUUUAUCCAAAAUGGGUUACUUUUGUCCAAUCUAUUCCACUCCCGCAAGGUCUGAAAGCAUCCUUAUUCGCUACACAUCAAGAAGCUGUAUGUAAAGAUGUCGAGCGUGCUUUUUGGGUCUUACAAGCUCGAUUUGCCAUAGUAAAAAAUCCAGCUCUUUUGUGGGAUAAAAUAAAAAUUGGAAAGAUAAUGAGAGCAUGUAUCAUUCUACAUAAUAUGAUCGUAGAAGACGAACGAGAUGAGUACACUCAGUUUGAUGUAUCAGUUUUCGCACAACCAGAAUCAAACCGAAGUUCACAAGUGGAUUUCACGUAUUCUACAGAUAUGCCUUCAAAACUCGGCAAUAUGAUGAGCAUUCGGAAUCGAGUUCGUGAUAAUACAAUACAUCAACAAUUGAAAGCGGAUUUGGUUGAGCAUAUAUGACAAAAAUUUGGAACAAUCAAGAUUUCAACUAAUCGGUUUUUUCUCGUUUACGAUUUGUAUUUGUAUUUUUAAUAUGCUUUUAUGUCAUUUUUAUUAAGAAUUUUAAUGUAUGAUUUUAUUUUUAAUCAUUCUAUUUAAAAAUGAAUUAUUUAAGAACCCCUUGGGGUUCUCCCAUUGGGAGAGGAAUACAUAAUUUCCUCAAACAAAGGUUCUUUAACUACUCAAAUCACUUUAUUAAAUAUUAAUUUACUCCUAAAAACCCAUUAGAGGUUCUAAUGGAUGGACUUGCUCUUAACGAUCCCGAAUUACAUAGUUAUGUGUUCUCACACUUUCUCUUACAAGUGUUUUUAACCGCUUGCUUAAACUUUAAAUUUUAGUUUACCAUGUAAUUAAUUAUGAUCAGUGCCAUUGUGUGAUUCCUUUUUCUUAAAUAUCUUAACUUGAAUUAACUAAAUGUUUAAAAGGAAAUUCGUUUUUUAUAAAAAAUAUACAAAAUGUCAGAAUAUGAACUACACAUCAUACAUGCAUGGUUGCAUGGCAUGUAGACGCGGAAACUUGUCACUCCUCCACAUUUGAGAUUCCAACACCUAAUCGCUACAAAAACCUUAUAGAUUCUCCCUUUCUCACAAACAAACAAACACAUUCAUGCAAUGUUACACGUGAUCUCCAUGCAGAACAUCUUUCACGCCUAUAAAUACCAACCAACACUCCACUUCCCUCUUCACUCAAACCAAAACAAGCAAAAAACAUACACACAAAUAGCAAAUGGCCAACAAGCUCUUUCUCGUCUCGGCGACUCUCGCCCUCUUCUUCCUUCUCACCAAUGCCUCCAUCUACCGAACGGUCGUAGAAGUCGAGGAAGAUGAUGCCACAAACCCAGCCGGUCCAUUUAGGAUUCCGAAAUGUAGGAAGGAGUUUCAGCAAGCACAACACCUAAGAGCUUGCCAGCAAUGGCUCCACAAGCAGGCAAUGCAGUCCGGUAGUGGUCCAAGCUGGACCCUCGAUGGUGAGUUUGAUUUUGAAGACGACAUGGAGAACCCUCAGAGCCCACAGCAGAGGCCACCGCUACUCCAGCAGUGCUGCAACGAGCUCCACCAGGAAGAGCCACUUUGUGUUUGCCCAACCUUGAAAGGAGCAUCCAAAGCCGUUAAACAACAGGUUCGACAACAGCAAGGACAGCAGGGACAGCAGCUGCAGCAAGUAAUUAGCCGUAUCUACCAGACUGCUACGCACUUACCUAAAGUUUGCAACAUCCCUCAAGUUAGCGUUUGUCCCUUCCAGAAGACCAUGCCUGGACCCUCCUACUAGAUUCCAAACGAA
rnacentral:lncRNA from 1 species